rnacentral:lncRNA from 1 species
UUGAAAUGAAGGUCUUAGGUGAAGCAGCAUACAUCCUUGGGAUCAAACUUAUAAGGGAUCGCAAGAAAAGGAUGUUGGCUUUAUCUCAGGAGCCCUACAUAGAUGACGUAUUAGCUCGUUUUAACAUGCAGGACUCCAAGAAGGGUAAUUUACCCUUCAGACAUGGAGUUAUUCUAUCAAAGAGGCAAUGUCCUUCGACACCUAAGGAGAUAGAGAACAUGAAGGCAAUUCCUUAUGCUUCGGCAUGUGGGAGCCUAAUGUAUGCAAUGUUAUGUACGAGGCCUGAUAUCUGCCGUGGGCAUGGUUAGCAGAUACCAGUCAAACCCAGGACAAGAACAUUGGAGUGCUGUAAAAGCAAUACUCAAGUACCUGCGAAGGACUAAGGAGUAUAUGCUGGUUUACAAGUCCUCUGAUUUAUUGCCUCUGGGAUAUACCGAUUCGGAUUUCUAGACAGAUAAGGAUAAGAGAAAGUCCACCUCGGGAUGUGUUUUUACUUUGGGAGGUGGAGCCGUAAUAUGGAGGAGUGUGAAGCAGAAAUGCAUCGCGGACUUAACCAUGGAAGCCGAAUAUGUGGCAGCCUCGAAGGCAGCCAAAGAGGCUAUAUGGUUCCGAAACUUCUUACUAGAUUUGGAUGUGGUUCCUAAUCUGCCACAACAAAUCACGAUUUAUUGUGAUAACACUGGUGCUGUGGCGAAUACCAAGGAACCACGGGCCCAUAAGGCAGCGAAACACAUAGAGCGUAAGUAUCACCUCAUACGACAGUUCGUUAAGCGAGGAGAUAUCAUUGUGGCUGACAUAGCAUCGAAGGAUAACCGGGCAGAUCCUUUCACGAAGAGCUUACCAGCUAAGGCUUUUCAGGAGCACGUGGAAGCGAUAGGAGUCAGAUACUUGGUCACAUAGUUAUUAUAGUUGGUAGUGGAUUGCUUGUAAUAGACACUGAUAUACUCAAAGAAUAUCUUGAGUAUAAGUGGGAGAUUGUUAGGGUUAUACUGAAAUAUCCGUUUGAAGUAUAUAACAAUUAUUUGAGAAUCUUCAAUGCAUGUUUUCACAUUGUCUGUAUAUUAUAUAUUGUAGACAAUCUAGUAUCAAAGGGGAUAGCAGAAGAUUAGAUUGUCAGACUCCUUAUAUAAUAUAAUAAAGGUUCACAGUCGCGGUGGUGUUAGACAAACCACUGGAACGACUGAAGUAUUAUUUGGAAAUAGUUUGUCUUGACUAUUGAAUAAUAUUUAUAUACUUUGUGUAUAUUGAACGGGAUCAAAAUAGUAGAAUAACUGUUUCUUUAAUUCUGACAAUAAAGAACUAAGAUUCUAUGAUGUUAUUAAUGCUUAAGUUCUUAAUCCGGAUAUAGUGAUUGACACUUGUAUUUAAUGCACAUGCCUUGACUCAUAAGUUAAGUAAUUUAUUUUAAAUUACGAAUUUAUGUAUUGGGCAAUGACAUUAUAUACAAAGUGGGAUAUUGACUAUAAAAGGAAACCGUGUCCGAAAAAUAUAUUCGGGUGAUGAUGUCCUCUUGAAAGCUCAUAAAGAUAAUUAUGCUUUAGUCCUGCAGGCAGAUUUGUUCUUGCAUAAUUAUAAGGUUGAGUGGAUGAUCAAGGAUAAAAGAUAUUGAUUAAAUUAAUUGUCAGAAAUUAAUUUAAUUAAUGGACAUGCGAUAUCUUAAACAUACCGAAUUAAAUAAUUAAUUUAAAUUAAUUGUCAGAAAUUAAUUUAAUUAAUGGACAUGCGAUAUCUUAAACAUGGGGAAUUUAUAAGCAAUUAAUAUGGGAGCCGAAUUAAAUAAUUAAUUUACGGAAUUAGGAAAGGUAGUGCAAAUAUUAGUUCUUUAGUGGAUAGAAUUAAUAUUUAAUGACAUUGGGCCUGGCCCGGAAUGUCAUUGGAAGGCCUGACCUAAUGAUCCAUGAUCCCUGCUGUAGCCUAUAUAUAUUCUCGUUCUCCUAAAGCUGAAAGACACACCAAAACGAAUUAAUCCUAGAGUCAGAGAGAGGCAGACGUUUUUCUCAAGGAGACAGCUAGGGUUUUGGGUUUUCGGAGCUUUAAGGAGAGGCACACCUUGGGAGAUCGAAGGCCACACUUCGUCCAAGGAGAAUCAAGGAAUACAGUAGAAGACGUGGAUUUGAAUCGCUUGCGCCGUAGCGAUUAAGGUUAAUAUUCUGUUCGAACUUUUAAUAAGUAUCAUAAAACGCAGGGCCAAGAUCUGAUUGUUCCUACAAUAUUUGCAUUCUUGCUUAGCUUUAUCAUCCUCUGAGAAGGAUUCUAUGAUGCUAUCUUGACCAUUGACUUCUUGAUCACAGGAGGAACUUCAUCAACAGGUUUCUUUCCUUUGUCUUUUGAAUCAGACUCAGGUUGAGUUUGAGACCUGGUUCUUGGUCUGUUGAUAUCAGUGUAGUUCACCUCACUAAUUACUAUCCCUUUUUGCUUUGGAUUCUUCUGUUUCUGUGAGGGAUCAGUAAUUUGUUUUUGCUCAUCAGACUUUGUCUUGCUGAUCUUCAUCUUCUCAGCAGCUAGUCUUUCUUCCUCAAGUCUGAUAGCUUCUAUAUCCACUCCUGGAUUUUCCUUUUCAAAUAUCUUCCUUGCUACAGCUUCAUCAAUAGCUUGUAGGGAAGGAGAUUUGUAGAACAAGGUGGUUUCUUUACCUCUGAACUUCAGAGUUUGACAGAACUUCUGAGAUUCAGGAUCUCCAGCUUCAUUCAGCAUAUCUGAUUCAGGAAUCAGAUCUUCUUUCUUCUUCUCAACCUCAGAGUUCACAACAGCAAGUUCUUUAGAUAUAACAUCAGAAAUUUUGACUGCUUCACUUAUGCUCUGAACUUGAGACAUAACAGUCAACUCCAUAGACUUGUGUUUUUGUUGAGAAUCUCUGGGUCUCUCAGAGUUUGCACCCUUAUCACUCCUUUCCUUAUCUUUGAUUUGCAGCAGCAGCUUUAACUGCUUGUCAGCAAUCUCCCUAUUGCCUUCUUCAUCACCAUCUGGCCUUUUCUUUGUCAUUUGCUGGUCAGAUUUGCAUUUGUCUUUAGGUAUUUUCUCCCCCUUUUUGACAUCAGCAGAGGUAAGAACUUGAACCAGCUGAGCUACAGAGGAGCUCAAAUCAGCCAGAGUAUGCUGCAUUGAUGUUUGAGUGGCCUCAAUAGAGGCAAGUCUGUCUUCAACAGAAGGAGGUGUAGCUCUGCACAUCCUCUGGAAGUAAGUUAAGUGACAGACCUUUCUCUGUGCAGGCAUUGAAGGUGGAAGUGGAGAACUUGGAACUAGAGUAGGAGCUCUAAGAGGAGAAGAUCCUCUAACUGGUGACAGUGCUUUAACUGGAGAAUCAACCCUUACUUGUGUAGUAUCUCUGACUGGAUCAGAGAUAGGAAUUGGAAGAUCAGAAGGCUGCACAGGAAUGGAUGUGACCUCUGUUGCAUCAUCAUCUUCAUUAUCAUCAACAAAGAUGCUCAGAGUGUGAGAUGCCAGAGCUUCAGUACCUGCAUCAGAGUUUGCAGCUGUAGGAACCUCCUGAACAGGAGCUACAACAUGAGCCUCAGAGUGAAUCAAGGAGUCUUGAAUCAUUUUUAGCACAACCUCUAUUUGGGCAUCUUUUGAUUUACUUUGAGCCUCAGGAUUUUUAUCUGAAACAUGAGUAUCAGCUGCAGCAUUGUCUUCAUGUUGAGUCAGAGAUUCCUGAUUCAACUUCAACACCUCAGCUGAUUUGGCCACUGCUGGUUGAUAAUUAUAUUCUGAGAUUGAUUCUGACAUUUGGAUGUCAGCUGCCAUUGUUUCAAGUGGAACUGCAGAGAUAGGUUCAAUCAUGACUGGCUCUGCACUUUGAGAUUGAUCAGAGAAUGGAAUCAAGGCCUGAAUGUGAUCUUCUGACUGAGGUGGCUCAACAGUCAGGUCAGUUAUGUUGGUGGGCUUGACCUUAUUCCUCUGUUUCUUAGCUGGUGGAGGAGGUGGAGGUGCUUCAUCAGAGUGAGAGUCUGAUAUCUUCUGUAAGAAUCUUCUUUUUUAAGGAGGAGGAGAUGGUUUGUUUGGGGACUUUGAAGACCUGAGGACCCUCUUAGGUGAAGAUGUUUCAACUGGCCCUUUUUGUGAAGGACCAGAGGGUAGGAUUGGGUCAGAUUUUACAACUGGCCCUUGUUGGGAAGGACCAGAGGUUGGUUCAAUGUCUGGUUGAGCAGUUGAGGAAGGCGGAUGUGGUAAAUUCUCAUCAGAGAAUAAGGGUCCAUAUUUAUCUGGCAUGGCAACCCUUAAUUUAUCCUGAACUGUAACAGGAAUAGCAAAGACUGGUGCAUUUGGUUUCUUACUGUCCUUCUUGAUAAGGUCAGUAAAUGCCCGUUUUAUAAUUUUGAAUUGCAGUUCAUUACCAGUUUCAGGGAUAGGUACAUCAGGAAAACAGUAAGAGAAUAUAAGCUGACAGAAUCUAGCAUAAUACACAAUAUUCAUAUUCUCUUUUCUCCUAUCUCCAAUAAAUCGCAGUAUAGAUGUAGCAUAAUCAAACUUAAGAUUAUGAAUCAGAGAAUACCCGAUUUGCUGACUGAAAAGAGGGAUGGCAUCAAAAUUGCUACAUUUAUUGCCGAAGGCCCGUGUGAUACAGUCAUAGUAGAAACUCCACUCCUUGCAGAGAUGUGGACGCUUGAGUUCCCCCAUCUUAUCAGUGCUUGCUGUAUAGCCAAAGAAGGUCAUCAUGUCCCUCAGAGUUUGAGUAGGGACUAGAGAAUCAAACUUGUUGUGGUUAGGAAGAUGAAGAGCCUUCCUGAUGGUCGCCGGUGAAACAAAAUACUCCUGACCCUCAUACUCACAGGUCAAGGACGGAGAGCCGUGGUCACUUCCAUCAUCGUAAUUAGCUGUCCUCCAGAAGGUGAGGACCUGAGAUGGAGAAAUAGACUCUGGUUGAGUCAGAGCGUACAUCAGCUCGCUGUGAGCCAUAAAAUCUUGAAUAAGAUGAAAUUCCUUGGGGGCUUCAUCAUUAUCAAGGAUGGCAGCGUAAUUGUUUGUGACGAACUUAGCCCCAUCGAACUCAAAUGCUGUUGUCGACAUAUUUUCUGAUAUAUAUCUGUGUGUGCACGAUUCACCGAGUGGAAGCAGUAGUGGGACACGUGUCGUGUGUCUAACGAUAACAAAAUGGUAGUGGAGCGGUAAUAAUUACCGGCGUGUGAACACUGCAUGUGUGUAACAAUUUCCGAGGAAACACAAUUAUUCACCGUGUUUUUCUCCCCUCAGGAAUUCAAAUGGAUUUUGUACCGUUUGACAAUUAAAUCUAAUAUUUUACUUGACCAAAAAUCAUUUAUUUGAAACUCCGACUUUGAUCAGAUGUUUGACCAUUUGACCAGAGGUUAAAUAAAUGGCAGACUAUGAGACAAAUCAGAGAUUGUUCAUAAAAUUUCGUACUGAUGAGAGAUAGACAUUGAAAGUCUGAAUGACAGUUUUUCCUCAGAGUUUGCAAACGAUUAUUUGAAUUUAAUCAAAAAUCACUCGAUGUCAGAAAAUUUGUUAAUCACAAAUGCGGAGUGAAAAGUGUGUGUUGACAUGAUUCCCCUAUUGUCACAGAGAUUGACAAAUUUCUUAAGAAACAUUAGAAAGAAUCAGAUUAACAGAAAAAGUUUCAACCACUUCAUAAGCCGAGUUGCUCACCAUAUGGAUCAGAGUAUAAGUUUUCUUCUCUUUUCUAAGACACUAAUCUUUUUGAAAGGAAACUUCUCAUGGCAAGUGGGUUAUAACCUUCAUCAAAUAUUUAUUUCUCAGUGUAUUUCUCCAGUAAUCAGAGAAUGCGAAAGGUCUCCAAGAAAAAUAAGAUUUUUCUGAUGCAUUUUGCUUAAUACCAGCAGUGCACUUGGAUCUUUCCUUUCACAGAUUUUCUAAGAUCUCAAAAGAGUAACUGAGAUAAUCCUUUUUUUUGUUGUUAAGAGAAGAAACAAAUUUUGUUGAUCCAUAUCUGAGAGUUAUUCACUCUUAGCUCAUAAGGGGAGUAAAACAAAUUCUCCAUUGAGUACAGGUCUAAUAUUUAAGAAGUAAGGCAGUCUAAGUAACAGCUUUAAAUCAUGUUAUGUGUAACAUAGAUUUCCACAUAUGUAAUAUCACAAAUAUCAGACUUUAGAGAUGUUCAUGACUUAAUUCAAGUAUUUGCAACAUAUUCUUUACAGGAAUUCCUUUUAUCAGUGAAAAUUUCAUGUCAUCAGAGUUUGUCAGGUCAGAGUAUAAAUAUCAGAGUUUGUCAAAUCAGAGCAUAAUCAUCAGAGUUUAGAUCAGAGAAUAAUAGAUGCAAAUGUAGAUCAAGUAUAUAAAAGUGAUUAAUAACAGAUAUCUUAUUAUGAAAUGUAGCAGAGUUUAGAGAGGACCAGAGAUCAUCCCUAAUUCGUUUCCAAGUCUUGUAAAUGUUGCUUCAGCCAAAGGUUUGGUGAAGAUAUCUGCUAACUGCUGAUCUGUUGGGACAAAGUGAAGUUCUACUGUCCCUUCCAUCACAUGUUCUCUGAUGAAAUGAUAUCUUAUGCUGAUAUGCUUGGUCAUGGAAUGCUGUACUGGAUUUCCUGUCAUGGCAAUAGCACUUUGGUUAUCACAGUAAAUAGGGAUUUGAGUAAGAGAUAACCCAUAGUCCAACAGUUGAUUUUUCAUCCAUAAAAUCUGAGCACAGCAGCUUCCUGCGGCAAUAUACUCUGCCUCUGCAGUAGAUGUAGAAAUUGAUUUUUGUUUCUGACUGAACCAAGACACCAGUCUUCCUCCAAGAAAUUGACAACUCCCACUUGUGCUUUUUCUGUCUAUUUUGCACCCUGCAAAAUCUGCAUCAGAGUAACCAAUCAGUGUAAAGUCUGAUUCUCUGGGAUACCAGAGUCCCAUCUCAACUGUACCCUUGAGAUAUUUGAAAAUAGUCCCAUCUCAACUGUACCCUUGAGAUAUUUGAAAAUCCUUUUGAUUGCUACCAGAUGUGGUUCUCUUGGAUCUGCUUGAAAUCUUGCACAGAGACAGGUAGCAAACAUGAUAUCUGGUCUACUAGCAGUCAGAUAUACAAGUGAGCCUAUCAUACCUCUAUAGUUAGUAAUUUCUACUGGUGAUCCAGUAUCUUUAUCUAACUUGGUGGCUGUUGCCAUGGGAGUUGUAGCAGCUGAACUAUCCUGCAUACCAAAUUUCUUUAGCAGGUUCCUGGUGUACUUAGACUGAUUAAUGAAUAUGCCCUCAUUAGUCUGUUUUACUUGUAGUCCCAGAAAAUAGCUCAUCUCUCCCAUCAUGCUCAUCUGAUAUCUAGACUGCAUAAGCUUUGAGAAUCUCUCAUAGAGUUUAGGAUUAGUAGAUCCAAAAAUGAUAUCAUCUACAUAAACUUGAACUAAAAGCAGGUCAUUACCAUGGUUGAGAUAAAACAGAAUUUUGUCUAUUGUACCUCUGUUGAAACCACUGUCCAAGAGGAAUUGAGCCAGAGUUUCAUACCAUGCUCUUGGUGCUUGCUUUAGUCCAUACAGUGCCUUAUCCAGUCUGUAGACAUGAUCUGGAAAUUUUGAGUCUACAAAACCUGGAGGUUGUUCAACAUAUACUUCUUCCUCCAGCUCUCCAUUUAGAAAGGCACUUUUCACAUCCAUUUGAAAAACCUUGAAUUUCUUGUGUGCUGCAUAGGCCAAGAAAAUUCUGAUUGCUUCUAAUCUGGCAACUGGGGCAAAGGUCUCAUCAUAGUCAAUUCCUUCUUGUUGAGAAUAUCCCUUGGCUACCAGUCUGGCUUUAUUUCUGGUAAUUAUUCCAUCACUGUCUGUCUUGUUUCUGAACACCCAUUUGGUACCAACUAUUGAUCUGUUCUUUGGUCUUGGUACUAAUGUCCAGACUUUGUUUCUCUCAAAUUCAUUUAACUCCUCCUGCAUUGCUGUUACCCAAUCAGCAUCCUUUAAGGCUUCUUCCACUUUCUUUGGUUCUGUCUGAGAUAAAAAUGAGUGAAAGAGACAUUCAUUUGCUGUUGUAGUUCUGGUUUGCACUCCUGCAUCUAGAUCUCCAAUUAUUAGAUCUGGUGUGUGAGACUUUGUCCAUUUUCUUUCAUGUGGCACUUGACUUCUGGAACUUGAUUCUCCCCCAUAAUCCAUGUUGUUUCCAGUGUCAUUCUGAUUCUCUGAUGCCUCUCCCCCAUGAUUCAUGCUAUCUUCAUGAGCAUUCUGAGUUUCUGAUGCUCCCCCUGAAGAUGUAUUCUCAUGAUUCUCUGAUGUAGAAUGAUCAGAGUUUGAUGAGUCAGUAUCAGAGUUUGUGUUUUCUGCUGAGUCUCCAACAUUUUCAUCCAGAUGUUCAUUGUGAAAGUGCUCCCCCUCAACAUGUGCUUGAGGUUGGUGAGUUGGAGUGACAUACUCUGAUAUGAUUUCAGAGUCAGAGUUUAUUGAGUCAGAGAAUGCAUCUUCACCUUCAAAUCUCAGUUGCUCAUGGUCAUCAAAAUCUUCCAUCCCAGUAAUUUUCUUAUCAUCAAAGGAUACAUGGAUGGAUUCCAUGACUACCCUUGUUCUCAGAUUAUAAACUCUGAAGGCUUUUGUUGACAGUGGAUAGCCAAUAAAUAUUCCUUCAUCAGCUUUUAAAUCAAAUUUGGUCAACUGUCCAGGAUGACUUUUCAGAACAACGCAUUUACACCCAAAUAUGUGGAAGUAUUUGAGAUUUGGCUUCCUGCCUUUGACCAUCUCAAAAGGUGUUUUCCCAUGUUUGUUUAUCAGAGUUGCAUUCUGUGUGAAGCAAGCAGUUUGCACAGCUUCAGCCCAAAAGUAAGUUGGCAAUUUUGCUUCCUCCAACAUGGUUCUAGCAGCUUCAAUCAGAGUUCUGUUCUUUCGUUCCACAACACCAUUUUGCUGAGGUGUUCCAGGUGCUGAAAAUUCUUGCUUAAUUCCAUUUGCUUUAUAGAACUCUUCCAUCUUAGAAUUCUUGAACUCAGUGCCAUUAUCACUUCUGAUGAUCUUUACUGCAUCUUUAGAAAUUUUGUCCAGUUGUUUGAAAUGCUCAAUUAGAAGGGAAGAUGUCUCAUCCUUGCUGUGGAGAAAAUAUACCCAAGUAUAUCUGGUAAAUUCAUCAACAAUGACCAGAGUAUAUCUUUUCUUUGCAAUGGACAUUAUAUUUACUGGUCCAAAAAGAUCAACAUGAAGCAGAUGAUAUGGCUCAAGAAUUGAGGACUCAGUUUUACUUUUGAAUGAGGAUUUUCUCUGUUUUGCCUUCUGACAAGAGUCACAAAGUCCAUCUUGAGUAAAAACUGAUUUGGGCAGUCCUGUUACAAGAUCUUUCUUCACUAACUCAUUUAUAUUGUUGAAGUUCAGGUGAGAGAGUUUCUUGUGCCAGUCGCAGCUUUCUUCAAUACUAGCUCUGCCAAGUAGACAGAUUGCAGAGCUUUCAGAGUUUAAAGAGAGCUUGGCUUCAUAGAUAUUUCCAUGUCUAUAUCCUUUCAGAACAACUUUCCCAGUGCUUUUGCUAAUGACCUCACAGUGUUCUUCUAGGAAAUCAACAUGAUAUCCUCUGUCACAGAUUUGACUUAUGCUCAGCAGAUUGUGCUUAAGUCCUGAGACCAGAGCUACAGAUUGAAUGAUGACAUUUCCAAGAUUGAUAUUGCCAUAUCCCAAAGUUUUCCCUAUGUUGCCAUCUCCAUAAGAAACAUUUGGGCCAGCCUUCUCCACAAAGUCUGAUAGCAGGGCUUUAUUUCCUGUCAUGUGUCCUGAGCAUCCACUGUCCAGAACUAGGAUAUUUUUCCUGUUGCCCUGCAAUCACAUUCACAAUUAAUGAUUAGUUUUAAGGACCUAGACUUGCUUGGAUCCUUUGUUCUUGUUAAGUUUGUUAACACUGGCAGCGGAAGAUUUAUCAGAGUUUAAAUCAGAGUUUGUGCUGAUAGACUUUAUAACAGAGUUUAACUCAGGAGACUCAAUCUUUUUCUUCAAGGAAGGUUUCAAUUCAUAAUAAUCAUAGUAUAAACUAUGGUAUUCCUUACAAGUGUAAAUAGAAUGCCAUAAACUACCACAAUGAAAACAAGGAUUUUCUGGUCUAAAUCUAGUAUUCCUAGUCUUAACUUCUGAUUUUGGAGACAUAGCAUUUAUGUCCUUAUUUUUCCUGCAAAAAGAAGCAAGAUGAUUAGGAUUACCACAGUUAUGACAAGUUUUCCUAGGAGCAUUUGGAAUAGGCAUAUAACUGUUGCUUUUGUUUAUUCCAACCUUUCCAUUCCUAUUUUUCCUAGGUUCCUUAAUCCUGUUUUCUUGCUUAACCUCCUUGAACUUAUGCUUAAGCUGUUUCUGAGUCAUUAAACCUAUGUUGACCUGUUUUGGUUUAUCAGUCUUUGAUUUGUCAUGAGCUUUUGAUUCAGCAACAAAUCUUACUGGAACAACCUUAGGUCUCUCAAUUUUAGACUCUUGUUUAUAUGACUCAGCUUCAUUUUUAUCAUAGUAUCCUAAACCUUUCUUCUAGUUUCCACUUCCCAAGAUAUUCUGAGUUGUUUUACCUGAGUUAGUCCAAGUUCUGAUUAUCUCUCUUUCCUUAGCAAGUUCUGAUUAUCUCUCUUUCCUUAGCAAGUUCUGAUUCAAGAGAUGCAUUUUUCUUUAAGAGUUCAUUUUUAAUAAAAACAGAAUCAUCUCUUUCCUUCUGAACUUCUAGCAUCUGAACUAAUUCUUUCUCAAGAUAAUCAUUCCUUUUCUUAACAUCCAAGAUCUCAGAUUUUAGUCUCUCAUUUUCUAAAGUUUGAUCUCUAUAACUAACAUGCAUAUUUUUGAGAAACAAUCUUAACUCAGUUAUAUCAUCAGUGUCAAAAGCAAGAGUGGAAUGAGGUACCUUAGAUUCAACAGCCUCAGAACUGUUGUCUGUGUUUUGCCAUUAAGUCAUAGUUGAUUUCUUCCUCAGAAUCUGAUGANNNNNNNNNNNNNNNNNNNNNNNNNNNNNNNNNNNNNNNNNNNNNNNNNNNNNNNNNNNNNNNNNNNNNNNNNNNNNNNNNNNNNNNNNNNNNNNNNAUCAUUAUCAGAGGACCCUUCUCACCACAAUUGAGCAGGUGUACUUAGAAUUAUCAGCUUUUCCAGAUUUUUCUUCUUUGCCUUCAUUCCUUUUGAAGACCUUCUUAUCAGAGUUUCUGUCUUUCCAUGAGAACUUCUUCCUUUUAUUGAAGUUUUUGUAAGCCAUCUUCUUGAAGCUUUUCACCAUCAAUGCUGCCAGCUGCAUCAUUUCAGUAUCACUGUCAUCAGAGUCUGAGGGGAUAUCAGUGUCUGAAUCAUUAUCAGAGUUUGAUGACUCAGUGUCAGACUUUUUGACAUGUGCUUUUCCUUUGUUUUUCACAGUUGUUUCUCCUUGAACUUUUAGAGCAACUGGUUUGGGUUUCCCUCCAUGUCGUUUGCUCCUUUGCUCCAUCUCAAGUUCAUAAGUUUUCAAUCUUCCAAAGAUAUCAUCCAGAGACAUCUCUUCAAGAUCAUGAUUAUCUCUUGUAGUGGUUACCUUCAAAUCCCACUUUUCAGGAAGAGCAAGCAAAAAUUUGAGAUUUGAGUCUUCUAAGUCAUAUUCUUUAUCCACUAGAGAUAAGUCAUUCAGCAGCUUGACAAACCUGUCAUAAAGAUCAGUCAAUGAUUCACCAGUUUUUGAAUCAAAGUGUUCAUACUCUUGAGUAAGUAUGGUCCUUCUGUUCUUUUUGAUGGCUUUGGUUCCUUGACAUCUGAUUUCCAAAGCAUCCCAUAUCUCUUUUGCAGUCUUACAUCCAAUCACACUAUUGGACAUAGCAUUGUCUAGAGCACAGUGCAACAAGUGUUUUACUUUUGCAUCCUUGCUGAUUGAUGAGAUGUCCUCAGGAGUGUAGUCCUUCUUUUCUUUGGGAAUCAUCUUCUGGGGCUCAUCUCCAACUGCAACAGAGAGCUUUGUUUGCAUAUGUGGACCAUCAUAAAUCCUAUCCAGGUAUUCUGGAUCUGUGGACUCCAGAAACAUAAUCAUCCUUACUUUCCAGACAGGAUAUUCAGAUGCCCUGAGGACCGGAACCCUAAGUGACUCAUAUCUACUGUUUGAAGUUUGUGAUUUUUCAGACAUGAUUGUGUGAUUAAGAUCUCACUGUAGGUAUAUCAAUAGAGCUCGCUCUGAUACCACUUGUUAGGCCGAAUUAACUCACUAUAUGAAUCAAUAUAGUGAACACAAUCAAUAACAAAAUACUCAAACAAGAGAUUUAACAAAGUAAACUCUUAUUCAUAAAACUCAGUAGGUUACAAAUACUCUCUUAGUGAUUUAUAACUUAUCACUAAGAGCUGCUGGGUAACAAGAAUAAGAUUCUCGAUAUUCUAACUCUUCUAGAGUAAACCCUAAUCUGUGUUUAUGUACACAGUUACAUGAUAUCUACUGUUAGGUCCAGAUACGAUUGUAGAAGGGGGGGGUUGAAUACAAUCGUCACCAAAUAAUCGCGGCGGAAUAAUCUGAUUGGAGUUAAACUUGUUAAUCAGAUUUUAAUUAAUUAAUAUAACAAUGUUUUAAGUCGUUAUAUAAUUAAUAAGGUUCGUUUUAAUGUCCACUAAAGUUCGUAGAAUAAAUUCGACAGGAUGUAUUCUAGUUUAGUGAUUAAAACAACCGAGUGAUCAAAGCACAGAAAACUGUGGAUAUAACAAUUGCAAGUUACAAACAACUUGAAAGCUUUUACAAUGCUUGAACACCUACAAAUGAAGAAGUGAAGCCAUAUUUAUAGGCAAAUCACUUGGAUCUAGGUAUGACAAAGAAAAUAAUGNNNNNNNNNNNNNNNNNNNNNNNNNNNNNNNNNNNNNNNNNNNNNNNNNNNNNNNNNNNNNNNNNNNNNNNNNNNNNNNNNNNNNNNNNNNNNNNNNNNNNNNNNNNNNNNNNNNNNNNNNNNNNNNNNNNNNNNNNNNNNNNNNNNNNNNNNNNNNNNNNNNNNNNNNNNNNNNNNNNNNNNNNNNNNNNNNNNNNNNNNNNNNNNNNNNNNNNNNNNNNNNNNNNNNNNNNNNNNNNNNNNNNNNNNNNNNNNNNNNNNNNNNNNNNNNNNNNNNNNNNNNNNNNNNNNNNNNNNNNNNNNNNNNNNNNNNNNNNNNNNNNNNNNNNNNNNNNNNNNNNNNNNNNNNNNNNNNNNNNNNNNNNNNNNNNNNNNNNNNNNNNNNNNNNNNNNNNNNNNNNNNNNNNNNNNNNNNNNNNNNNNNNNNNNNNNNNNNNNNNNNNNNNNNNNNNNNNNNNNNNNNNNNNNNNNNNNNNNNNNNNNNNNNNNNNNNNNNNNNNNNNNNNNNNNNNNNNNNNNNNNNNNNNNNNNNNNNNNNNNNNNNNNNNNNNNNNNNNNNNNNNNNNNNNNNNNNNNNNNNNNNNNNNNNNNNNNNNNNNNNNNNNNNNNNNNNNNNNNNNNNNNNNNNAUAUAUGUGAAAAUAUCAAAAGAAACUUCCCGGUGAAAUUUUCAUGAAAUUCCCGUGUACUAACCGCUUUGAGAAUUCGUCAAAAACUCGAACUAUAUUAUAUCUGCUCCGAUUCAGUCCCGAUUGCCCCAAAUAUGGUCGUGAUAAAAUUCAUAUAUCCAUAUGUUAGGCCGAAUAAACUCACUAUAUAUGUUAUAAUAUAGUGAACACAAUCCAAGACAAACACAAGUGUAAGAGAAUAAAUCAAUAAUCUCUUAUUCACAAAUCACAGUAGCUUACAAAUAAUCUCUUAGUGAUUUAUAUCUUAUCACUAAGAGCUGCUAGGUUACACGAAUGAUAUUCAAUUGAUAACUCAUCUAGAGUAAACCCUAAGCUGUGUUUAUAUACACAGUUACAUGAUAUCUACUGAUUGAUUUAUAAUUAUCUGCUUCCUAAAAUAAUCUAAUCAGUAGCUAUCCUUCUGCUGUCCUGAUUUGCACAAUCUCCCUUGAUCUUUAUCUUCCUUAUUUAUCUAGAUCUGCCCCUGAAAAUCAGCCGCCUGCAAGCUCUGAUCUUCGCUAAACUCUGAUCCAGUUGGCAGUCGUUAAACUCUGAUUUCCAGUUAAACUCUGAUAUUUGGUUCUGCACACUAAACAAGUUAGAUACCUGUGACAUCAUCAAAUAUGUAACAUUAAAAUUAUACAAAAUUUAUAUAAACAUAUUAUUUUAUGUAUACAUAUACAAAUACACACAUUAUAUAAUUAUUGUAUAAUAUAUAUAUAUAUAUAUAUAUAUAUAUAAUAUUUAAUAUCAUAUAUAUUUAAUUUUGGAUUCGGAUAUUAUCGGAUACGAAUAUGCCUAUAUCCGUAUCCGUAUCCGGAAUUGCCGGAUUCAGAUGCGGAUAAUAUCCACUUUGUCUCGGAUACGGAUAAUAUCCGCUUUAUCUUAGAUACGAAUGCGGAUUUUUCUGACGAAUAUCGGAUUUUUCGGACUUUUUUGACAGCCCUAGUCACAAGGACAAUCUGUGGAGAGAGUUGGUCUAUUUUUCCCAAAUUCUGUUUUUACUCAUGGCCAGAUGUACGUAGCUGUCAGCAGAGUUACAUCACGCGAAGGACUCAAAAUCUUCAUUGACUCCAAUUCUUGUGAUCCAAUAAGCAUAACAGACAACAUAGUUUACAAAGAAGUCUUCUAUAACCUUCCUAAAGUUUAAUCAUUCUGAAACACAUGACCAACUCUCCCUCAUGCUCUCUGUGUUAGUUGAAAGAACAGUCUCCUAUAUAUUUUUUUGGAAACUAUAUGAAUUGUUUUGGUGAUUAUGCUUUUGAUAAAUUAGAAGUUGUAAAAAGCAUAUUUUUUGGUAAUAAAAUGGUGCAUGUCUCCCUUCUUAGGUUUAAAUUAAUUCAUUACAUUUUAUCAGGCAUAAGAAUUUUUAUUCAUUGCAUUUAGUAAAGCCAGCUUAUGAAGCUGUUCUUGGCCCUCAUGAGUUGCCCAGUUUGGCUUUAUUGAAUAAGAGUUGUUCACUUUAUAUAUAAUUAUACUAUAUUUUAAUAUAACAUCCCUAUUCUAUUCUAAUAUGUGAAUCUCAGAUAUUAGACCAUAGUUAAAAAAUCAAAUCUCAGAUGCUCUAAAUGUAAAACUUUUUACUCUUGUGCAUUGUAAUUUGAAGAUUAUUAUAUUAUACUUUCCUAGCCUUGACAUUGUAACAGAGUUGUGCAGCUUUUUACAAUGACUUAGUCAAACGAUAGGAGGCAAAUGGAAAUACAGCUGUAAUGAAAAAAUUCCCACCACAUAUUAUUGUUUGUAAGAUCAGGCCUCUUUUGUAUUUCUACUCACUCCCAAACCAUUGAACACAUCUGAAGAAGCUGCCAUUAACACAUCUGAAUGGACAUUACGUGUUAGAGCUCAAACUGUCUAGAAAAGUAUCAACAGGCAAACCAAUGAAUUCAAGGGUUUAAAUCUGAUUUUUAUGGAUGAUACGGUAACAGCUUGCAACCUCAUUAAGUUUCUGAUUUUUUUUGCCUCAUAAUGGACAUGUCUGUUGGAUAGGGUAUGCUUUAAUAAAGUCAUGUUUAUGUGUAGAAUUCGAGGUUUCAUGCAUUUGUAAGUGCCAGGAUAAGUUCUCUGUUUGAUGAAACCCUCAAAGAAGGUAAAGUCUACAACUUAUCAAAUUUCCAUGUCCGGAAGUAUGGAGCAGAUGAUAGCAACAUGGCUGUGAGAUAUGAAAAGCACAUUCAUUUUGCCAACCAUACAGAACUCAAUGAAUUGGAUGCUGAUGUAACUACUAUUGCUCCAUAUGCCUUUGAUCAGUUUGAUUUUCCUGAUAUAAACACUUUCUUAAAUGAUAAUAGGUUCUUGAUUGGUAAUAAACUUUACUUUCUUACUUCAAGAUUUGCAUUCCACUACUCACAAAUGUAUAAGAACUAAUUGCCUUAUAAAUUUCUUACCUUUCCAUUGCAGAUGUGGUUGGGGAGAUAAUAAACAAACAUGUGAGUUGUGUGUACUCUAAAGAAGACAAAUGCAGAACUCAUAUCAGAUUUCAAAUAACUGUAGACCUAUGAUUAUCAGCUGCAUUGUUUAAUGCUUGCAUAUUAUUUUGGCCUAAAAUUCAAAAAAAACUUAAUAUAAGUAAGUAGUCAAUGUCAUUUUCUUUAAUAAAUUGGCUGAAUAGUUUGAGAAAGCCUUGAAAUAGAUAGAAGAUUCCUACAUCUAUGUCAUCAUAUCAAGUGCUAAAGUGAAUGAGCAUGAAGGUCAUUCAUUACUUUGAUCACUUGCUUGCAUUAUAACAACCAUCUUCAUUACUGUACAUUUAUAGCUCUUUAGUUACUUUACAUUACACAUAAAUAAAUUCUCUGUAGAAUCAUAUGUUUAUAUGUUCUUUAGGGCUCCCUGUCUGAAUAACUAUCCCGCCACGCGCUUCUACCUAAAUUUCGACCACUAUAGUGUCAAACAGCUGAAGUCUGGGUAUUGAGCACUACAACUGGCCUCAAAAUUACAAAUUAGGAUACCAUAAAUUAGCAAAAUAUUGCAUCUGAUUGAACCACAUUUGAAUUUUAAUGCAGAAUGUCUGGAAUUCCUAAGACUGAGGCUGUGGAAGAAGUGGCAGUUGAACAAAUCUCCCCAAUGCUUUCAGUUACAGAUAUCAAGAAAUUAACAUCUGAAUAUGCCAAGGUUUAUAAAAACUUAAAACCAAUAAUCUUUUGUUGUAACGUGUACAUGUGCAUGAAUACAUUUACUAAAACUAACUAAAUAUCUAUGUAGCGCAAAGUUUGUUGCCAAAUAACUGUUAAGAAAGUCGAUGUGCAAACAAACUGGUAUGACAAUGUUUGCACAACCUGUACCGCGGAAGUUCAAAUUGUUCGAGGGAGGUUCAAGUGUGAGCAGUGUGUCCGUAAAUUACCUUUUCCCGAUAAAAGGUAAUUUAUGUUUUUUAACCCUGAAAAAAAUUAACAAAUUUUACUCCAACAACCACAGCUUAUUUCAUCUAAAUUAUGUAUUGUGGUUAAUCAAUUAAUGGAGCAGGUUUAGACUUGCAACAAUAUGCAAUGAUGAAACUGGAAUUCUAGCAAUUAUCUUCUCUGAUGACAAGAUACAAUGUAUUCUAGAAAGGAAUGCCUUUGUUAGGUCCUGAAACGAUUGUAGAAGGGGGGGUUGAAUACAAUCGUCACUAAAAAAUCGCGGCGGAAUAAUCUGAUUUGAAUUAAACUUGUUAAUCAGAUUUUAAUUAAUUAAUAUAACAAUGUUUUAAGUCGUUAUAUAAUUAAUAAGGUUCGUUUUAAUGUCCACUAAAGUUCGUAGAAUAAAUUCGACAGGAUGUAUUCUAGUUUAGUGAUUAAAACAACCGAGUGAUCAGAUCACAGAAAACUGUGGAUAUAACAAUUGCAAGUUACAAACAACUUGAAAGCUUUUACAAUGCUUGAACAACUUUGAAAUGAAGAAGUGAAGCCAUAUAUAUAGGCAAAACACUUGGAACUAGGUAUGACAUUGAAAGGAAUGACUUAGUAGCUUAGGAAUGACAUUGCAAAGCAAAGCCAUGCCAAAAGGAAGGAAAGAAUGACAUUUAAAAGGAAUGUCAUACUGCCAUACACGGUAUGACAUUAAUUCCUUGGCCUUCAAGGGUCAGUUGGCAUGACUUAAUCAAUAGAAGUCAUAGGACAACAGGCGGUAUGACUUUUUAAGUCAUGAAGCCUCAAACGGUAUGACAUUAGUGAAUGUCAUACGGAUACACACGGUAUGACUUCAACAAUAUCAUACACAAAGACACGGUAUGACUUUCUUAAGUCAUACCAAACAGAGUCAGUUGACAGUACACGGUAUGGCUUUCUUUCAGAAAGUCAUACCGACUGAUAUAUCAUAUUACAAGCAUCAGAAUGACUUAUCAAUGUCAUGGCAAGGAAUGUCAUAAAGGGGGACACGGUAUGACAUUCAUUGAUAAUGUCAUACCGAGUCUUUUAGACAUUAAAAACAGUUUAAUUAAUUAUAUAAAUAUUCAAUAAUUACUCACUUAAUUAUAUUAAUCAUAUAAAUUCAUAAAUUAAAUUAAUUCGAAGGUGAAUCAAUUUAAUAAAUAAAUUAUACAACUAAUUUAAUUAUUUUGACAAGUGAAAUAAUUAAAUAAAUACUUAUAAAAUUAUAUUCCUUCAGCAGCAGGGACUCCAGGCUUUGUUGAACGUUGUAGAUCAUCGUUUUAAUUGAACGGCCACUUAUAGUUGAUGCAGAACACUUAAUCUGAGUAGCUGACACACAAAUGUACUGUCUGGUUCAUCUGUAUCUAGCUGAAUUAAAUAUUCUUUAUCAAAUAAACAUUUGAGACGUGGCUUGUUCGUCGAUUCUUUGUCUUCGUAGUUCUUCUUCAUUAGUAACAAUAGUAUGGAAUCUUCUGAAUAAAUAAAGUAUUAAAACUUUAUACCUUCUGGACUUCUGGACGUGCUACAAAAGAUUAUUUGUACACUGAGGCUUGAACAUAUUAAUGAACUUCUUCCAGUGGUGUGCAGCAGCAUCCUGAAAUUCUUCAGACAUAUAAUUUCAAUAAAUCACUUGACGUUCUUCGUACGGAUUCCUUCAACAGUACUUGCUAUUUACCUUGCUUUCUUAUCAGAGUUGAGUUGGUACCUCUUUAAUUACAAAUAGGCUAAACAUAUGCCUUUCAAUCUCCCCCUAUUUGUUUGUUAACAUAACAUGCAAAUUAUCGAGAGGAUAACUCAACUAACUGAUAAGACAAAGGAUUAAACAUGAAUUGUAAAUAGCAAAAAGUUUCUGGUAUUUCAUAAAACAUUCACCAGAAUUCAAAAGAUUACUUUAGAUUACAAAAGGAUGUUCUUACUGAACAUAUAUUACAAAUCCCUAAUGAAUCUAAAGAUCAACUUCUCCUUCUUCGAUAUUAGAAGUGUGAAGGAUAGGAGUUGACGGUUCUUCCCUGGUUGGCACUUCAGAUGUAGUGGAUUCACCACGCUUCUUUCGUUCCUUUGCCAGAGCCAGUUGAUGUAGCACUUCUAAUUCCACAGGGUCUUCGCGGAAGUCUGAUGGCUGAGAUUUUGUAACAUUUUUCAUCCUUCGAAAGUACUGAGCAACAUUCUUUCGAGUGCAGUAAGCAAGAAUCACAUCAUCAGCAUCAGACUUAGCUUUAGAAGCAAAGCCCUUGGUUCUUAAAAGAGUGGAGGCAAGAGCAAGUUGUUUAGCUGGAUACUUUGGCAAGGCUUCUUCGUUGAGAUAGACAGUGCUGAAGAUCUCCUUGUGAACGAACUUAACACAGUAAGGAUUCCUAACAACCUGAGGACUGUUGAAUACAGCUUGAUCCAGCAGUUUGUCACGAAGGAGUUCAUUCAGGUUGGAGCUUCGCCUAACCUUGUUUCGAAGCACCCAGAGCUCAGAUACAGAGAAUGAUUUCAGAGAUUCGACAGAUAGUCUGAAAGAACCAUUCCUCUGUGUAUAGACAAUUAGCUCCCAUUGCUCUAGCAGAUUGUUGACUCCCACAGUCAAAUAAUUUAAUUCCAAAGCAAAGGCAUGCAUACAGACAUCCUCGUCAGGGUUUACCUCUCUAAGAUCAUAGAUCAGAGAUAAGAACUUGUUGUCGUCGAAAGGCUCCCUUUGAGGUCCAUUAAAGAUUCUUCUUGCAAUGUCCCAGCUUUUUCCUUCUUUCCUCCUUAUAUCAAGAUUCUUCUGUUUGAUUGCAGCAUCAUAGAUUUUCUGUUUCUCGAUCUUGAUUUGUUCUUCUGUGAUCAACUUGUCCUCUAGAAGUUUUUGGAAAUCACGAAGCUUACGCUUCCUAGCUUCAUUUUCAGCUUUGAACUUCCGGACAUUCUCCUCAUGUUCUAGGUCAACAGGUUCUUCAUCCUGAAACAAAUAACCCUCAUCAAAUUUACCUUCUUCUUCUUCUGCUUGACGAUAGGUAGCAUCGAAGAUGUCAUCAUCAUCCAUAUCCUGUGGAUAGUCAUCAUAACUAUCAGAAUUGAAAACAUUGUCGGACUGAUGUAACGGUUCUUUGCCUUUAGACUUAUGAGUUUCUUUGUCAGGGGCAGAUCCAGAAGUGGUAUUAUCCUUGUUGCUUUGAUUUGAGCUAUUGCCUCUAUCAUCCCUGUCACCUUUGUCUCUAUUCUCCCCCUUAGUUGAGGGAUCCUCUCCGGAGGGUUGAUCAUCAGACUUGUUGGAGUUUCUGAGGAGUUGAUCUAACUUGCUGUCGAUGGUCUCAAAUUUGGACAUGUAAAGCUCAUGAUUAGACCUCAUUUCAACAGCCAAGUCAUGGAUUUCCUCUUUAAGCUCAUCCCUGUAAGAACUGGAUGGCCUCUCCUCAGUUUUCUGUUGCAGGGUCACCAACUGUGCACCCUUGAGCUUCUCGUUCUCAGCAAUCAUUCUGGCAAGCUCAGCUCUUAGCUUUGCCAUUUGUUCCUCAAACAGAGCAGGGUUAGUGUGUGCGCUCACCUCACGUACACUCAAAGCUGUUUCACUAGCCUCACGUGCAUGUGUAUCGCUCGGUGUUUGCCUUACAUCACUCUGUUCAGUCACUCUUCCCGCUGUACCUGUAUAUACUACCAAUGUCCCCUGAGAUGGGUUCAAAGGUAGUGGAGGAACAAAUUGUCCUCCGGACGCCUGUGAGGGCAGAUUAACUUGCACGCUGCCAAGUUCCGCCUGAUCAGAAAAGAAAGGGUGAUCAGCAAAGUUUUCAUAAAUAAUACAUUGAUUUUGAAAAUCUGUGCACUCAGUAAACAUAGUAACCUGUGUAUCUGUUUGGGCUGGCACUAGCGUGAGUGCUAGCGCAGUGCUUGACUCUGUACAAGUUACCGCGGCCGGACGGUCAAUUUCAAUGGCCACAUCCUGUAGAGAGAAUGGGUCCAGAGACUGUUUAUCUGCCAUUUCAAAAUCUGAGCCUUGUUGGGAAGGCACAGAUGAGGCUACAGUUGUCUCCAAGGUUUCCACCCUUUGCUUCUUUGAGGGAGACAGAGCUGUGGGUUUAUUCAUUAAACUACUCGAACUCCGUUUCCUCGCAACUUUACGAACAGGUUGCAUUGAAGUGUUGGUUGAUGUGUUUGGAGAAACGAGAGUUUGUUGAAGAGAAUCUUCAGCUAGGUUAUGAACCUGUGUGUUGUCAGGUUCAUUGCUGGUAGGCUGGAAAACAAAAUCAAGGUCACAAACAAAAUCACAACCAUAAUCUGACGUAUCAACAUUAAAAUUAGAUGAUAAGUUAGAAAGUACCUGAGCUACCUGUAGGUCCUGACGGAAGGACUGCAGCUCUGGGUUGAUAGGAGAGUCAGAGGGAAGGGGUUGUGAGGUAGAUUGUGUUUGUGGGAUGAUUUGGGAUUGUGUUUGGUGUGGGAGAGGUUCAGAUGAAGAUGGUUGAUGCUCGAAGAGAUCAUAAUCCAAAGUUUGAUCUUCAAAUGAAGGGUUAGAUUGUUCUGUUUGAUGGAUGGGGGAGUGAUAUGAUGAUUGGUUGGAUGAGUGGUGUGAAGAUUGUGCUUCUUGGGAUUGUUGAGGUGAAUGCUGCUGUUGUUGUUGUUGUAGAAGUUGUUGUUGAUGUUGAAGUUGUUGUUGAUGGUGUUGUGUAGGUUGUUGAGUCUGCAGGGGUUGAGGUUCUUGAGGUUGCUGCUGCUGCUGCUGUUGUUGAGGUUGUGGUGGAUGAGCCACUUGAAGUUGAUACGGUUGAAGAGGAGCAUUGAACAUUUGGAGCAUGUGAGGAGUGGUGAUUAGUGGAACAUUGGCAAAUUUAUUCUUGUUAUCCAACUGAGUCAUAAGUUUGGUGCAGGCACGAGGAACUUGUGCCACAGGAGAGUUGGAGUAGUGUUCCUUCUCAGCGUCAGUCAUCUUGUCAUUCAGAAACAGCAUAAUAAACCUUGGAUAGAAACAGGAAACCUUUGCGUUCUGUUCAACAGAUCUGUUCCUAAGGGGCCCUAACUUGGAAAGAAUGGCUUGAAGAAUAAGCUUUCCAAAGUUAAUCCGACGAUUAUAAACAAUGCUGAACCCAAUCUUCUGAAGCAGCGAGGUUAUUACAUUAAAGUUCUUGCGAGUGGUCGGAGCAAACACUUUAGCCAAAGUGUCGAAGAAAAGAUCCCACUCAGGCUUCAGAUUGCCUUUCAACAUUCUAGGCAAAUUGAUCUCUCCCUGAUAUAAGAUUGUCUCGAAGAAAUUGGAGAGUUCAGCUUCGGUAGGGAGUUCAGCAAAAUUCUCCCUUGGAAACCCCAAAAUCCUAUUCACAUCAUCAGUGCUGAUAGUAAUCGUACGUCCUCCGUGUAUAUCUCCAGAAACCCGAUGAUUAUCCAACAAAGUAGUAUUCAGGGCUGUCGAGUAGAAGUCCUGAAUUGGCUGUAUCUGGAGGUCUGCAUGAGCUGUAAUAGCAGUGCUGACGAGCGACUGGCUAUUCAGAAACCGGACCCACGGUCUAAAACGAGCCAAACUGGCCUCGGGGUCGAAAAAUCCAUUCAAAUUAGUCUCCUCGAUAACAAAGCGACCGGCCAUUUUUAAAAUUAAAAAUUGAAUUAAGUGAGAAUUUUUCAAAUAAAAUAAUAAUUUUCAAAUUUCUCACAAAUUUCAAUUAAUAAUUAAAUAUCAAUUAAUUAAUUAAUUAAUAAUUCGAUUUAUAUGAAUAAAUUCGAAUUAAAAUUUAAUUAAACUUAAAAUGGCUAAUCAAAGUCCCAAACACUGCCUUAAACUCCAAUUAAUCCAAACAAUCCCCAAUUUGGCUUUAAAAACCCUAAUGUCGAAUUCCACGAAAAGGGGUUUCAAAUCAGUUGAUCCAAAUCACCUCAAAUCGACCAAAACGGAUAACACACUGCAAAUGACUUACAAACCCAGUCGAGAAUCGUUCAAAAUCGGUGAUAAAACCCUUGACUCAGUCGAACUCGGUGAACUCGGUGAAAUGGGUUUCAAACUUUAAAAAAAAACCGGCAGCAAUUCGACUUAGAAACACGAUUAGGAGUAACCAGCAAGCUUUUUAGACUUGGAAUAAACGAAAUUAGCAAGUUUUAUCGCAAAAACUUGAAAAAGAAUCGAGCAAGAACAAUGGCAGUAUGCGUGUAAGUGAGGGAGAUGAAGUGGAGAAUAGGUAUGACUUUCUUUAGUUAAGUCAUACGACUUUUGAAUGGUCGGUAUGACUUAAUAAAGAAAUGUCAUACCGAACGAGUGAGUAUGACAAACUUUGAAGUGCGGUAUGACAUUCAUAAGCAAUGUCAUACCGAGAAGUGCAAGGCAGUUGAUCAAACACGGUAUGACAUUAUUAAAUAAUGUCAUACCGAAGCAGUGAAGAUUGAGGAAUACGCUAUAGUCGGUAUGACUUUCUUUUGAAAAGUCAUACCGAGCUUAUAAAACAGAGUAUUAAUAAAGUAAAAUAGAAUAUUACGAUUUUUGAUUAAUUAAAAACAAUAAAACUUUUUGCACAUUUAAUCAAAAAUCUAAUACACAUAAUAUAUAAUAUAUUACACAUAUAUUUUGUAAAAUUCAACUUUAAUUAAAUAUAAAUACUUAUGAAUUUAACUUUAAUUCAUUAAAAUGAAUUAACUUAAAAUCAAAUAUUUAUGCUUAAUUAAUUUUGAAAAAUACAACAUAAAUACAUAUAAUUAUCUAAAUGCAUGGAGAAUAUUACAGGGGAGUACGCAGCACUUAGAGAAUUACAGAAACAUAUAUGAGCAUGUAUAAUUACACAUAAAGUUAUCAGAUAAUCUACACAAAAUUAUAUAAAAUCUAAUAAAAUAGACAUAAUUACACAGAAAAUUCACAAAAAUAUAUAAUAAUAUGUAAAAUUCAUAUAAAAUAUAUACAAAGAGAAUCAUGGCAUAUUUAACAUCCCUAGCUCACAAACCAACUUAGAGAAAGUGGAUUCAUCAAGUGGUUUAGUGAAGAUGUCUGCAAUCUGAUCAGCUGUGGGUACGAAAUGUAACACCACAGUACCAUUCAUGACAUGUUCUCGAAUGAAAUGAUACCUGAUAUCUAUGUGCUUGGUCCUGGAGUGUUGCACUGGAUUGUUUGAAAUGGCUAUGGCACUGGUGUUGUCACAAAAUAUUGGAAUUUUGUCGACAGAAAUACCAUAAUCAUUUAAUUGAUUUCUGAUCCAGAGAAUCUGAGCACAGCAACUGCCAGCAGCUAUGUACUCAGCUUCAGCAGUAGAAGUGGACACUGAGUGUUGCUUCUUGCUGUACCAGGAAACCAACCGACGUCCUAGAAAUUGACAACUUCCAGACGUACUCUUUCUAUCAAUCCUGCAACCUGCAUAAUCAGAAUCUGUAUAGCCGGUUAAGUCAAAACCAGUAUUCUUAGGGUACCAAAUACCUAAACCAGGUGUACCCUUAAGAUAUCUAAAGAUUCUUUUGACGGCUAUAAGAUGUGAUUCUUUAGGAUCAGCCUGAAACCUAGCACACAAACAUGUUGCAAACAUUAUAUCUGGUCUACUAGCAGUGAGAUAGAGUAAGGAGCCAAUCAUACCUCGAUAGCUUGAGAUAUCAACUUUCUUACCAGAUUUAUCCUGGUCAAGCUUUGUGGCAGUGGCCAUGGGUGUCUUUGCCGGUGAAGAGUCUUCUAGAUUGUACUUUCGAAGAAGAUCUCUGACAUACUUGGAUUGGCAAAUGAAUAUUCCAUCUUCCUUUUGGCUUACUUGAAGACCAAGGAAGUAGGACAGCUCACCCAUCAUACUCAUCUCAUAGUUACUCUGCAUUAACUUAGCAAAUCUCUUGCACAAGUUAUCGUUAGUAGAACCAAAUAUAAUAUCAUCAACAUAUAUUUGAACAAAUAUCAUAUCAUUAUCAUGCAAUUUGUAAAAGAGAGUUUUGUCUAUGACACCUCUAGUAAAUUUAUUUUCAAUUAAAAAUUCAGAGAGGGUGUCAUACCAUGUCCUUGGUGACUGCUUGAGCCCAUAGACAGCUUUGAAUAGGAAGUACACAAAAUCAGCAAAUUCUGGAUUUUCAAAGCCAGGGGGCUGUUCCAGAUAUACUUCUUCUUCUAGCUUUCCAUUCAGAAAUGCACUUUUCACAUCCAUCUGAUAAACUUUGAAGUUGGAGUGUGCAGCAAAUGCAAGAAAUAUUCUGAUGGCUUCAAGACGAGCAACUGGAGCAUAGGUUUCAUCGUAAUCAAUUCCUUCUUCUUGAGAAUAACCUUUUGCAACCAGUCUGGCUUUGUUUCUCACAACAAUGCCAUCACCAUCUAACUUGUUACGGAAGACCCAUCUAGCUCCAAUUGUAGAUUUUCCUUUUGGUCUUGGAACCAGGGCCCAGACUUCUUGUCUCUCAAAUUGAUUGAGUUCUUCUUGCAUGGCAAGAACCCAAUCAGGAUCAGCAAGUGCUUCAUCUAUUUUCUUUGGUUCUAAUUGUGAUAGAAAACCAGAGAAUAGACAUUCAUUUGUCGUAGCACUUCUAGUCCUUACACCAACAUCAGGAUCACCAAUAAUCAGAUCAAAGGGAUGAUCUCUGCUCCAAAUCCUUUCCCUUGGAAGUUGUGUCCUUGAUGAUUCAGCAGUAUUAUCAUUAGGCUGAUGUGUAUGACUAGUUGAUCCACCAGCUCCCCCUGAGUUGUUGCCAGGUUGACUUGAUGAUCCACCACUAGCAUCAGUGGAAUCUCCAGCAUUAUUGCCAUUUCCUCCACCAUUGCCUGGAUCAUUAUCAUUGUUGUCAUCACCUGUUGCAACCUCAGGUGGCACAUCAUCAUCUGAAUCAGAAUCUGGAUAGUUGUCAAACUUCAGAGAUUCAGAUGGAUCAGCAGAUUGUAAACUUGGUAGUUUAGUGUCAUCAAAUGUUACAUUGACACUAACUUUCACUGACAGAGUAUCAAUUACAAAAACUCUAUAAGCAUUAUUUGUAUAACCAACAAAAAUUGCUUCAGAUGCCUUUGGCUCAAACUUGUUCAAGUUCUCUUCACCAUCCUUGAGAACAUAACACUUGGCUCCAAAGACAUGAAGAUGUUUGACAUAAGGUUUCUUGUUGUUAUACAGAUGAAAUGGAGUUUUCAUAUGAUCCUUGUUGAUCAAAGUUCUAUUCUGGGUAUAGCAGGCAGUAGACACAGCUUCAGCCCAAAAGUACAGAGGAAGCUUUGCUUCAGCAAUCAUAGUCCUUGCAGCUUCGAUCAGUGUACGAUUCUUUCUUUCGACGACUCCAUUCUGCUGAGGAGUCCUUGGUGCUGAAUACUGCCUUCUAAUUCCCUUUUCAGAGUAAAAGUUGAUUAGAGUUUGAUUCUUGAAUUCUGUGCCAUUGUCUGACCUUACAGCUUUGACUGGCACACCUUUAUCCAAUUCAACUAACUUUAUAUGAUCAAUCACUGUCAACGGGGUUUCAUCCUUAGAAGCCAGGAAGUAAACCCAAGUAAAUUUUGAGAAGUCAUCCACAAUAACCAAGGCAUAUCUUCCUCCAUCAAUGGAUGCAACAUUCACAGGGCCAAACAGAUCCAUAUGCAACAAAUGAAGUGGAUCUGUAAUGGUAUUGAUGGUUUUGCCUUUGUGAGAUGCUCUCUUCGCUUUUCCUUUCUGACAAGCUUCACAAAGAUCAUCAGUUGAGAAUUCCAGGGAAGGCAACCCUCUCACUAGAUCUCUCUUGACUAGAGAGUUCAUGGUUUUGAAGUUGAGGUGUGAGAGCUUCUUAUGCCAUAACCAACUAUCUUCAGCAGACGCUUUGGCGUAGAAACAGUGAACUUCGUUUCCUGGUCCUGAAGACAAAUCAGCUACGAAUAUAUUGCCUUUCCUUAUGCCACAUAGUGAAGGACGCUUAUCCUUGAUAUGUUUAAUGAUACAUAUCUCCUUUUCAAAAUGAACAUAAUAUCCUUUGUCACAGAAUUGACUGACACUCAGGAGAUUAUGUUGAAGUCCUUCAACUAUUGCAAUAUCUUCUAUGAUGAUCCUUCCAAUUUUGUACUUGCCAUAUCCCACAGUACGACCUUUGCUAUUAUCAGCAAAACUGACUGUAGGGCCAGCUCCUUCUCUUAUGUCUUCCAGCAGGGAUUUAUUGCCAGUCAUGUGCAUUGACGCUCCACUGUCAAGCACCCAGGUAACACGAACAAUUCCACUGGCACCCUGCAAAAGACAACUUGAUUAAACAUUCUUUGGGACCCACACUUGAUUGGGUCCAGCAAACUUAAAGAACUGAUUUCUAUCAGGUGUAACAACAGAGCCUCUUGGACUGAUACUUGGUUCAGACUUGACUGAACUUACUUCCUUAACAACAGCCUUAUAAACCUUAGUUUUAGGCUUUGGAACAUAAGUCUCCUUCCUAACACGAGUAGGACUAGCAGUCUUUGAUCUAGCAUGCUUGUUGUUUGUGUGUUGUCUAGGUGAUGUGUUUUCAUUUUUAGCAUGCAAAUUUUUAAAAUAAGCAGACAUCAAAUUGAAAGCACAAGUCAUACAAUUAUCAACACUACAAGAUUUAUGACAUGCAUCAAAAGCAGGAACAACAGGAGUAUCAGUCAUAGUAGUAGGAACAUCAAUAGAUUCUACUCUAACCUUGUUAUCAGAUUUAAAGUUCUCAGUAGAAUGACAUCUAUUGUUCUUGUUCUUACUAUUCACAAAAUUAUUAGGCUUGUUGAAUUUAGUUCUCUCAGAGUUGACACCUAAACCAGCUUUAGGCAACCUAACAUUGCCUUUCACUUUGAUUGGUUUCAGUGAUGUCAGGAUCUCAUCUCUCUUCUCAUUACUCUCUUUCAUUUUAAGGUCUUCCUGUUUGAGUUCAUAUCUAAUGACAACAGGAGUCUCUAAAAGAGGUUCAGCUUCUGAGGUUUUAAACAAAGGUUUAAGGGAAUCUUUCAAAACAAAAGGAAUCCCUCUCUCCUCAGCACUCUUCUUAAAAGGAGUAAUGUUACUAGCCUUACCUACAGAUUUGUUAUAGUCAAAACCUAUUCCAACAGUUCUCUUGAUCUCUUGUUUAUCAUUAAGUUCUUUGACUAUCAAGGAGGCAUCCUUAAAGGCUUUACAUUUCACUUUCUCUUCGUCUAGCUGAAGUCUUAAAGCAAUCUCACCUUUCUCUAGAACUUUGACUUUAGCACAUUGUAAUCCUAAAUCCAUAGUCAAUUGUUCUAUUUUAGGUUUUAAUACUUUCAUCUCAUUCAUCUUAUAAGCAUGAAUUUCUAAGACUAAAGUAUCAAUUUUAAGAUUGGCAGCUUUCAUCUUUUUAAUAGCAUCAUCUCUUUCAAGUCCUAAUUGCAUAAACAGUUUAGGGCAUGUAGGAUCUACCUGAAAGCUUCCAGCAGGAGGAGGUGAAGAUGAUCCAGCAUUAGCCAUGAGAGCAACAUUCCCAAUCUGCUCUUCUUCAUCACUAUCUGUAUCAUCCCAGCUUUUCCCUUCUGCUAGAUAUGAUUUGCUCUUGAAGCUUUGACUUCCAGAAGUACCAUGAUGCUUUCUUACUAAGGCAUCAUACUUCUGCUUCAGCUCAUCAUACGAAUCCUUUCUCUUUCCUUGAACCUUGGGCUGCUUGCACUCAGUUGCAAAGUGUCCAGGUUCACCACAGUUGAAACAUUUAAAUUUACUUCUGUCCACCAUCCCAGUCUUGUAUCCUCCUUUGCUUGUUGAAGAUGAAUAGCCUCCCUUCUGAAACUUACUAACAGUAGGUUUGUAUUUAUAGGAAGGGUUCUUCCGGAAUCUCAUGUUUCCAAACUUCUUGGCAAACAGUGAUAGAGAUUGAUCUUCUAACUGUUCAAGCUCUUCCAUUGUAUAGAACUCUUCGUCACCACUGGAAGAAGCAGUCUGACCCAUCUCAGGUACAACAAAUUCCUGAGUAGUCUUAGAAGGAACAACAACAUCCUUCUUCUUUUCUUCCAGUACAGGUGACUCAACAACUAGAGCUCUCGAAUGGUUCUGUGUUUUACCCCAGCCAUAUCUCUGUUUACUCUGAACUUGCUCCAGUUCAUAAGUUUUCAAAACUCCGUAGAGUCUUUCCAGAGAAAUCUCAUUCAGAUCUCUGCUUUCCCUGAUGGCAGUGAUUCUGUGUUCCAGAUGUUCAGGAAGGGUUAAGAGAAACUUCAUGUUGACCUCUUUCUUGUCGUAGAAUUUCCCAUUCAGAUUUAAAUUAUUUAUCAAAUUAUUAAGUCUGAUAAAUACUUCUGAAAUCCCUUCACCGGGAUGGGAACCAAACUGUUCAUACUGAGCCAUCAGUAUCUCUUUCUUGUUUUCCCUAACUUCCUCUGAGCCUUCAUUGAUAAUCUCUAACGUAUCCCAGAUUUGCUUGGCGUUCGUACAAUUUACAACAGCAUUGUACAUCACUGGAUCUAGAGAUUCAACCAAAAUUAGUUGAAGAGCAUCAUCUAAAUUCAUCUGUUCACUCUCUUCAUCUGUGUACUCAGAAAGUUCUUUCGGAAUGAUCUGAUGAGGUAUUAACACACCAUCCUCUUCGUGUGCUAAUAUGACAUGAAUAGAAACACCUUUGUUUAAUAUCCCGAUAUAUUUUCUGUUGGCUGUGCGGAGGAAUAAUAACAUGUGCCUCUUCCAUAGGCCAAAGUGUUCCUUGCUGAACGGUGGGAUUUUAAUGCUACUGAUCUUUUGUGUACUCAUGUUUAAGGAUUUGAAGUGAAUAGUGUUUGGAUGAGAUUUGGAUUUUUGAAAGAAAAAUAUUUUAAAUCAAAAUUAAUUUUUGGAAUAAAAUUAAUUCGAAUAAAAAAUAUUUGGACGUUACAGAGUGUGUAUAGGAUCUGAUACGGAAAAUGGUAUCAACCGCUCUGAUACAAAUUGUUAGGUCCUGAAACGAUUGUAGAAGGGGGGGUUGAAUACAAUCGUCACUAAAAAAUCGCGGCGGAAUAAUCUGAUUUGAAUUAAACUUGUUAAUCAGAUUUUAAUUAAUUGAUAUAACAAUGUUUUAAGUCGUUAUAUAAUUAAUAAGGUUCGUUUUAAUGUCCACUAAAGUUCGUAGAAUAAAUUCGACAGGAUGUAUUCUAGUUUAGUGAUUAAAACAACCGAGUGAUCAAAGCACAGAAAACUGUGGAUAUAACAAUUGCAAGUUACAAACAACUUGAAAGCCUUUACAAUGGUUGAACAACUUUGAAAUGAAGAAGUGAAGCCAUAUAUAUAGGCAAAACACUUGGAACUAGGUAUGACAUUGAAAGGAAUGACUUAGUAGCUUAGGAAUGACAUUACAAAGCAAAGCCAUGCCAAAAGGAAGGAAAGAAUGACAUUUAAAAGGAAUGUCAUACUGCCAUACACGGUAUGACAUUAAUUCCUUGGCCUUCAAGGGUCAGUUGGCAUGACUUAAUCAAUAGAAGUCAUAGGACAACAGGCGGUAUGACUUUUUAAGUCAUGAAGCCUCAAACGGUAUGACAUUAGUGAAUGUCAUACGGAUACACACGGUAUGACUUCAACAAUAUCAUACACAAAGACACGGUAUGACUUUCUUAAGUCAUACCAAACAGAGUCAGUUGACAGUACACGGUAUGGCUUUCUUGUAUGGCUUUCUUUCAGAAAGUCAUACCGACUGAUAUAUCAUAUUACAAGCAUCAGAAUGACUUAUCAAUGUCAUGGCAAGGAAUGUCAUAAAGGGGAACACGGUAUGACAUUCAUUGAUAAUGUCAUACCGAGUCUUUUAGACAUUAAAAACAGUUUAAUUAAUUAUAUAAAUAUUCAAUAAUUACUCACUUAAUUAUAUUAAUCAUAUAAAUUCAUAAAUUAAAUUAAUUCGAAGGUGAAUCAAUUUAAUAAAUAAAUUAUACAACUAAUUUAAUUGUUUUGACAAGUGAAAUAAUUAAAUAAAUACUUAUAAAAUUAUAUUCCUUCAGCAGCAGGGACUCCAGGCUUUGUUGAACGUUGUAGAUCAUCGUUUUGAUUGAACGGCCACUUAUAGUUGAUGCAGAACACUUAAUCUGAGUAGCUGACACACAAAUGUACUGUCUGGUUCAUCUGUAUCUAGCUGAAUUAAAUAUUCUUUAUCAAAUAAACAUUUGAGACGUGGCUUGUUCGUCGAUUCUUUGUCUUCGUAGUUCUUCUUCAUUAGUAACAAUAGUAUGGAAUCUUCUGAAUAAAUAAAGUAUUAAAACUUUAUACCUUCUGGACUUCUGGACGUGCUACAAAAGAUUAUUUGUACACUGAGGCUUGAACAUAUUAAUGAACUUCUUCCAGUGGUGUGCAGCAGCAUCCUGAAAUUCUUCAGACAUAUAAUUUCAAUAAAUCACUUGACGUUCUUCGUACGGAUUCCUUCAACAGUACUUGCUAUUUACCUUGCUUUCUUAUCAGAGUUGAGUUGGUACCUCUUUAAUUACAAAUAGGCUAAACAUAUGCCUUUCAGCCUUUGAUAUUGAGCAAGAUGAAAAUGAAGUAAGCUCUCUAUAAUACUAAUUAUGCCUUACAAGUUUUAUUUAUCAAUUAAUUUUUACAUCAUUAGAAUAAAAUGUCUGCUUCUAACAAUGUAGUCUAUGAUAAUAUUCAAGGAGUCGGAUGAAUUAACAUUCCCACCCUCUCUAAAAGCUUUUGAGAAGAAACAAUUUGAUGUGACAUUACUACUAACCGAGCAGAAUGUUAACAAAACAUACAACAUCUACACUGCAACAGAGCUAAAUGAUCUUGUUGAAAUGUUGGGCAACCACAACCAUCAAGAAUUCAGUCUAUUGCAUCUGAGCCGAUUAGGGAAACUAUGGUAUAGAGUCUACAUUCUUAUUCAUCUUUUCUUCAAAUUUUUUUAGGCACUUCUAAAUAAUUGAUUUUAAAUUACAAAUACAGGAACUUGAGCGUACUACGGAAACUUUGAGUAGUCCUCCAACUGGGAAGUCUACAACCAAAGUAAAAACAAGGUCAACAGAUGAGAAUGCAUCAGAGGUGAUUUUGGAAACAAUGGUAUAUAGUCGACAUUCUUCAGAAGUUUUUGCUCAAUUUUUGUUAGGCACUUUAAAAUAAUUACCCUUAUAUAUACAUGAACUUGAGCGUACUACAGAAACUUUGAGUAGUCCUCCAGCUGGGAAGUCUACAACCAAAGUUAGAACAAGGUCAACAGAUGAAGAUGCAACUGAUUCCAUGGAUGAAAAUAUUCCUCUUGCCAAGUUUAAGAUUGUCAAAACUGAGAAGGCAAACAAAUUUGUUUUACGGCCAAAAUUAUACUAUAAAUUGUGUAUGGGUUUAUAAUUCAAAGAUAUUUCUCAUGCAGAAAUGAAUGGCACACUGCUCUUUGAAUUAUUUUGAGAUGGACUCAACUCUUGCUCGACCUACUUUUUAAUUUGACAUUGAGACAGUUAAGAUGUUUAAUUGGCACAUUGUUGCCUUCUUUUGGCAAUAUAUGGAGAUGUCUCCUUUAAACUUUUUUUUGAGAAGAGAUGGCAUGUUACCUUUUUCAUGUAUGACUUCUUUAUGAAUUAACUGCAUUGCUUCAGGCCAGUGAAUUUGAUUUCUAUUUUGUUAUUUCUGCAUUUUCUUAAUUCAUUUGGCAGCAAAGCUUUAGUGCAUACUUCUAUCCUUUUAUAUACUUCUCUACGUUCAUAUACCUGAUUUUAUGGUCAAAUAGUAGUAGAACACACAUACAGGCAAGUAUAGAAACAUUGAUUUUAUAUAAGAUAGUUUCGAGUAAAUUGAUGAAGCAAUAUAAUAUUAAUGAGAUUUCUUGAAAUAUGAGUUGGCCAGGAAGGAUGUCUACUUUCAGUUGUAAGGCAUCUUAGGUGCAAUAUAUGGAAAUGUCUGUAUUAAAAUUUAUUUUAAACAGAUAUGCCAUGUUCCCUAUUUCGUGUAUUACUGCUAUACGAAAUUACUGCAUUGCUUCAGGUCAGUGAAUAUGUUGUUUAUAUUUUGAGCUCUCUGCGACACAGCUUUCAGCAAAGAUGUAUUCACCUGCGCAUAUUUAAAUAGAAAUCACUUUAAAUUAAAGUUGGACAACUAUAAUAGUCGAGACCAACCUUUUACCCUGUCUUUAUCAGCUUUAAUUAAUGUUUACAUUUUGCAUACACCAUAAAAGGCAGCUCAGUUAGAUUUUGUAAACAAAAAAAAGAGUAUAAGCAAGUCCACACAUUACAAAACACUCCAACAUGUCAACCAAGAAGUAUGAUAGUUUUAAGGAUCUGAGGAAAGGAAAAUACGAUUGGAAGGUUCUUGCAAGGGCACUGAACUCUUGGAAAGGUUACACCAAAACUAGGGAGGCUUUCAAAGGCUACAACAUAUUGCUUCUAGAUCAUAAGGUGAGCCUAAUGCAUUUCUUCAUAUUUUUUUCUCUUAAAUAAUGUCUCAUAAAAUCAGUGAAGCUUCUAAUCAAAAUAAUCUGUCACAAUUUCAGAGAGCUAGAAUCCAUGCUUCUGUGCCUGCAAAACUAGAAGAGGAAGUAGACAAAUUGGUUGAUCUCGGCAAAAUCUACCUGAUACAAAACUUUACUGUCAAAAACUACCAACCAGAUGACAAAUAUAGGUGCCUUAGAAAGAAUAUUCAAAUUCAGUUCGGGGGAGACUAUAAUUACUCAACUACAAGAAGAAGAUAUAAGUAUUGAAAAGACUUGGUUUGACUUCUAUGAUCUUGCUUAACUAAAACCCCUGCCCACUCAAACUACCUACUUGACUGGUAAGUUGUAGAAACAAUGUCAUACAAUUAUCCGUUUCAAAACUUAUUUAUCAUAAAUUAUUUGUAAUGUCUUAGAUGUAAUAGGAGUAAUGGAAAAACAUGACCUCAUCGGGAAAUUGAUGAAUAGGCACAGGAAGGUCCAAUCACAGAUAAAAUUUGGCAUUACUGAUGGCAAGUAUGUACAUCUUGCACAAACAAGGCUAUCCAGUGUCCUUAUUCCAUCCAAAAAAAUAUUUAUAACGAAUAAUCGACUAUUACAGGACAACUGCCCACGUAACUCUAUGGGAUGAUUUUGCUGAGCUUUUUGCUUCAAUGCUGAAAAUGGACCAAGAAGAAUACAAAAUCUUGAUACUCGGUUGUGCUAGAAUAACUAAAUAGGGAGGUAUUAUGUUUGAGAUAUGUACUGUACAUUCAUACAACAUUAGAUUUUCCGGCAAUUUUAUGACAACCUCUUUAAACAGAUGAGGCUGUAAUUACACAUGUCCAUGCUACUACUUUCUAUAUUAACUACGACAUCCCCUGUGUUCAUCAGUUAAGAAAAAGGUUUAAUGCUUCUAAUUAUAACAUCCAUUUUUAUUAACAAGGGAAGAAAUCAUAUAAGUUUCUAAUAUUUUUAUUUAUUCCCAGGAUAUCACACCCUAGCUUCAAAAAAGAUAAUAUAUUCAAGGGAAGGAACAGGUCUCCAAUUGUCUAUAAAGUGAAAGAAAUAAAAGAACUCAGAGAACAAUAUAAUGAGGUAAAUUUCCCAACCAUAGAAAUCAAAAGAUGUUGACUCAAUCUAUAACAUGGUUGCCCAUUUUGUAGACUGAACUGAUAUGCCAAGUGAAAAUUACGGAGUUCGAACAAGUCAAAAACUAGUUCAAACCUUUCUGCACCUCAUGUUAUGGAGAGUGCACUGUAAUUGGUAAUUUGAAAACAUGUAGCAUAUGCAACAAGAGUGUCCCUUAUGCUGACAACAGGUACAAAUUCUUAAUUUCCCUACAAUAAUGACAAAUGUCUUACGAAAACUAAUUUCACACUUGGGGAUGCAGAUUUGAACUACAUACUCUGGCAAGUGAUGAAACUGGGCAGAUGACAAUAAUUUUGGAAGACCGUGAAGUGAGAAGAUUGAUUGGAAAAACUGCACUAGAUUUAAUUGAAGAGGUAUGUUCUGAAACUUCUUACACACAUGUACAUUCAUUUGCAUAUAAAGGAUCACUAACUGGAGAAGAUGAAUUUACAGGGAAACAAGGUGGAGAUUUUCCCUAUUAUCUUAGACAACUUAAAGAACAAGUUUUACAGCAUCAAACUACUAAUCAAAGAAGCAAAUACUAAGUAUAAAGUCGAUGCUUUCCUAGCAACAGAUAUCAUUGAAGGAAGUUAUACUGAAAUCAAACAGGAGACAGAACGAAACUACCCUCAACCUAUUCAGUCCUUGAAAACACAUGUAAUCAAAAGAACUCAUAUAAUACUUACAGUUAAACUACUCUACUUAUAAAAAUAUGCCUUACUAAUUAUUUAUUUAUUUCAUUUGCAGCACUCAGAGUCAAGCUAUCAUCUGGAUUCUGCCAACUAGAUCUGAUUCCACAAACUUCAUGUAAAGGAUAUCUAUGAUUGAUUCCUCUUAUUUAUUAGUAAUUAGUCUACUUUAUUAUCUCAACUAAGACAUCCCUGUUGUUCAUUAGUUAAGAUAAAAUUUUAACUCUACUCUAUUAAUAUGUCAGUUGUCUUUACCAAUUAGAAGAAAACUCUAGCUGUGUUGUGUGGCUGAAAAAAACUAAUUAAGGUUUUCUAACUUUCGCUGUAAUAUCUUAUUAUGCAUACCCUUAAUAUAAGUUCGUGCAAUCUACCUAAAGAGUGUAAUAAAAACCAAAGCAAGGCAAAUAACUAUGUACUCAAAAUGUUAAUUCAAGAAUCAUAAAUAUCCAGAAGAAUAAGGAGUAUAAAACUAAAGGUGAAAACACCAAACCAAAAUCAGUAGUAGAUUAGAAAUUAAAGACAUAUAUUUCAUCCAUCUUACACGCGGUCUCAUACCAAAAUAAGCAAAAGGAAGACAUGAACAAAAACUAUUCAAUCAUAAUAUUAAUCAACCAACCAAAAUACUUUAGAUCCAGAUAAAAGAGAUGAAACAAUACUCUAACACCAAUCUCCAAACAACAGUAGACUAAAGAUGCACGGCAGCAAAAAGGCUUACUGAUGGCAACCGAACUGCUAGGACAACACCUCUCCAACAAAGCCCAGAAAGAGGCACCCCUACUAUACCCCUAAACUACAAGCUAGCGCGCAACGGCUUUUUAGCCGUUGUUGCUUGCUGCUUGCAGGCUCGAAAAUAUAUCUUUCGCCUCCCCUACCUGUCUCCAUUCUGAUUGAUUAGCUUCUUCCUUCGCGCAAGCGUUUGGUUCGCCCCAUGUUAUGGUCAUAUCUUAAUAAUCCAUAAAAAUAACUAGGGAAAAUAGAUUUUUUUGCCACUCAACUUACAGUGUUUUUAGAAACUUGCCACCCAACUAAUUUGUUUUUGCUUUUACUCACUAAUGUUAGGUUUGGAUUUUUUUUAGCCACCAACUUAGGUUCGGAUUUGAUUACUAGCAGUAUGAUAAUUUUUGUAGCAUCAUUUAUACAUAAUGAUAGUAUAUAUGUAAUAUUUUGAUAAUUUGUCGUAUGUUUAUAUCUUUAUAUAUAACAAUAAUAAUAUAAAAUGAGCCGAUGAAAAAUUAAACCAGGAAAAAUCGUAAUUAGAAUUCUAAAAAUUCAAUAAAUCAUGAAUAUGAAAUCAAUGACUUCAAACAAUUCACCCUCCCUGGUAAGAUAAAGUGUAAUUGAGUGAUAUGAUGCAUCAUCUUUCGCUAUUAAAGUUUCAAUCGACUAGCUCUGUCUAAGAUCUCUCUCCAAUUUAUCUUCAAAAAUUUUAAUAACUUUAUCUUAUUACAAUUUUCAAGAUAAAUAAAUAGAGAGGUUAACUUAAUUUUUGAUGAUUGUCUUCUAUAAUGCAUCAUUUUAUUAUUAUAACUCCCUCCGUCCCUCUCAUUGGUUUACAGUUUUUUCUACUGCUUACUAUGUAUAUUAAGACUCUUAUAAAACAUAGUCUCAUAACUUAUUUUUGUGUGUAAAAAUUCAGAAGCUGAAUUUUUAUUCGGAAGAACAAAGUAAAAUUAUUUAUGAAACUACAUCUUAUCACCCAAGGUAAACGACACUGGAGACAUAAAAAGUACUAUAUAUAAAGAUACAGACAUAUAGCAAAUCAUCAAAAUAUUACAUACUACCACUAUAUUUUAAUAAUGCUACACAGAAUUAAUGUAAUGCUAAUAAUCAAAUCCGAACCUAAUUUCGGUGACAAAAAAAAUGAGCCUAACAUUAGUGAGUAAAAUAAAAAAAAUUAUAAUUGAGUGGUUAAUUUCUAAAUACGCAAUAAGUUUAGUGACAAAUAAAAUUAUCAUAAUGCUAGUAAUCAAAUCCGAACCUAAGUUGUUAGCUAAAAAAAAAAUCCAAACCUAACAUUAAUGAGUAAAAGGAAAAAAGAAAAGGAAAAAAAAAUUAGUUGGGUGGCAAGUUUCUAAAAACACAAUAUGUUGAGUGGCAAAAAAAUCUAUUUUCCCAAAUAACUAACUCCUUAAAUAAGCUUUAAAAUGACUUAAACAGUUUUUUGUUGACUCAAAGAUGCAAGCAUCACCUACUUUAAUUUUGGACUACUUGAUUACUUCUAUCCAUCCAUUGGCCAAAUCUUUAAUUAUCAAAGCUUCCAAAUGUCACCUGUUGAAAACAAUAAUAUAUUAGCAUUCUAAAUAUGCAGGAGACAAGUGGUGCAUAACAAAAAACACAACGGAAACAGAAUAAUACCUAACAACAAAUUAUGCACUGUCAUUCCUCGUGACUUGAACAGCGAAGUGUGUACAAAAGUUAUCUGCACACUCCAACACAACAGCAACGCCCAGCCGGAGGUUCAAAUCAUCCCUAAAUUGGAUCCAACCAUCAUGGAUGGUUGUACGGCGAGAUUUGCCACCCCGGGACCGCACCUGCAAUUUCCACGCUUUAUCCCAUGAAUAGAUAUUAAUGUAGUUUUUUUUCUUCUAAUAGGCAGUCACAUUGUAGUGCUCAGUAAAUAUAUCCUGGAUGAACAGAGCAAAGAGUUCAGGACAAAUUACCAAAAUUCACCAAAUCAGCACAAUUAAAAGUAUACAAUAACAAAUCAGCAAUUUCCUAUCUUACCACUCCAUAAAUAUAUCUGUACAAGUGAUGAGGCUGGACAGUUAUCUCAAUACGAAAACGCACAACCGGGUUAUGUGAGUUUAGACCUUCACAACAAAGUAAAUAAUAUAUUUAAUUACUUCAGAUUUGGAAAAAAAAAAAGAAAAAUAAAUUAACAUAUAAAUUUUGUAUACCACGUGACACUGGUGUGCCGGUAAACAAGUACUCGACAAAGUGGUCAUCAAAAACUGAAACCAUUGUGAUGCCUAAGUCCUCAUAAUUGAACAUAAUUAAGUUAAAGCCACUAAAAUUUUUCAGCCCCGCUAUUGAGCAGAACUUGCUCAGCCCAGGAAAUCUUUUAGUGUCAUGAUGGUAACCACCCUCAAUUCUUUUCCCAUUACUAAAAAAAAGUUCGGAUAGCCUUUCAACAUGGGAAAUGUUCUCUUAAAGGACCUAGGAGGCUCCUACAAAAUGAAUUAAUUCACAUGCAACUUUCUAAACAAAUUAUAUAUUCUUUUAAUUAAUGGGUAAUAGCUGCUUACAAAUUCAUCAAACAACGGCUCUUCAUCCUUAACAAAGUUCACAAAUUUCAAACCCCCUUUUUGAACAUUGACUACCAGAAUAAAAACUAAAUCAAUAACGUAUACAGUUCCAACAGUAAAAUAAACAUAUAAACAGCUGUUAUAGUUAAGAGGUGAACAAGUACCAUCUCGAGGACGCGUUUGCUGUAACUGGUGAGCCACCCGUGGGUACUCAAUUUCCGAAAGGUCAGUCACAAUCACAUAAACAUUGAAGUGAGAGGAGCCAUCAAAUACAAAUACAAGCAUUUGCCCUGGUUCCAAUUCGAAAUCCUCAUACAAAGUUUAUAGUCCAAAUAUAGUUCCUUCCUCUUUGUCGAACACAACUGGAAUCUCAUAGCCAUUGCGAAAUUUCAACAGGAAACAAUCCUGAAUAUGGCUACCAUAUCUGCUCAGAAUUUUUGAAGGCAAUUUUUGAAAAAAUACAAAAAUGUUUAGUGGAACACCUAGAACUACUUAAUAGAAAACAAGGGAACUAACCAUUUCAUCUGAGAACGUGUCCGCGUUUGUUAUGAAUCUGAUGAAUUUCUCAACAAUAAUACCCGAUAUUUCCAUAGCCUUAUAUCAAUUAAAACAGAAGACCUCAUCUCACUUUCAUGCAAUCAUUUUACAGGAAAAUAAUCUGAAGAUAGGAAGAAGCGUAUACCUUCAAGGAUUUCUAAUUAAAGAUGCUUCAAAAUGUAGAUGAUGAAUGAUUUUGUACACUUGAGCGAACACUGUGAUAUUACUUGGGCGCUUGAAGUAUAUUUGUGCUUUGUACUGAACAAUAGGUGUUAAUAGUGUCGUUACCCACAUCUGUAUCUACUACCUUUUUUUAUAAUCACAUAAAUUAGGUAGGGAGUUACUGGAAAUGAAUGCAGUUACAUCUUUUUAUUAGAACAGCUUACCACAAGAUUUCAGUCUGCUACGGGUAUGAGGAAUUUAUAUCAAAUCGUAUAUAAGACUAAGUUAAAUAUUUUGAUUAAAUUAAUCAUAUUGCUUUCCUAAAAUGUCUGUAAAUUCAAUUCGACCAAAUUAUAGACAAACAGAAAUGUAUUCAAAAAAUGACUUUUUCAAAUGGAUUAAAAAUUUAAUUUUUAUUCUGAAAUCAACAAAAACAACAAUUAUACAAAUAUUGAUUCCACACUUAUAAUUGGAUUUACAUUUUAAAUUAAACAUAUAUAAAUAGUGAUUACUCACUUAUAAUUUAUUUUGAAUUUAUAUAUAUUAAUGAAAGACAAAAGUUGGUUGUUAAUAUCACGUUCACCGAAUUAUUUUUUCCAAAAUCGAAUAACAUAAAUUAUCGUCGGUGGAUAAUUUAAUUGGUAUAGAAAAAUAAAUUUUGUGCAAAAAGGUUUGGAAAAAUUUAAUUUGUUUCAAAACAAAAACUUGAAAUAUUAUUUUAAUGAUAUUAUAAUAUAAAUAAAAAUUUAUUUUCAAAGCCCUUGUGUAGCGGGCAUAAAUACUAGUAUAUAUAAAUUCCUUUAACAAAACGAUCGAAACCAUGCAAAUUCACUUUACAACUGAACAACAACAGUUAGUUCGGUCUCGGUUAGCAAAAUCAACAUUUUAACAAUUCAUGAUCAUCAUCCCUAAUAAUAAUGUAGUUGGUUAACUAGCUUCAUUUCAAUCUUCAUUAAGAAUGACAUCAUCAUCGCCGCCACCACCAGGGCCACCAGCACCUUCGACACCAACAUCAUCAUCAUCCCCACCAAUGUCAUUCUCAGAGCUUUCACCAUCGGUUACAUCCUUAUUUGCGUCUGCAAUUGCCUGCAACAAUUCAUCAUUUGUAAUUAUGUACCCCUACAUAAAAUACAAACACACAAAUAUAUAUCAUUUACACCAAUAUAUCAAUUAUAAUUUAUAUAAACGAUACACUACAUUAGCUUAAUUCACUAUAUGUGUGUGUGUGUGCGCGCGCGUGUGCGUGCGUGCAUGUGUGUGUGUCUGUGUGUGUGUGUCGAUCUAUAUGCACAAUAAAGUAGAAAUUACAAUACUACGUAUUGCACAUAACAUCACGUCAAUGAUAAUACUUAUGUAGACAGGAAACAUAUACAUUGCACAUAUACGUAUUGCCUUGAGAAUGAACGGUCUUCCUUUUGCCUUUGUCUUUUUUUGGCGCCAGAGCCUAUACAACCAGUGAAUAAUGAAACAACCACCGCAGAUUUAUAGCUAAACAUGGCAAUGUGCCCCAAAAAAUACAAUGACAUACACGAACAACAUACUUUCAACAGAAGUAUACAUGUACGCUUAAAAGUUUGAUAAAACCUUAAAUGCAACAUUCAACAAGAUAAUUUUAUUUAUGAGAUCGAGUAUUUAGGACUCGUUAACAUGUAUAUUAGUUAAAGCAAGCUUAUAUGUAAUCUAAGAAGUAGAUAACUAUUUAGACAAUAUACGGAGUGUGGUGCUUGUAUGUAAGAUGCUUUUGAUCAAUUCUUUUAAGAAAAUAAUAGGCCAUCUAUCAUCUUUCCGAAAUAUGAACAUAUUUCCUGGGCCUACUCAAAGUACUAUAUAUCAAAUCUAGUGUAAAAACUAAUGUUUAAUGGGAAAAGUGCAUCCACCAACGGUAUCUAUCAAUCAUAAUAUACAUGCUACUAAACCGAGGCAUAUAAAAACCAACUUAGGGGAUUGGUAAUUUCAAUCCAAAUUUCCAACGGGUUCCAACUAUACAAGCUACAAAUGCAUAUAAAAUCAUAAUAUACAAGCUACUAACUGAGGCAUUUAAAACCAACUAUGUUGACUCAUUACGUGCACAAAACACACACAAAUGCAGGCAGAGACCACAAAUAUACAUAAAAAAACAAACACAAACACCAACACAAACACAAACAUUAUAUAUAUAUAUAAAACAUAAAUACAAUAAAAGCAAAAUGCAAAACAGAGCAAAAAUGUAAUCAGAGCAAGAUACAAAACAGAGUUACAAUUGAGCAAAAUUAAAUCAAAUAUAAACAUAUGUAAACCAGAUUAAGGCAAAUUUGAACAAAUUAGACCCAAAAAAAUUAUUCAAAACCGUAACACAUAUAGGCGACACCCGGAAAAGCACUUACAGAGAUAGAUAAGAGCAUAGACCUUAACACAUGCAUAACGUAUAAACCCUAGGAUAAAUCCUAAAACGAGCAUAUUAAGCAUACGUACAGAGAGAGAUACACGGAUAGAGAGAGAGAGAGACGUGGAGAUAGAGAGAUAGGGUAUUGAGAGUGGGAGAGAAACACUUACAGAGAGAGAGAUUCGAGAGAAAGUGUUAAAAGAGACAGGGAGAAGCACGCAGAGACGAGACAGAUUUUUGAGAGAGUUGGGGGAAAUGAAACCGAGAAAGUUUAAGUGCAUGAAAAUAAAAGAAAACGACACCACAUAAGUAAAAAACGUUGUCGUUUAGGCUGAGCGGGGGUUUUAACUUUUCGCGAAAACAAACAAGGGAAAGCGUGAAUCGUGGCAAAAAAAAAUCCCUCAACUCAUAAUCGAACCCGCCACCUCUGUGUGCUGAGGAGAAUGGUCAACCACUAGAAUAGCCACAACAUUAUGUUAAAAUUGAAGGAACUUAAAUAUUUACCUACAUUUAUUUUACAAAAUAAAACAAAUAGAAAAUCAAUAUUUCAUUCAGUGGCGGAUACACAAGGGGGAUCAGGGGGCUUAAGCUCACCCCUAAGCCCAUAGCAACUUCAUAUUUCAAUAUAAAAUUUUUAGGUUUUAAAACUGAGCCCACCUAACAAUUUCAGUCCAUUCCUUUAUAUUUUUAGGCUCAAUGUCAAUUGCUAAAUAUUUUACUAAAAGGCCAAGAAAUUCAUUGGAUUCAAGUGGUGGUAGUAGUCCCGCUCCUAGAUUAAAUGUAUAAAUAAACUCCAAUUAUACACUUGAGUUCAAUCUAAAUAAUAUUAAAAGUGAUCCGGGAGAACAGAAACCAAUUGAAGAAUUUGAUGUUGGGGUUAGAGAUCGCGUUAGGAGAGAGUACAUAUCUAAAGGUCCUUGUCAACCAAGAGUACAUAAUUUUUCAAAAAGUCAAUUUGGUGAAUUAAAAAGGUGUUUUCAAGCGGACUGGUUUGGUUUACAUUGUUGGUUGGAAUAUAGUGUAUCCAAGGAUGCCACUUAUUGUGUUUGUUGCUUUCUUUUUAAGACAACAAAUGCUAGUCAUUUUGGGGAUGAUGUUUUUGUAAAGAAUGGAUUCUGAAAUUGGAAGAGAGCCUUGGAAAAAUUCAAAAGUCAUGUUGGAGGGGUUUAUAGUGUACAUCAUGAUGAUCAAACACUACUUGAUGCCUUCAAAAAUCAAAGACAAAGUGUAUCACAUGUAAUGUCACGUCAAAGCCGUGAAAUGGAAGUAGCUUACGCACUAGUUUCAUGGCAACUUUGGAUGUGACUUCUAUUUUAUUGCGACAAGGUUUAUCUUUUCGUAGUCAUGAUGAGUCCUCGGUAUCUAAUAAUAGAGGAAAUUUUCUUGAGUUUCUUGAUUGGUACAGUGCUUGAAAUGAAGAGCUUGCAAAGGCUAUCUCUAAAAACUCUUCUCGAAACAAUCAAAUGACUACUCUCUCCAUUCAAAAACAAAUGGCUAAUGCUUGUGCUACAAAGACUACACUUGCAAUCUUGAAUGAAAUUGGUGAUAAACUAUUCACUAUUUCGGUGGAUGAAUCUCGUGAUAUCUCAGUAAAAGAUCAAAUGGCUGUUGUUAUUCGAUAUGUUAACAUUCAUGGAGAAGUUAUUGAGCGCUUUUUAGCUGCUGUUCAUGUAGCUGAUACUUCAUCAAAAUCUUUAAAAGAUGCCAUUGAUGCCUUAUUUCCGAAGUACAACUUAUCUUUGUCUAGACGGAGAAGUCAAGGCUAUGAUGGGGCUUCAAAUAUGCAAAGACAAUUUCAUGGACUAAAAUCUCUAAUUUUACAAAGAAAAUCCAUUUGCUUGUAUGUUCACUGUUUUGCUCAUUGCUAAAACUAAUCAAGUUGUUAGUGAUUUCUUUAGUCUGUGAACAUGAGUGGAUCAUCUUGUAAAAGGGUUGGCCAACUUCAAUAGAGCCGUCACGAUCGAAUAAUUGAACGCCUUGAAACCGGAGAAAUUACAAGGGGAGAGUAAAAAAAAUCAAGAAACAAGAUUCGCAAGACCAGGUGACACUAGAUGGGGAUCACACUACAUAACUUUGCUACGUUUACAUUCAGUGUGGCCCUCGGUGAUAGAAGUUCUUGAAAAUGUGUUUGAUGAUGGAAAUAACAGUGAUACACAAGUUGUGUUUAAAACUUUGUUGAUUAGAAUGGAAAGUUAUGACUUCAUGUUUGUCCUUCACCUGAUGAAGCAAAUAUUGGGGGUACACAAAUGAAUUGUCAAAUUUGCUUCGAUAAAAAGAUCAAAAUAUUGUACACAAAUAUUGAGGUACACAAAUGAAUUAAGUUCCGUGGAGACUAUAUAAAUUCAAAGACUUGAGAGAUUUAAUCACAAUCAUUCAUUCCACACACAUCCAACGAUUACAUUUAUUUUUUAAUAUUUAUUUUUAAUUUAAAUGUUGACUACAAACACAAUUGAUACACGCGUCAAUUACAUUUUAUCGAGUGUUUUCGGAAAUUAAUAAAACUUCUCUCUCCUGCACAUUUUUUUUCGCUCAGUUCAGCAUCUGAGUUGUCUAAUACAACUAAAUUUUUAACAAAUCUAUGUUCAACAUCAUGUUUGUUUGUUCUUGUACUUCCAACUAUAACAACAACUAAGUUUGUAUAUUUUUAAUUUUAUCUUUUUCGUAUAUAUUGAUUAUGUUGGUUAUUUCUGUAUUAGCAAGAAUUAGAUGUUCCAUGAAAUGUAAAUCAUCACCUUUUUUGUUGUUCCGGCUUUAUGUAAUUUUUAUUAUUUAUCUUGUAAUUUUUUAAAUUAGGUAUCAUAUAAAAGGAUUUUUUCAUAUUCACGUGGUUAAAAGGUCGUUAUUUUAAAUAUGAGAAAUGUGUCAUUGAUUUAGAAUUAUUUUUGGUUGAGUGAACAUCUAUGUUUUUUAUCUAUGCAAUGUAUGAUAUGUACAACAUAAUAUCUUUAAUUUUGUUAUUAUUUUAAGUUCUUUAAUUUUGGUUUUUAAAAUUCUAAACAAUGUUUAUGUGUUUUUUAGGCACUCAUGUAACGUCAAAUGUUGAAAGUUCGUACUCCGAACACUAUAAUUUUGACUUUGAUAAAGAUAAUUUUGUUAAAGAUAGUUCUGAAUUUGAGGAUGAGGAGUUGGAAAAUGUAGAUAUUUCUAAUAAUCAAGAUUCAAAAGAAGCCUUUUUGGAAGUGACUAUGUGUCUGUUUAGGGUUGUGGUUGUCAACCACAACAGCAAUUUUUUAUCAAACAGUUUGUACAAAAUUAUUUGGUAAAAUAUAGAACAACUUUUUCCAACCAUGCAUUUUCUCUAAAACCUGAUUUUGGAGAAAGUUGGUGUACCCCUGCUUUUCACAAAAGCCGCUGUUGCGCCCAGUUGUUAUGGUACAAUUAUUUUCAUAUAACUGUUACACUUAAAACAAAAUAUCAAAACAAUAUCAUGUGUAUAAAAUCUUUUUUUUAAUUAUAACUUAGAUUAUUGAUAGGUGAAUAUCUUUAAAAAAACUAAAAGAAAAAACUCAAAAUAAAUUUUUAAUAUAUAUUCUGUUGUUUAAACGAAUUUAAAGGUGAUAUUUUUUGGUUUCAUUAAAUUUGUUAUAUAAUAUACAAUACACGAAGAAGAAAACUAUAUCUUUAUAUAUAUAAUAAGUUUAAGUAGUAUAUUUUGGAAAAUAGUAUGUGUUUAUAUAUAAUUUUUAAAUAAAUAUAAAAAUUAGACGUUCUAAAUUAAAUAGAAAUAAUCUCUAUUGCAAAAAUGACAUACGAUAAUUAAAGGUUUUGAAUAUCGUACAAUAAAUUGUUAGAUUUUAUUAUUUGAUAAGCAUUUAAAAUUACGUAAUACUAAAUAAUUAUUUAUAUUUAUAUUUGAAUAUAAAAUAUAAAUGAUGCGUUACUGUUGAACUUAUUUUACAAAAGUUAUAUAGUUUUUCAAAUAGAAUACCAUAGUUUUUAUAUUGAAUCAUAAUUUUUAGUGGUUACUCCCAUAUAAUUUUUAUUCUAAAUAUGAUUUUAUAAAAUAUAUAUUAUUACAAAUUAUAUAUAUAUAUAUAUUAAUAACAUAUAUUUUUUUCUAAAAAAGCUCAUUCAUUAUACAAAAUAAUGAGUUAAAUUUUAAAGAAAGUAUUGCAGCUCAUGCUCUUCAAACAGGAAACAAGACAAAACUUACGGUACACAGUAUUAUAAUAAACAACAAUAACUUAUCUUUUUAUUAAGAUAAGGUCAAGUGAGAUGAAUAUUAUCCCAAUCAAAUAACUCAUAGUUUAAUGAUAUAAAACGUGUAAAUUAUUUUAGGUUAAUACAAUAAUUACACUACUCAAUUUGUUUGAGUUUGACUUAAUUUUUAUCUUAAUUAACUUUUUAUUUUCUAAUUUACACAAAUAUAUUUGUUGUUCAACAUUUGUCUACGAAAUAAUAAAUAAAAUAUUUUUUUAUUUAUAAUUGUAACUCUAAACAGCACUUUAACAAAAAUUUACCAAACAGCUUGUUUUCAGCUUUUAUUCAAACACAUUUGGAAUCAAGUUUACCAAACAGUCUCUGCUUUUCAAAACAACACUUUUUAAACAGAACUUUUACUCACCACAACAGCAAUUUUCAACAGCAACCCCAAACAGACCCUAUAGGCCGAAUUAAACUGAUGAAAAUAAAAAACACAUAUAAUUCAAUUUUCUUAGGAGUUAUCCAUCAAACAUUGGCAAAGAAUUCGUCCUAACCUGCGCUUUCCAAAUCAUAUUGUAUAUUGUCCACCUCCCUGUCAUAAGGUCGUCUUUAAGUUGACAAGCAUUAUGUUAGGUCCGGAUAGAGUGUAAUUUAAGCUAGAAGGCGGGGGGGGGGGGGGGGGGGGNNNNNNNNNNNNNNNNNNNNNNNNNNNNNNNNNNNNNNNNNNNNNUCCCUUUUGAAUAGCUUUAUCGAGAGUAUAGGCAGUUUAUGUGUGCGGAAGCAAUGUAAGAGUAAUACGACACACGAGAUUUUAUCCUGGUUCGCGGUGGCUAACUCAACACUUGGAGUCCACUCACCCCUACUCCAGUCCCCGAGCUCCUCCCCGAACUCGAGAUUUUCUCUACUAUAAAGAAACUCCUUUACAGUAGGCGGAGAAACCUUUACAAAUAUAUAUCUUGGAGCGUAACUUCCCGUUACCUCCUCACUAUAAAUGUAAACUUACAAGACUCUUCUUGGAGCGUAACUCCCCGUCACCUCCUCAAAGUCGUUGUACUCCGGGUGUAGUCUUUGAACUUCUAAACUUUUGCGGGUCUUGGAUCUUAGGUCUUAGGUCUUGGGUCUUUCCUCUUCCUCACGGUGCAAAGACGACUAACUCCCCGUUAGCUUGUCUAGGACUUGGGUCUUAGAACGAAGAUCACCUCACUUCACUUCACCUCACUGCAAAACUUAAAAAACAAUAUCUACGACAAAUAACCUUAGUUUAUAAAGAGGGUUUUGGACUAGAUGCAACUAGGCCGAUAGUGCGUAUAUAUAUAUAUGUUGAUGAUAUAUAUAUUCAAAGUAUACUUUCCGAAUGAUUUAGAAAGAUUUAAGUAUACUUGAUGUUUUACUCCAAUACUAAAGAUGAGUAUAUAGUUGGAGUAAUAAAAGUCUUAUAAGCUUUAGUCUCGCUUAAGACUUGUAUAAUACUUGUCUUUUUGACUAAGUAUAUAUUACUUCGAAUAUACGUCUAUUUUCGAAGUACGGAUUUAAGAGAGUCUUUUGAUUUAGCUCUUUGGCUAUGGACUCUUCUUAAUACAACUCUUCUCUUGAUAUAGUCUUUUUAGACUAGAUAUAAUCGAUUUAGUGCGGAGAGAGAGAGUGUAGUCUUUCUUUAACUUUAGCACAAUAUAAUGAAAUAGCCAAACUAGAAUCCGCAAUUAUAACAACAAUAAAUAAUAACAAUAAAGUGCAGAAAGUAAAUAGCGAAAAGUAAAUGAGUUAGUUGGCUAUGUUAGUGCUAAGUAAAGUUAGAGAGUUAAAGUAAGCUUUUUAGAUUUUCUUCCCACGGAACAAUACGAUGAUAGUUGGGAAUAUAAUCAAGCUUAUUAAAAUUGAUUUUGACCGUCGUCAAUAUUAAUCUCGUUUUCGAGAUUUAUUACGAAUCUUUAGUUCGUACGAAGAUACAAAUCGUAGUUCGUUUGUAUCAAAAUAUAUUUGAGUAUAUUCGAAAGAUAUAAACUUUGUUUAUGUAUAUAACUCAAAUGUAACGAAUCUUAGUUCGUUUAAAUAUACACCGAAUCUAUAGUUCGUGUAUAUAUAUUUAUAUUUCGAAUAACACGACUUUGUUAGUUCGUGUUUGAAUUUAAUUCGAAAUAAGAAAUCUCUUUUAUAAGAGAUAUAAGAUGAAGAGCUUUAAGAUGAAUAGAUCGAGAAUAAUAACGAGCUCUUGUAUAUAUAAUGGUCGGUUAAGACUCGGAUCGAAACUAAAAUAAUAACCACUUACAAAAAACGAUCGGAAAGUUCGCCGGAAAAAUUCGCCGGAGGUUCGGCCGGAUUUUGGCUUGGUGGCGGAACUUGGGCAGCCCUACGGGAGGCCUAAAGUAGUAGUGGUUGAGCUAGUUGGGUUGGGAGAGAGCUUGGUUGGUUGAACUAAGCUUAUAUAACUAAAACCUUGUAUAUAUAAAUAUAUAUGUAUAAGAAAGGAGGUUUUAGAGAAGAAGUAUUUGUAGAGAGUGUUUGUAGAGAUGAAAGAGAGAAUACUUCUAAAAUUCCCAGCAACUAAUUAGCUCUUUAGCUUGUGUAGAAAAUGAAUGGGGAUGGGGUGGUAUUUAUAGGGAAAAUUUGGGGUAAUGGGUAGUGGAAGGUGAUGUAAAGGAUGAUGUAAAUGGGUAGGUGAUGUAAGGGAUGACUACAUUGUUCUUGUCCACUAGCCUCGCAACUUUACAACCAACAUGUGACACCUUAUCUCAGCACUUAUUGCUUGGAAGAGGAUAAGGCACACACCCCAAUGCAACCCAAUUAACUAUUAAUUAACGAUUAAGUAUCGUUAAUUAAAACUAGCUUAUUUCUAAACAUCUCCAAUAAAUCCAACAAAAAAUAUGACAAUUUUCUAAAUAUUGGAAAAUGGAAAUCUGUGAAGUUUGGUAAUUUUUGGUCAAAGUCUCCUAGGUCAAACGCUCAGUCAAAUCUUCUCGGGUCAACCGUUCGGAAACACACCCCGACAAAUAUUCUCCAAAAAUCAUGAAACUUUUACCUAACAUACAUCACAUCAUAACCUGUUAAGAUUACUACAGUGAGAUCUUAAACACAAUCAUGUCUGAAAAAUCACAAGCUUCAUCUUUUAGAGUUCCAAUCCUUAAGGCAUCUGAAUAUCCAGUCUGGAAAGAAAGAAUGAUCAUAUUCUUAGACUCUGUUGAUCCAGAAUACCUUGACCGGCGAGAAAAUUAGUAUUUGGUCAAAACGAGUAGACCCUUGACUAAUUUUUGAUACCAAGACAUCUCAUCUAUCAGUAAGGAUGCAAAGGUGAAGCAUCUGUUGCGAGUCAUGAUAAAUCAUGGUUUUGACAAUUUUAAAAUGUAUUCUAAGUAUUAAAAUAUUUUUCUCCGAAAAAUGAGUAAUUUGAGAGACCUUGGAGAAAAUAUUUAAUGAACCCAGAAAAAUGGAUAUUAAUAUUUGACCAUCCAAGUACUAAUGUUUUGAUAGAGUAAAUCUNNNNNNNNNNNNNNNNNNNNNNNNNNNNNNNNNNNNNNNNNNNNNNNNNNNNNNNNNNNNNNNNNNNNNNNNNNNNNNNNNNNNNNNNNNNNNNNNNNNNNNNNNNNNNNNNNNNNNNNNNNNNNNNNNNNNNNNNNNNNNNNNNNNNNNNNNNNNNNNNNNNNNNNNNNNNNNNNNNNNNNNNNNNNNAUUUUCGGUGUUUGAAAUUGUACUCAACUUGUAAUUUCAUUCUUGACUCGUUUGAGCCCGUAAACAACUUGUUGCUUCAUUAUUGGGUAGAUUGAAGUUGGAAAUUGUUAGAUAUAAUUGAUGAUUACUAAUAUUCUUAAAGUUUGUUUUAGAACAGGAGUGAUCAGAGUUUAAGCUGGAAGCUGAUCAGAGUUUAAUAAAGUCUGACCAGAGUUUGAUAAAGUCUGAUCAGAGUUUACAUAGUCAAGACUCGUCAGAGUUUACACGUGGAAAGAGCUCAGAAGCGGAUAUACUUCAAGGAAGGAUAGAAGCGGAGGAGUGAUUUGCUGACUAUGGAAACUAAACAGAAAACUGGAGCAAUCUUUGAUUGAUAGAAUACAUAGCUGAUUUAUAGGAUAUCAAAUCAGAGAUUGAUUUUGUAACUGUGUCUAUAUAAACACAGAUUAGGGUUACUCUANNNNNNNNNNNNNNNNNNNNNNNNNNNNNNNNNNNNNNNNNNNNNNNNNNNNNNNNNNNNNNNNNNNNNNNNNNNNNNNNNNNNNNNNNNNNNNNNNNNNNNNNNNNNNNNNNNNNNNNNNNNNNNNNNNNNNNNNNNNNNNNNNNNNNNNNNNNNNNNNNNNNNNNNNNNNNNNNNNNNNNNNNNNNNNNNNNNNNNNNNNNNNNNNNNNNNNNNNNNNNNNNNNNNNNNNNNNNNNNNNNNNNNNNNNNNNNNNNNNNNNNNNNNNNNNNNNNNNNNNNNNNNNNNNNNNNNNNNNNNNNNNNNNNNNNNNNNNNNNNNNNNNNNNNNNNNNNNNNNNNNNNNNNNNNNNNNNNNNNNNNNNNNNNNNNNNNNNNNNNNNNNNNNNNNNNNNNNNNNNNNNNNNNNNNNNNNNNNNNNNNNNNNNNNNNNNNNNNNNNNNNNNNNNNNNNNNNNNNNNNNNNNNNNNNNNNNNNNNNNNNNNNNNNNNNNNNNNNNNNNNNNNNNNNNNNNNNNNNNNNNNNNNNNNNNNNNNNNNNNNNNNNNNNNNNNNNNNNNNNNNNNNNNNNNNNNNNNNNNNNNNNNNNNNNNNNGUUCAAAUGUUGGAAGUUCAAAAGAAAGAGAUGAUGCUGUCAUUAUCAAAGAUGAAUUAUCAAAGAGGUAUGCAUCUCUUCAAUCAGAACUUGCCAAGGAAAGAGAGAUCAUUAAAACAUGGACUAAUUCAGGCAAAACUACUCAGGAUAUCUUAGGUAGUGGAAACUGGAAGAAAGGACUAGGUUACACUGAUAACUCUGAAGCUGAGUCAUCAAAAACAGAGUUUGUUAAAACUCAAAAACCUAAGGUUAAACCUGUCAAAUUUGUUAUUGAAUCCUCUAAGUCUAAACAGAGUAGACCAAAAUCAGAGAUUAACAAAAAUUUAAAAUCUGAUAAGCCCAAACAGGUUAACAUAGGACUGAUGACUCAGAAACAGCUUAAACAUAAGCUUAAAGAGGUAAAGUCUGAUGACAAAAACAAAGAGCCUAGGAAAAAUAGAAAUGGCAAAAUUGGCAUAGACAAGAGUAACAACUACAUGCCUGUUCCAAAUGCACCUAGGAAGACAUGCCAUAACUGUGGUAAUACUAAUCAUCUUGCUAAUUUUUGUCAGGAAGAACAAGGACAUUAACUCUUUACCUACAAAGUCUGGAGUUAGAAAAAGUAGUAUUAGAUAUAAACCACAAGAUCCAUGUUUUCAUUGUGGUAGUUUAUGGCAUUCUAUUUAUACUUGCAAAGAAUAUCAUAGUUUGUAUUAUGAUUAUUAUCAAUUGAAACCUUCUUUAAAAAAGGUUAAUNNNNNNNNNNNNNNNNNNNNNNNNNNNNNNNNNNNNNNNNNNNNNNNNNNNNNNNNNNNNNNNNNNNNNNNNNNNNNNNNNNNNNNNNNNNNNNNNNNNNNNNNNNNNNNNNNNNNNNNNNNNNNNNNNNNNNNNNNNNNNNNNNNNNNNNNNNNNNNNNNNNNNNNNNNNNNNNNNNNNNNNNNNNNNNNNNNUAACUGAGUUAAGAUUGUUUUCUAGUCUUGGACAGUGGAUGUUCAGGACACAUGACUGGAACAUAUCAGCUUUAGAGAUCAGACUUUAGAAAAUGAAAGAUUAAAAUCUGAAACUCUGAGUGUAAAGAAAAGGAAUGAUUUUCUAGAAAAAGAAUUAGUUCAGAUGUUGGAAGUUCAAAAAAGUCUGGAGUUAGAAAAAGUAGUAUUAGAUAUAAACCACAAGAUCCAUGUUUUCAUUGUGGUAGUUUAUGGCAUUCUAUUUAUACUUGCAAAGAAUAUCAUAGUUUGUAUUAUGAUUAUUAUCAAUUGAAACCUUCUUUGAAAAAGGUUAAUAAAAACUCUGCAAGUACAAAAUCUGUUUCUAGUACAAACUCUGAUCCAAAGUCUGUUAGCUCAAACUCUGAUAAUGAUAAUUCCGCUGCAAAAGCUAACAAACUUAAUAAGGCCAAGGGAUCCAAGCAAGUCUGGGUCCUUAAAACUAACAAUUAGUGGUCUUUGUGAUUGCAGGGCAACAGGAAGAAUAUUCUAGUCUUGGACGGUGGAUGUUCAGGACACAUGACUGGAAAUAAGGCCCUGCUGUCAGAGUUUGUGGAGAAGGCUGGCCCAAGUGUUUCUUAUGGAGAUGGCAACAUAGGAAGGACUCUGGAAUAUGGCAACAUCAAUCUUGGAAAUGUCAUCAUAUCAAAUGUAGCUCUUGUUCAAGGGCUAAAACACAAUUUACUCUCUGUCAGUCAGAUCUGUGACAGAGGAUAUCAUGUUGAUUUCUAUGAAGAACACAGUGAGAUAGUAAGCAAGUCAACAGGCAAGGUGGCAGUGAUUGCUCACAGACAUGGAAAUAUUUAUGAAAUCCACCUGCCUACAAACUCUGAAGGAAAAGCAAUUUGCUUAUCUACAAGAAUCUCUGCAGAAGAAAGUUGGAAGUGGCAUAAGAAGCUCUCACACCUGAAUUUCAACUCCAUAAAUGAGCUUAUAAAGAAAAAGCUUGUGAGAGGACUCCCUGAAUCACUACUCACAUCUGAUGGAUUAUGUGAUUCAUGCCAAAAGGCCAAGCAGAGAAAGACAUCUUUCAAGAGUAAGACUGAAUUCUCAAUAAAGAAACCAUAUCAUCUUCUACAUGUUGAUCUAUUUGGACCAGUUAAUGUACCAUCCAUUGCAAGGAAGAAAUAUGCUCUUGUCAUUGUUGAUGAGUAUACUAGAUACACUUGGGUAUAUUUUCUUCACUCUAAAGAUGAAACAGCCUUGCAUCUGAUGGAUCAUGUGAAGCAACUGGAUCAUGGAUCUGAAGACAAAGUGAAGAUCAUUAGAAGUGAUAAUGGAACUGAGUUCAGAAAUUCAACAAUGGAAGAGUUCUGCAAAGAAAGAGGUGUAGUGCAACAAUUUUUUGCACCUGGUACACCACAGCAAAAUGGUGUAGUUGAAAGGAAAAACAGGACUCUUAUAGAAGCUGCCAGAACUAUGCUUGAUGAGGCUAAAUUGCCUACUUAUUUCUGGCAGAAGCUGUUCAAACAGCUUAUUUCACUCAAAAUGCAACCUUGAUUAAUAAGCAUGACAAGACCCCAUAUGAGAUGGUGAAGAAAAAGAAGCCAAAUCUGAAGUACUUUCAUAUAUUUGGGUGCAAAUGCUUUGUCUUGAAGACUCAUCCAGAACAGCUUACCAAGUUUGAUUUAAAAGCUGAUGAAGGCAUCUUUGUAGGUUAUCCUCUGAUAACAAAGGCCUUCAGAGUCUACAAUCUAAGAACCAAGGUGAUCAUGGAAUCCAUACAUGUGUCAUUUGAUGACAAGAAAAUCAUGGGCUUAACAGAUAUGGAUGAUCAUGAAAAACUGCAUUUUGAAAAUGAAGAAAUAUUCUCUGAUUCGAUAAACUCUGAUGAACAGUCAAACUCUGACUGUGAACAAGAUACAGCAAACUCUGAUGAAAAUUUACAAGUUCAUGAUGAUGAAGCACUUGCUGAGGGGGAGCAUCAGAAUGUUUCAGACUCUACCCAAGACUCAUCAGAGAAUGCUGACUCAAACUCAUCAGAGAAUACUGAUUCAAACUCUGAUAGCACAAAUUUAGGGGGAGCUACAGAGAAUAAUCAACAGAAUCAGGAGAGCAUGGAUCAAGGGGGAGGAUCCAAUGAUGAAAAUGGUCAACUUCCACAUGCUAGGAAGUGGACAAAAUCUCACACACCUGAUUUAAUAAUUGGAAAUCCAGAAGCAGGUGUGCAAACAAGGACAGCUACAGCAAAUGAGUGUUUACAUCAUUGCUUUCUGUCACAAACAGAACCUAAGAAAGUGGAGGAAGCUCUUCAAGAUGCUGACUGGAUUCAAGCAAUGCAAGAGGAGCUAAAUGAGUUUGAGAGAAACAAAGUAUGGACCCUAGUACCAAGACCUAAAGACAGAUCCAUAGUUGGUACAAAAUGGGUGUUCAGAAACAAAACUGACAGUGAGGGUGUCAUUACAAGGAAUAAAGCAAGGCUUGUGGCAAAAGGGUAUUCACAACAGGAAGGUAUUGAUUAUGAUGAGACAUUUGCUCCAGUUGCAAGAUUGGAGGCAAUUAGAAUCUUUCUGGCCUAUGCUGCUCACAAGAAAUUCAAGGUAUUUCAGAUGGAUGUCAAAAGUGCUUUUCUAAAUGGGAAACUGGAUGAAGAGGUAUAUGUUGAACAACCUCCAGGCUUUGUGGAUCCAAAGCAUCCAGACUAUGUCUAUAGAUUGGACAAAGCACUUUAUGGACUAAAGCAGGCUCCAAGGGCAUGGUAUGAAACUCUGGCUCAAUUUCUUCUUGAAAGUGGAUUUACUAGAGGUACCAUAGAUAAAACCCUGUUUUAUUUGAAUCAUGGUAAUGAUCUGCUUUUAGUUCAAAUCUAUGUUGAUGACAUUAUUUUUGGCUCCACUAAUGCUAAACUCUGUCAAAGAUUUGCCAAGCUCAUGCAGUCUAGGUACCAAAUGAGCAUGAUGGGGGAACUCAGUUAUUUUCUGGGUUUACAAGUUAAACAGACUGAAGAUGGGAUUUUUAUAAAUCAAGCCAAGUAUACCAGAAAUCUUUUGAAGAAAUUUGGUAUGCAAGACAGUUCAGCUGCAACUACUCCUAUGGCAACAGCAACCAAACUAGACAAAGAUACUGGUGCAUCAGUGGAUAUCACAAACUAUAGAGGAAUGAUUGGAUCUUUGCUUUAUCUGACUGCAAGUAGACCAGACAUCAUGUAUGCCACAUGUCUAUGUGCAAGAUUUCAGGCAGAUCCAAGAGAGCCUCAUCUGAUUGCAGUAAAGAGGAUAUUCAGAUAUCUCAAGGGAACCACAUCAUUGGGAUUAUGGUAUCCUAGAGAAUCAGAUUUUAGUCUAAUUGGAUACUCUGAUGCAGAUUUUGCAGGUUGCAAAAUUGACAGGAAAAGCACAAGUGGGAGUUGUCAAUUUCUGGGUGGAAGACUUGUCUCUUGGUAUAGCAAGAAACAAAAGUCAAUCUCAACAUCAACAGCAGAAUCAGAGUAUAUAGCUGCAGGCAGCUGCUGUGCUCAAAUUCUUUGGAUGAAGAAUCAACUGUUGGACUAUGGGUUAUCCUUUUCUAAAAUUCCUAUUUAUUGUGAUAACCAAAGUGCUAUUGCUAUGACAGGAAACCCAGUUCAACAUUCUCUGACAAAGCACAUCAGCAUAAGAUACCAUUUUAUAAGGGAGCAUGUGGAGGAAGGAACCAUUGAACUUCACUUUGUUCCUACUGAACAGCAGCUAGCAGACAUAUUCACCAAACCACUCAGUGAAGCAACCUUUACUAGGCUGGUGAAUGAGCUAGGAAUGAUAUCAGGAACUGAGUAAACAUACUGGUCAGAUCUUUCAAAUUUCAAUUGUCAAAUUACCAUAUGUAUUGCUCACAAAUUUGUCUUGACAUACUCUGAUUGUUAAAAUCUGAUGACAUUCUCUGAUGAUAUACUCUGUGUGCUAUACUCUGAUGAUAUUCUCUGAUCGUCAUUCUCUGACGAUAUUCUCUGAUGUUUGUAAACUCUGAAUCUUGAUUAAUAAUCUCAUUUUUUUUUCUGAGAAAACAAACCUGUGAAGAUACUAUGGAGCAUGAUAUGAAUUAGUAAUCAUGAAUCUCAGUUCAGUUCUUUAAUCUUGAUCUCAAUUUUGUGCUAUUACCUUACACUAUAUGCAUGUUGAUAUCAUUGAGACUCUAUUACUUCACAUAUCUUAAUUAUAAGUGAGACUGGCUAAUUUGCAUUUUCUCUCAGAAAAUUAGACAAGUAAUUACAAACUCUGAUGCUAUAUAAAUACCCCUGCAAAAUAAGCAUAGUACUCCUUUGAGAUCUUAGAUGUCUAUAUGACAGUGACUGGAAAGACCCAAACACUUACUGGUAUUAAGUAAUUGCCAAGAUUUUAUAAUCUAUGGUGACCAGUCACAAUCUAUGAUUACUGGAGAAAUACUGUGGCAAAAUAAUAUUUAAAGGCACUACACCAUAGAUGCACUUACGCAACGCCAAAAACAAGUUGCAGAAAGCCAAAAAAUUGUUGCCGUAACCCUGAAAAGGGAAACAGCAACACUUUUUCGGUGUUGCCUUCAGCACCGCUGCCGUAGUGACAUGUAGCAACACUUUUGCAACACUAGGAUUAUAGUUGCAAUACUCACUCACGGCAUCAGUUUGUUACACCUAUAGCAACAUUCAAUAGUGUUGCAAUAGAGUCUAAAAUUAUGUGAAAUAUGGGCCCACCAGUGAGCCCCAUUGGUGGGCCCCAUUGGUGGACCCCACUGAUUGGUCCAUUGGAUUUCUUUUAGUAUGCUUGUGGGACCAUAUUUAUGACAACAUUUUUGUUGAAACACUUUAUGAACUCUUAGAACAUAUUUUAAGCAAAUGGUUGCAACAUUAUAUAUCACUACUGCAACACUUUUAUAGUUAAAUUUUGACAUGACCUUUAUGCAAAAUGCACUUCCCAAAUAAAAUAACUUGAUAUUAUAAUUUCAUCAAUACCAAAUCAUCCCAUCAAAUACACACAAACCAAUCAUCCAACCAAAAACAUAUACUACUUCAAAGUCUAAUACUAUAGUUAAAUAGUUAACUUCGACAAAUUGCUCCACAUUUUUUUCCAUGAUUUGUAUUGCAACCUCCGGUGUAAACACCACCAGUCGAGCCAACCUGAAAAAAAGAAUUUUAAAAAAAUAUAUCAUAUAUUUGCAUACUAAAUGUACUAGCUAGCUAGUUUAUACAUACAUGUUAGAAUCAAACCCUUCUAGAAUAAUAAUGAUAUAAUCAAAACUUCACACAUCCAGCAGCCAGAUAUUACCAAGGGACAAAUUUUCAGAAAUUAUGGGUGUUGGAAUUCAGUUUGCAGAUAACAUCAGCUAAUAUAUUAUAUGUACUAUAUAUAUCAUACAUAUAACAGGAAGCUGGUAGUAGUUGUAUGAAAUAAAAAAAAAAGUUGCUAAGAAAAAAAAUAGAGCUGAAGCUCUCUGCAUAGAACAAGGGUGGAAGUAGCCUCUUGUGUGUACUAGUAAGCCGUAGAACAACACACUGGAGUGUAGUAGGCUGAAAGAAAAGAAUAGAAAAAAGAGCAUAAGCUCUGUGUCCUGUCUUAUGUAUGUGAAAAAGACUGAAGCCUAGUGUGUGUAACAAAAUUGUAGCUGCGUGUUACAUUAAUAUACAAGUUGUGUGUUUGCAUAUUAAUGUUUUUCAAAUUUUUGGGUGUAAGGCUCAUACACGUUUCCAACAAUACAUGAAAACAACUGCAGAGAGCAAGAGAUAUAUAUUGGCUUACAUCUUCUGUGAAUGAAACUUGUGACAGUCUUGCUUGAUUCGGAAAAUCUGAGGAAACACAUAAGUAUAAGAUCCAUACAUUGUGUGUGCCACAAUGAAUAAGUGAGGAUAUAAUUAUGGAAGAAAAUGUACCAAGACAGGCCUGGAUUCAUCAUCGUAGCCGGAAACAUAAGCCACACCAUCAGCAAUCUCAGCAGAGAACUCAUCAGCUAUCAAAUUCUCUGCAUUUACAAGCAUCACAAUGAUUUCAUAAUCUAUAUCUCUGAGGUAGUGGGAUUACAUCAAAAACAUUUUAAUAGGAGAACGUGUAAUCAGCAGUUAUAACUACACAUGUUUUACUGCGCUCAUGAUUAUUACUCUCUUUUCUCCAUCCCACUAACUUUUAUCUACCAGUUAAAAUCUGACAGGUGUCCAAGUGAACAAAGAGCCCAAGCGUGUACAGCUAAACAAAAUCUGAAGAGUUUAUCAUCAGAUUUUAUUGCUUCUUCUUCACUUUUACACUUAAUCUUUACACACUCUCAACAAACUCUUACUCUCUUCUCUCUGAUAUUCAAAUUUUCUCACACACACUUCCUCAAACACCUUCUUUCUUAAACUCUGUUCUCAUGGCCACUACAGCAUUCAUCUUUGCAGGUGUGGAAUUUGUCACCAAUAACCAUGCUGCUAUCCUAAACACUGCCGACGCUCCAAGGGAUUAUCAUCCUAUGCAGCAAUUUCUGGCACAGAGUGCCAUUGCUACCGCUCUCACAGCUCCUGCCAGACUCUCAGGAAGCCAGAUCAUAAACUUCUGGAGGACGGGUAAGUAUGACAAUGGUGGUGAAGAGGGAUCACCAUCGAUUGUGUUUUCAUAUGAAGGGGAGGAGUAUUUUGUUACUCCAGCCACAGUCAGAACUGCUUUCAAUCUGCCAGAGCUCGACACUGCUUAUAUCACAAAUGGAGAUGCAAAUCUGAGAACAAUGAUGACUGAUUUGGGCUACAGUGAAUCGCUUGACAAAUUGGGACAACUAAAGCGCCCAGGGCUCAGAAGAGAAUGGAGUUUCUUUUUCGACUGCAUCACCAGGGCAUUUCAAAAGAAGUCUACAAACUGGGAUGCCAUUCCAAUGGACAUGCUGCAGAUUGGGUAUUCUCUGAUCUACUCUACUAAUUUUGAUUUUGGUAGAUUAGUUCUUAGAAAUAUUGGUGAAAGAAUGCAUGAGAAUAGACAAGUCAUAUAUUUCUCAAGAUUCUGUCAAUUAUUGUUUAAUGCUACUGUUGGUGAGGUAGAUUUUGAUGUUGAUGAUGAGAUCAAGCCAUUCAGGCUUCAUAAAAGAGUGUUUAAGGACCUCAUCUCCAAGGAUGAGAAGUAUCCAAUUCAGAGACCUCUUCUAAUUCCAGCUCAAGUUAGAGCUAGGAUGGACAUGCCCCCAGUACAACAACCACAACAACCUCAACCUCCAGUCUCUCCUACAAUCCCCAAACAACCCAGAACUUCUGCAUCCAAGUCCAAGAGGGCUGCAAAGUCUGAUGCAGCCCCCUCCACUGCCAAAAGAACAAGAACCUCUGUUGCUACACAUGUUCUGAAAGCAAACUCUGAAGUGCCGACAAACACUGAUGAGCCAGUAAACUCUGAGGCUCAUUUAAACUCUGAGGCUCCAAACUCUGAUAUUCCAGUAAACACUGAAGCUGCUACUCUUCAAAAGCAGAAAAGAAGAAGACUGGUUGCAGCUUAUGACUAUGAUGAUCUUGAACCUGCACAUGCUGUAAACUCUGAACCUACUCCUACAACAGCCUCUGUACCUGCUCAAGCCAGUCCUCAGAAGCCAGCCAGAUUCAAGAGGAGGGCUCAAAAGCCUGCAAGAGCAAAAGUCCCAAUCACUGAAAUCACAGACUUCACAGUUGAGGAAGACCAAACACCAUCAACUCCAGUUGCUGAACAUUCUCAAGCUCUGAUGGUGCUUCCUAUCCAAGCUGUUCCUCUAACAUCUCCUACAGCAUCUACUUCAUCCUCUGAAGUAGAUGAAGAAAUAAAGUGUGAUGAACCAGUUACAACUGAAGCUGGAGCAAAUAUGUCUAAUCCUCAAACUCCAUUAUCUGAUCAUGGUCCAAUUCCUCAAUCUCCAAUGAAAAUUCCAGAGGAUGCCAUUGUUCAUGAUACAGCUCCAGAAAACUACAGGUCUGAUGUAGUUGAUGAAUCUGACAAAGUAGCUAUGGAAGCUCUACAGUCUCUUGCUCAGACUGGUGAAGAGCCUAUCAAAUCACAGUCUGAAGCUCAAGAAAAAUCUGCUCAAGAUACUGUGGAGAAAGUUGCUGAUCCUGUUCCUGAUGAUGAAAAAGCAAACUCUGAUACUGAGGAUGAUGACAGUUCAGAUACUGACAAGGAUGAAGAUGAUAGAGUCCCUUUGACACAACAAAAGUGGGAGUCUACUAGCCAGUACAAUGCAAGGCUACAAACUCUGAACACAGACUCUGCACCACUUCCCAGGGAUCUUCAGGUUGAUCCACCAAAUGAAGUCUGGGAUAAACUCUGGUUGAGCCAUCAACAUUCUCUGGAACCACCUAAAGCUGAAGAAUUUCUAUCUAUGGUAGAGAAUAAAAUCUCAAACUCUGAUGUUAUGUCAAGCCUCAAAGGCACAAUUCUAUAUCUGAAGACAUUUCAUCCUGCUCAUGCCCAGACAUCUCAAUCAAUAGAUGGUCUAAGAACAGAGGUUGCUAAUAUCAAGGAAACAAAUGAACUGGAAAAGAAAAGGACCAUGCUACCUCUGAAAGAAAAUGUACAGAAGCUGGUGACUGCCAAUGAAUCUCUGGACAAGAGGAUGACCAUGAUUGAAUCUUCUCAAGAAAAGAUGUCCAAACAGCUUGAAGCCAUCCAAUCAUCACUUUCUCUGAUCACAUCCAUACUGAUUCCUGAUGAGGAUGAUGUCAAAAAGGGGGAGAGAGUAGCUCAAGUCAAAUGCAAGUCUACUACUCAAACUCUGAAGAGAAAGAAGAAGGAUGAUGAUGAUGAUGCUGAUGAUUUCACAAAGCACAAGAGAUUUCAAGCAGGGACUGGUGGAAGAGUUUCAAACUCUGACAGUCAAAAACAAUCUAAGCAAAGCACAAAGUCUGCUCCAACACAUAAUGUCACAUCUGGAUCAAAGCACAGACCAGUGGCUGGAUCAGAUAAACCAUUGACUGAUGAAGAGCUUGCUAGAUUGGUUUUUGAACAAGAAAAUCCAGAAGCAAAUUUGGAUUUGGAGUUGAUUGCUGCAGAGGAAGCUGAGCUGAAAAAGGAACAUAUUGAAGCCAUAAACUCUGGAAAGAUCCAAAAGCCUGCAAAGUCAUCUACCAAGCCAAAAGAAAAAGGGAUAUUGAUCAAGGAAGCUACUGUUGCUGAUCAGAGUUUACCAGUCAAAAAGGUAUACUCUGAAGAUGAAUAUACUUCCAAGGGCAAAAGCAAAGUAGAUGAACGUCUGGAGAAAGGCUGGGAAAAGAAGAAGUCUACAACCUCUGACAAGGAUCAAGUUGUAAAGGAAAAGAAAAUAGAAGCUGCAAUCUCUGACAAAGCUCAUGUUGCAGAACCUCAAAAAGAAAGAUUAACCUCUGACAUAGCUCAUGUUAAUAAGGAUGCAAAGAAGGACACAACCUCUGACAAGGCUCAAGCUGUGUUCAAACCAACAACUACUCCACUGGCUGGAUUUGCAAAGCCUACUCUGAUGACUGAAACUAAGUUUUAGAAAAAGGCUNNNNNNNNNNNUGACCAUGAUUGAAUCUUCUCAAGAAAAGAUGUCCAAACAGCUUGAAGCUAUCCAAUCUUCACUUUCUCUGAUCACAUCCAUACUGAUUCCUGAUGAGGAUGAUGUCAAAAAGGGGGAGAGAGUAGCUCAAGUCAAAUGCAAGUCUACUACUCAAACUCUGAAGAGGAAGAAGAAGGAUGAUGAUGAUGAUGCUGAUGAUUUCACAAAGCACAAGAGAUUUCAAGCAGGGACUGGUGGAAGAGUUUCAAACUCUGACAGUCAAAAACAAUCUAAGCAAAGCACAAAGUCUGCUCCAACACAUAAUGUCACAUCUGGAUCAAAGCACAGACCAGUGGCUGGAUCAGAUAAACCAUUGACUGAUGAAGAACUUGCUAGAUUGGUUUUUGAACAAGAAAAUCCAGAAGCAAAUUUGGAUUUGGAGUUGAUUGCUGCAGAGGAAGCUGAGCUGAAAAAGGAACAUAUUGAAGCCAUAAACUCUGGAAAGAUCCAAAAGCCUGCAAAGUCAACUACCAAGCCAAAAGAAAAAGGAAUACUGAUCAAGGAAGCUACUGUUGCUGAUCAGAGUUUACCAGUCAAAAAGGUAUACUCUGAAGAUGAAUACACCUCCAAGGGUAAAAGCAAAGUAGAUGAAAAUCUGGAGAAAGGCUGGGAAAAGAAGAAGCCUACAACCUCUGACAAGGAUCAAGUUGUGAAGGAAAAGAAAACAGAAGCUGCAAUCUCUGAAAAAGCUCAUGUUGCAGAACCUCAAAAAGAAAGAUUGACCUCUGACACAGCUCAAGUCAAUAAGGAAGCAAAGAAAGACACAGUCUCUGACAAAGCUCAAGCUGUGUUCAAACCAACAACUACUCCACUGGCUGGAUUUGCAAAGCCUACUCUGAUAAUCAGAGAUUGAUUUUGUAACUGUGUCUAUAUAAACACAGAUUAGGGUUACUCUAUAUGAGUUGAGUUAUCGAGUAUAUUGUUAAGAACCCUAGCAGCUCUUAGUGAUACAAUAUAAAUCACUGAGAGAGUUUUUGUAACUAUUAAAGCUUUGUGAAUAUAAGAGUUUAUUGCUUUCAAUCUCUUAUAUUGUCAUACUGUGUUACAGAUUGUGAUCACUAUAUCAUAUUAUAUAGUGAGUUUAAAGGACCUAACAAAAUGAUUUUUCAAAUAACUUGCUAGAAAUAACUUUUCCACUUAAGGAUAAUCAUGCAAAUUAAUGAUCCUAUUGGGAGGAUUACUAGGUGAAUUAAAUAUUACAUUUAUUUAUAAAUACCAAAAUAAAUUAAUAUCGAAGAUAUCCUUUCACUGGGUAUUACAGGAAACAAGAAUGCUGGACCUUUCAUUCCUAAAUAUCGAAGAUAUCCUUUCAAUCUUCCUCUUUUUGGUAUUUAUCAAACAAACCUAAAAUUUAAAUUUUACAAGUGUGUGCUUCCCCUUAGUGUAUGCAUGAAUUUGAAAAAUAAUUUUCACAUAGGCACAUAAUAGGGUUCAGAAAUGUUACUUGUAGUUUUCGCAAUCCCGAUAGCAAAAGCUUAUAAUCCUCGUGAUUCCAAUAGCGGUACCUUGAAAAGAAAUUGGUUAGAUACAUAGACAAUUUUAAAAUUUUAAACCAAAAUUUUCUUUUCUCUAUCUUUGGGAAAAUUUUAAUUUUUGAUCGUGCAAUGAAAAUUUUUAAAUUUUGAUGUAUUGCACGUCUCUUCCCCUUUUGGUUGAUAAAAACCAUAAAAAAUCUUUCCCUUUUAGAUAGGUACGAAUGUUUCGUAGAAUACGUCUCUUCCCUUUAACAUUUACAUAUUUUUAGAGAUGAUGGAAUAUUUGUAAUAUAAUUUUCUUUGAUUUGUUUCCCCUCACUUAUUGACCAUCUUAAGAAUUUCUUUAAAAGACUUGGUCAAAGAUAAUGUAAAAUAGUUAAGUGCCUUUCUCUUUUGUUUUACCAAAUCUCAUGAGUUCUUUCUUUUAUCUAUGUGAGCUAUUUGUCAAGAAUUAGUGUUUGUUUUAAUUUUGCUUGACAAAUUUUUCGUUAAACUCAUUAUUCGAGUAAUUCUUUCAAUUUUGAGCCACUUCUGCUUUGAAAUUUCAUCAAAUUCGUUGAGCAGUUUUCUUUUUGUUUGAACUUUGAUAAUGACUUAACAUUUUCGUGUUUUUCGUGUAAUAAAGUCAUUUUGAAUCGAUACGAAUUGUUUUAUUUCGAUUCAUAUUUAUCACUUGAAGCUUUUUGCUUUCUUAAAUAUAUAAGUGAUAAUCUAUUCGUUUUUAUAUAUAACGAAGCCAAAUUUUUGUAUGAGAAUUCGUAUUAAUAUGAGACAAGUGCAAUAUAUAUUGCUGAAAUAAAGAUCUCAAACUGAAUUUUCAUUAAUUCUUGAAAUUCAUACAAGUACAUAAAUUCUUGAAAUUUACAUUUGAAUAGAAGUUUAAGAUGCUAAAAAUGAACUCCUGCAAAAUAAGUUAGUCCAGAUACACAAAAUGGUUUUUAACAUAUGAUCUUGACCUGUAAACUAACAAAUUUGACAGAGUACAAUUUUAAUUAUUUAGUCACAACCUGUUAAGAAAUUAUAAGUCACACUAAACUCUAGUUGUAAUUAAAGCAUGACAUGAGCUAAGUACAGAGUUUUGAUGGUCUAGAUUUGUAAAUACUACAGCCAGAACAUCAAUUUAAGCAAACUUUGUAAGUUAACAACAGUAAAUCAAACUAAGCAUGCAUAAUAUAGAAUCAUUAUUUCAUAUUCAUGAUCAGAUUAGACAUAAUAAACUGAUUUAAACUGCAGAUUUCAUUAAUUUACCAAAAUCAGUCCAUACCAUGGACUAAAGAACCUGCAAUUACAAGCACAACACCAUUAGAUACUACAGAUUAAAUAUCUCAGCACCUGAGAUAUCAGCAGAACAAACACAGAACCACACAAGGUGGCCAAGAAACCAGCAUUCCAGCAAAAACAGAGCCAAACCAGUAAAACCAGCAAUCACAGUAACCACAGAACCAGCUUAACAGGACCAACACAGCCAUCAUUCCCAAAUACCACAGCAAGCAUAAUCCAGAUCUAAGCCUUCUCAGGCCCAUCAACAUCAACAAAUCCCAACUCAUCAGACAAAUCAUUCAAGCUAGGAAGCAUCACAGCAUCAGACUUACCAGUUUCAGCAACUAACUUAUCAGAUUUUUUAGCCAUUUCUUUUACCAUAUCCUCAUUAAACAACCUAUCCAUUUUCUCAUCUAUACCCUCAGCAUUUCCAACAGUAGAGUCUUCCUUAGACUUAUUCUCUAACUGAUCUAACCUUGCCAUAAUAAAUAGGUUUAUCUCCUUAAGAUUGUUAACCUCUUCCUUAAGCUUAUCAAAUUCAGAAUUUGACUUAUUUGCAGUUUGCUUACUACCAAUUAUCAUCACCUCAGGAGUAAUACAAACAGGAGUGACAGUUAAACGUUUGCAAUCACUAAGGGAAACCUGGUGCUUAACCAAACUAGAUAUGUCACAGUACUCAAUUCUUUCAGCUAGCACUCUAGGCAUGGCAAUAUGAUACAGCUCAAACAAGGAAGUUAAAAGCAAACCAUAAGGCAUGUACUCAACUUCAAAAGCCAUAAUCAUAUUAAUCAGAAUCACAUAAUUUUUGUUAAACUCAACCUGAUUAGUAGCCAACUGAAACAUAACCUUCAAAUCCACAAAAUCAAAGAACUGAGUAUUCUUAGGUUUAGGCAACAGAUUAGACCUAAUAAUUAUAGCAAGCUGUUGGUACAAAGGAGUAAAGUGAUGAAACUCAAUGGCACAGUUUCUAUCACACAAAUCCACAGGAACAUCACUAUCACAGAAAUACCCAACAAGCAACUCAAAUUCCUUCUUAUCAAACACAAACUUCUCAUAUAUGUUGAUGCAAGGCUGAAAUGGCACAUUCUCACCUAACUUAAGACAUCUAUUCAGAAUAUUAACGUCAACAAGCAUGUUUUUAUUAUGCACUACAGUACUUAUCUUAAGAACAUCAUCUAUCCCCUUCUGAACCACCAUGUUACCAUAGAAUUCACCAAUCAAAUGCACAAAGUAGUUCUGACCUCUAUAAAAUAUCAUGUUUUCCCAUUUAGCAGAUAAAAACAUGUUAUGCACCACACCAUUUUGAGGAACAUAGAUCAUCAUACCAGGUUGCACAUUUAAAAGCAUGUUAUCAAGCUUAGACAGAUUGGAUGGAUCAACUAACACACUUUUAGGAGCAUUCACAGUAGGUUUAGCAUUUGGAGUGUGUGUGUGCCUAGAAGCUUGAGUGUUUGGUGCAGAGGUGACAUUCUUAUGCAUAUGCAGUUUAGAAUUGUGGUUGUGAGAAGAGUUUUGAUGCACUUGUUUUUGCUUUUUAUGAUAAGUAUGAAGAGGUUUGCCAUUGAUAGUUUGGAAAUCAUGGUUGUGAUUUUCAGAAUAAAAUCUUCUCUCCAUGUUUUGUAAAAGAGGGAGAGUAUGGAGAGGUUUGGAAGAAGGGUUAGAGUUUAGCUUUUUGAAUUCCAUGCAUAGAGGUUUUUGAAAACAGAAAGGUGGUGUGAUUUUUGAAAAACAAUGCAAGUCCUUUUAUAGUAAAAAGUGAUCAGUUGCAUGUCAUGAGUGUGUGUGUGUGUGUUUAAAACAUGCACAUAUAAGCAUAUAUCAAGUAAUUCAGGCAUGUAUAUAUGAGACAAAGGUGUAUAUAUCAAAUAAUGUGAGUGAUCAGGCAAGCACAUAUAUGGCAGUUAUAUACAUAAACAUCAGAUUGUGUGAGACAACAUGCAUAUAAGUAAAAGUGUGUGUAUAUGAUAUGUGCAGUCAUGUAUACAUACAAAACAUUUAGCAUAUAUCACAUUUAAUGAUCUGACUUAGUGUAAAAUGGUGGCCAGAAGAAACAACUGGGAUAUCAGCUUGCUUAAGAGAGUUUUCAAAUCAAGUUAAUACCACAGAGUUCAAAACAGAUGAUGAUAUCUAUACAAAUAGGCAGAUAAUAAGCAACUCUACAUAUGACACACUCCAGAAUUCAUUUAAUGCAUGCAGCCAUUUACAUAUACUAGGUUUGCCAUUGAUAGUUUGGAAAUCAUGGUUGUGAUUUUCAGAAUAAAAUCUUCUCUCCAUGUUUUGUAAAAGAGGGAGAGUAUGGAGAGGUUUGGAAGAGGGAUUAGAGUUUAGCUUUUUGAAUUCCAUGCAGAGAGGUUUUUGAAAACAGAAAGGUGGUGUGAUUUUUGAAAAACAAUGCAAGUCCUUUUAUAGUAAAAAGUGAUCAGUUGCAUGUCAUGAGUGUGUGUGUGUGUGUUUAAAACAUGCACAUAUAAGCAUAUAUCAAGUAAUUCAGGCAUGUAUAUAUGAGACAAAGGUGUAUAUAUCAAAUAAUGUGAGUGAUCAGGCAAGCACAUAUAUGGCAGUUAUAUACAUAUACAUCAGAUUGUGUGAGACAACAUGCAUAUAAGUGAAAGUGUGUGUAUAUGAUAUGUGCAGUCAUGUAUACAUACAAAACAUUUAGCAUAUAUCACAUUUAAUGAACUGACUUAGUGUAAAAUGGUGGCCAGAAGAAACAACUGGGAUAUCAGCUUGCUUAAGAGAGUUUUCAAAUCAAGUUAAUACCACAGAGUUCAAAACAGAUGAUGAUAUCUAUACAAAUAGGCAGAUAAUAAGCAACUCUACAUAUGACACACUCCAGAAUUCAUUUAAUGCAUGCAGCCAUUUACAUAUACUAGUUUGAAUAUGCAUAAGGUUCCAAGUAAUCAAUUAAAUACAAGCAGACACAUACAUAUCAUCUUAAGCAGUCAAGAAAUACAUACACACAGAUAUGAUGCAGAUGCUAUGUCAUUCAUCACAGAGAUUAAGUCCUAAUGCAUUAAUUUUCUAUCCUAAAUCUAGUGGCCAGAUGCACCAGUGAUCCAGAUACCCAGGGGCUCAUAGGACCCCCAAGCCAAGUCUUAAUGCAUGGGCAGGUGUGUGUAGUGUCCUAUCUUAGGAGAUUUCUACUUAAUUUUUAUGUAUUCUCCCUAUAUUAGUCAUGUUUAUGGAGACUUACCAUGGCAGAGUACAUAAUUUACUAAUCACAGACUCAUACUCACAAACAUAUGUAGUAAUAAGUGCAUAAGUAUCUCACAUCAUUAUAAGUAUCACAUAGUUAAACAAAAUAGAAUCAAUCACAUAUAAUAAUCACAAAGUUAACUAGCACAGGACACAUCAUGUAAAAUAAACUCAGAAUUAAGCAGCACAGGACACCUCAUCAAGUAAUAACACAAGUUCAAGUUGCAGAGGACACAUCAUCAGCAAAAUACAAUUGACUUUUCUUUUAAGUAAAUAUUAAUCUAUUAUCACAUGACUGAGAGCAAGUAGACAAAUACUCAAGUAUAGCAGUGCAGGGGACAAACUCAGCAGAGGUCACAUGACUAAUUUCAGAAAAGGUUCAGUUUAAUAGUAUUUUAAUCACUUAGUGGAGGGACAAGUCAAUUUAAAAAUAACUUCUACAACUCAGACCUUACUACUCUGUUUUAACAUAACCAGUUUACCAUUAACAGUAACAAAACCAGUUAACAAAUCCAGUAUAAGGUCAACACUAAAGACUUAAGCAGUCAAAUAUAGUCUAAACACCAGUUUUAAGAAUUAAAUUAAUCUGACUUUAAGCUUAAACCAUCAAAUUUGGCAAUUAAGUUCAGGUAUUAGCAGAAUUCACAUAAUAUCAAAUCAAAUUUAGCCUAAAAUCCAAAUUUCACCAAUUUUAAAACUGACAGAAGAUUUAAUUUCAUCAAAAUUUUAACACAGAACAUAAUCAAUUAAAAUUCAAAAUCCAACAGUCAAAACCAGCAGUCAAAAUUUGAACAUUAUAUAUAGUUUAUAUCACAUAUCGAACACAAAAAUCACAGAACAUCAAAUAAAAUCCAUCAAACAAGCAGCAAAUCCAACAGCCACCAACAGUCCACCAAACCAACAGCCACCAAUACGCCAACAAAUCCCAUCCUCCUGCAUUCAACAUAUAUAUAUAUAUAUAUAUAUAUAUAUAUAUAUAUAUAUAUAUAUAAUAUAUAUAUAUAUAUAUAUAUAUAUAUAUAUAUAUAUGAGUUUCGAGUCAUACCUACCCCCAAGGCAUCACAGCUUUUUAGGGACUUACCUUGUAGCAUAUACACAAGGUAUAUUGCAGAACGCAUUCCUAUCCAGCUGAGCUCCUAAUUUUCCAAUCUCCUUCUUCGAUGCUCCAAUCCACACCUGCAAAACACUCGAAAAAUAAUGUUAGUAUAGUGGAAAUCAAACCAAAAAUAAAUUAGGGUUUCGAGUUUAUACCUGAGCUCGAGGCCUAGAAACAACUUGGGACUUACCAAAUUACUCAAAUCGAGUCCUGCAUAUACCUAUUCAAGCGAUUUAAACACCAGAAUCGAACUGCUGUCAUGAACCCUAAAUCGAUUUGAGUAUCAAAUCGAAUUAAAAAGCCUCAAACCUGCAUAAAAUCGUUAGAUAAACCAUCAAUUAGGUCUAAUACAUGCCGAUUUGAGUUAGGGUUUCGAAAAUCUCAAGAACCCUAAUUAGGGUUUUUCGAAAAACAACUCAAAAUCGCAAUGCACUACAUCUAAUCGAUGUAUAGCUGUCGAUUUCUUGUCAUAUCGCAACAUUCAUUAGUUGAAUGCGCGAUUUCAGACUGAAAUCAAGAUUUCUGUACCAAACCCGACAAUCGACCAUGAUUCGCCCUAAAACUAAAGAGAGAAUUUGAGUGUGUAGUAUUUUAAGCAAGAAACUAGCGAUUCCGGUGAAGAAUUUGAAAGAAAUCGGCCGGAACUAGAUAGGGUUUUCAGAGAAGAAUCGAAGGAGACGAGAGAGACGAGAGAGAACGAGAGAAACAGCUGCGGCUGUAAUGAAUAUAAAAUUAUUUUAACACAUAUAUAUAUUUUACAAUGUACGGCUGAGAUCCUGUUUUUAAAAAUAUUUGACGGCUCAGAUCGUAGGGUUUAAGUCGGGUCGGGUUGGAUCCAUGGGUAUUGACCCGAAAAAUAACAAUUUAAAACAAAAAUCAGUUUUUGAAUAUUCUAUUUUGUAGAAUAAAUAUUUAAAUAUAAAAAAAUGAUUUAAAAAGUCAAACAAAAUUACCCAGAUUUUGAAAAAUAAUUUAAAAAUACGAUUUGGAUAAUUUUGAAUAUUUUAAAAUAUUUGAAAUAUUUUUGACAUAUAAUAAUAGUAAUUGAAAUGAUAUUUGGAAUUUAUUACAAUUUUGUCCAAAAAUGAAUAUUUUAAUGUGAUAGUUUUGUUGGACAAUUUUGUAAAAUAGAAUAAUUCCAAAAUUUCAUAGAAUAUUUUAAUACCAUAUUUCCCAUUAUUUAGAUAACUUCUUUGAAUAUUAUUAUGGGAUAAAUAUUUGAAUUAUUAUAGUAAUUCAUUUUGGCAUGAUAAUUUAUGAAUGACUCUCAUAUUUAGAAAUUUCACAAAUAUUUCUGAUAGAUCAUCAAUAUUUGCUUGUACAAUAAAUAUAAUAAUUAAUUAUGAACUCGCAAAUUUUGACUCAGAAAAAUCCGAUCAAUAAAUUUCUUUAUUGACAAAUCUGAAUUUUUAGAGUAUACUUGAGAGAACCGAAUUAAAAAUGAUAUUUAAAGUACAUGAAAUAACUUAAAAUAAUGAGUGGCACUCAUUUAUUAUUUUAUGAUGAGUAUGCCAAAAUAUUAUUUAGCCGGUUCCAACAUUCCCAAAUCCAAUCGUAAUUUGGCAAAUCUUUCGGAACUUAACGGCUUAGUGAAAAUGUCAGCGAUAUUGAACUCAGUUUCAAUAUGAGUCAUUUUUAUGUCGCCUUUAUUGACAUGAUCACGUAGAAAGUGAUGUCGUAUAUCUAUGUGUUUGGAUCGUGAAUGCAACACGGGAUUUUUACUUAAAUCAAUAGCGCUCGUGUUGUCACAUAAUAUUGAUAUGACAUCAAAUUUAAUAUUAUAGUCUGCCAAUGUUUGUUUCAUCCAUAAAAUUUGAGCACAACAUUUAGCAGCAGCUAUAUAUUCAGCUUCAGUGGUUGAAAUAGAUACGGAAUUUUGUUUCUUUGAAAACCACGAAACUAGGCAUCCACCGAGAAAUUGACACGUACCACUAGUGCUUUUUCUGUCUACUAAAUGUCCGGCAUAAUCAGAAUCAGAAUAGCAUACUAGAUUAAAUGGUACGCCUUUUGGAUACCAAAGGCCUAGAUCAACAGUGCCCUUUAAAUAUCUUAAUAUUCUUUUUACAGCGGAUAAAUGUGAUUCCUUAGGGACCACUUGGAAUCUUGCACAUUUGCAAACACUAUAUUGAAUAUCGGGUCGGCUAGCGGUAAUAUAUAAUAAACUUCCGAUCAUGCCACGAUAUUUCUUAGUGUCAACGGGUAUUCCUUUAGGAUCUUCCGUUAAUUUAUCCGAGAGUGACAUGGGAGUUGAAAUGGGUUUAGCAUUUUCCAUUUCAAAUUUCUUAGGCAUUUCUUUACAAUAUUUUGAUUGUGAAAUAUGAAUGCCCUCAUUGGAUUGCUUAAUUUGCAAACCCAAAAAGAAAUUUAAUUCUCCCAUCAUACUCAUUUCGAAUUCCUUACUCAUAUGUUCAGAGAAUUCCUUGCAGAGAUUAUCAUUUGUUGAUCCAAAAAUGAUAUCGUCUACGUAUAUUUGGACAAGUAAUAUAUCAUCUUUUUCUUGUCUCGUAAAUAAGGUUUUAUCGGCAGUUCCCAUUUUAAAUUUAUUUUCUAAUAGGAACUUGCUUAACCAUUCAUACCAAGCUCUUGGAGCUUGUUUUAAUCCGUAUAGAGCUUUAUGUAAUUUAUAUACAUAUUCCGGAUUAAUAGGAUCUUCAAAACCGGGAGGUUGUUUUACAUAAACUUCUUCUUCGAGAAUCCCAUUUAAGAAGGCGGAUUUAACAUCCAUUUGAUAUACUUUGAAACCUUUAUGACAAGCAAAUGCUAAUAGCAUUCGAAUUGAUUCAAUUCGUGCUACGGGAGCAUAGGUUUCAUCGAAGUCUAUUCCUUCCAUUUGAGUAUAUCCUUGAGCAACUAAUCUUGCUUUAUUUCGAACAACCGUUCCAUUUUCAUCUAAUUUAUUUCUAAAAACCCAUUUUGUUCCAAUUAUGGAUGUAUCAUCGGGUUUUGGAACGAGUUCCCACACUUUACUUCGAGUAAAUUGGUUUAAUUCAUCUUGCAUUGCAGAGAUCCAAUCCUCGUCAAGUAAAGCCUCUUUAGCGGUCUUAGGUUCUAUUUGUGAUAGAAACCUAAGAUGAUUCACAACGUUUUGUACUUGUGACCGCGUUUGAACUCCUUUACUUAAAUCACCCAAUACGUUAUCUAAAGGAUGACUUCGUAUAGUAGGAAUUUCUUUAGGAAUAUCAUCUUCCGUAUUUAACAAUUCUAAUGGAUUAUUUUGAGGGGUAUUCCCGACUUCCAUAUUUUCGAAUUGUCGAAUAAUAUCUUCAAUCCCAUCUUGUUGUGCAUCUUCUUUGUCAACAAGAUCAAUAUACUUCGAGGGUGGUUUUGUUUCAUCAAAUGCAACAUUCAUAGAUUCUUCCACCACAAGAGUUUUGAGAUUGAAUACUCGGUAAGCCUUACUAUUUGUGGAAUAACCGAGAAAUAUACCUUCGCUUGAUUUAGGAUCAAAUUUCGUAAGGUAAUCUUUAGAGUUUAGAAUAAAACAUUUGCAUCCAAAAACUCUAAAGUAACUAAGUUUUGGAGUUUUACCAAAAUAAAGCUCAUAUGGAGUCUUUUGUGUAAUUGGUCUUAGUAAAACUCUAUUUAGUAUAUGGCAAGCCGUUGACAUUGCUUCGGCCCAAAUAUACUUAGGACGACGAUACUCAUUAAGCAUCGUGUUUGCCAUUUCUUGUAAUGUUCUAUUUUUCCUUUCAACAACUCCAUUUGAUUGAGGUGUAUAUGGAGCGGAAAAAUUAUGAGUAAUACCAUUUUCUUCACAAAAUUGAGUGAGGUUAGAAUUUUCAAAUUCUUUACCAUGAUCGGUUCUUAUAUAAACAAUGGUAUUAUUUUGUUGAUUUUGAAUCUUUUUGCACAAUGACGAGAAGGACUCAAAAGCAUCACUUUUGGCUUUGAGAAAUUCCGUCCACGUAUAACGUGAAAAGUCAUCAACAAUUACCAAAGUAUAAGAACAUCCUCCGAGACUUUGUACGGGCACCGGACCAAUUAAGUCCAUAUGUAAUAGCUCGAGAGGUCUAGAGGUUGAUACCAUGAAUUUAGCUUUGUGAGAUGCCCUUAUUUGCUUGCCAAUUUCACAAGCCUCACAAGUAUGAUCUUUUUGAUAGUUCAAUUUUGGUAUACCUCUAACACGAUCAUUUGUUGAUAUAGUUUUAAUCAACUUCAUAUUAGCAUGUCCUAAUCUUCGAUGCCAUAGCCAUGGGUCAUCUUGUGUAGUGAUUAGGCACACAUUAUUAUGUUUGCUAAUAUCGCAAGUAUAGACAUUUUUGCUACGAGGACAUGUAAGCACUAAUUUUCCAUCCUUAUUUAGAAUUGAGCAAUGUGAUGGAUAGAAAAUUACCUUGUAGCCAUUGUCACAUAGUUGACUUAUCGAGAGGAGAUUGUAUUUCAAUCCCGUAACUAAUUGUACAUUGGCAAUCUUAAAAUGUUCAUUUCCUAUAUUUCCAAUGCCAAUAAUAUUACCUUUGCUGCUAUCUCCAAAAGUGACGACUCCAGCGGUUACCUUUUUAAUUUCAUUCAAGAGAGACUUGUUACCGGUCAUAUGCCUUGAACAUCCACUAUCGAGGUACCACAUAUUUUGCUUAGCAACAAAGGAUUCCUCUUGGUUAGUAGUGGAAGGAUCCGUUGAUGUAGAAGCAUCUUCAAUUGCCAUCAAACAUAGAUUAACCACUUCUUCACUUGCUUCGGGAGGUUCCUCAUCUUCACUUAAAUCCCAACCGUUUUCGGCCACGAGAAUCCUUCCUUUAGAAAGUUUAGGACAUUCUCGUUUAUAGUGACCCGGUUGUUUACACUCGAAACACACUUCUUGUGUUUCCUCCGGAGUUUGUUCUUUUUGUUUUGGAGGAGUGUAAUUAUUGGUAUUAUAACCAUUUGGGCUUUGAUUGGUUUUGCCUUUGUUAUAGCCCGAGUUGGUAGGAAAAUUACUCUUGUAGUUUGGAGAAUAAUUUUGAGAGUAAUUAGGCCUUCCAUUAGAGUUAAAUACUCUUUGUUGAUUAUUUGAUUUUAGGAAGCCUUUUUCAUACCUUUGUGCUUUGCUUUGAAGCACACGAUGAAGUUGUCUCGUGAGUAAAGCGAUUUCGCUUUCAUCGAGAUUUGAAGUUCUUCAUUUAAUUCUUCAUCAUUUUCAUCUUCAUCGAUUAAUAUAGCCUUUAGUGCCAUAUUUUUCUUCUUGUCUUCCACUUUGGGAACGACAGCAUCCGGAAUAUUAUCUUCUUCGUAAGCACGAAGGUUUCCGAAUAAAUUAUCAAUGUGAUAGUCAUUGAGAUUAUGCAUCUCUUUAAUAGUAGUGACUUUCACUUUCCAACUCGGAGGUAGAGAUUUAAGAACUCUACGAUUCUUUUCAUUUUGUGUAUAGUUCUUUCCGAGUUGAGAUAGUUCAUCGAUUAUUCGAGUAAAUCUUGUUUCCAUAUCGAUGAUAUUUUCUCCAUCUUGGAGUUUAAAGUUCUCGUAUUCUUGGAUCAAUGUGUCCAUUCGAGAAUCUUUUAUGUCGGUAGUACCUUCAUAGGUUACCACUAAUUUGUUCCACAUUUCUUGUGCCGACUUGCAAUUGUUUACUCGUUUAUAUUCUUUUUCCGCAAGUGCACUUGUGAGAACCAUUUCCGCUUUUGCGGCGAUAUUCAUUCUAUCUUCUUCUUCGUGAGUGUAUUCACUUACUUUCUUUUCGAUGAUGGUAUCGUCGACUAUUUUAGUCGGUAUAAUAGUACCAUCUUCUAUGGCCAUCCAAACUUUGACUCCUUGAGAUAUUGCAUAUAUUCUAAAUCUCGUUUUCCAAGUAGCAAAGUUUGUGCCAUCAAAUAGAGGAGGUCUAGAAUUUGAGAGACCUUCACUACAACCGAUAGCAUUUAUAUAAGCCAUAUCGGAUCUACUUUUCUUUGUGCUUGAAAUUCAAAUAGCACUUUUUAAAAGCAACUGCUCUGAUACCAAUUGUUAGGUCCCGAUAGAGUGUAAUUUAAGCUAGAAGGGGGGGUUGAAUAGCUUAAUCACCAAUUUAAAAAUUGAUGUGGUGUAAUAAAAUUUAUCCCCCUUUUGAAUAGCUUUUAUCGAGAGUAUAGGCAGUUUAUGUGUGCGGAAGCAAUGUAAGAGUAAUACGACACACGAGAUUUUAUCCUGGUUCGCGGUGGCUAACUCAACACUUGGAGUCCACUCACCCCUACUCCAGUCCCCGAGCUCCUCCCCGGACUCGAGAUUUUCUCUACUAUAAAGAAACUCCUUUACAGUAGGCGGAGAAGCCUUUACAAAUAUAUAUCUUGGAGCGUAACUUCCCGUUACCUCCUCACUAUAAAUGUAAACUUACAAGACUCUUCUUGGAGCGUAACUCCCCGUCACCUCCUCAAAGUCGUUGUACUCCGGGUGUAGUCUUUGAACUUCUAAACUUUUGCGGGUCUUGGAUCUUAGGUCUUAGGUCUUGGGUCUUUCCUCUUCCUCACGGUGCAAAGACGACUAACUCCCCGUUAGCUCGUCUAGGACUUGGGUCUUAGAACGAAGAUCACCUCACUUCACUUCACCUCACUGCAAAACUUAAAAAACAAUAUCUACGACAAAUAACCUUAGUUUAUAAAGAGGGUUUUGGACUAGAUGCAACUAGGCCGAUAGUGCGUAUAUAUAUAUAUGUUGAUGAUAUAUAUAUUCAAAGUAUACUUUCCGAAUGAUUUAGAAAGAUUUAAGUAUACUUGAUGUUUUACUCCAAUACUAAAGAUGAGUAUAUAGUUGGAGUAAUAAAAGUCUUAUAAGCUUUAGUCUCGCUUAAGACUUGUAUAAUACUUGUCUUUUUGACUAAGUAUAUAUUACUUCGAAUAUACGUCUAUUUUCGAAGUACGGAUUUAAGAGAGUCUUUUGAUUUAGCUCUUUGGCUAUGGACUCUUCUUAAUACAACUCUUCUCUUGAAAUAGUCUUGUCAGACUAGAUAUAAUCGAUUUAGUGCGGAGAGAGAGAGUGUAGUCUUUCUUUAACUUUAGCACAAUAUAAUGAAAUAGCCAAACUAGAAUCCGCAAUUACAACAACAAUAAAUAAUAACAAUAAAGUGCAGAAAGUAAAUAGCGGAAAGUAAAUGAGUUAGUUGGCUAUGUUAGUGCUAAGUAAAGUUAGAGAGUUAAAGUAAGCUUUUUAGAUUUUCUUCCCACGGAACAAUACGAUGAUAGUUGGGAAUAUAAUCAAGCUUAAUAAAAUUGAUUUUGACCGUCGUCAAUAUUAAUCUCGUUUUCGAGAUUUAUUAUGAAUCUUUAGUUCGUACGAAGAUACAAAUCGUACUUCGUUUGUAUCAAAAUAUAUUUGAGUAUAUUCGAAGGAUAUAAACUUUGUUUAUGUGUAUAACUCAAAUAUAAUGAAUCUUAGUUCGUUUAAAUAUACACCAAAUCUAUAGUUUGUGUAUAUAUAUUAAUAUUUCGAAUAACACGACUUUGUUAGUUCGUGUUUAAUUAAUUCGAAAUAAGAAAUCUCUUUUAUAAGAGAUAUAAGAUGAAGAGCUUUAAGAUGAGUAGAUCGAGAAUAAUAACGAGCUCUUGUAUAUAUAAUGGUCGGUUAAGACUCGGAUCGAAGCUAAAAUAAUAACCACUUACAAAAAACGAUCGGAAAGUUCGCUGGAAAAAUUCGCCGGAGGUUCGGCCGUAUUUUGGCUUGGUGGCGGAACUUGGGCAGUCCUACGGGAGGCCUAAAGUAGUAGUGGUUGAGCUAGUUGGGUUGGGAGAGAGCUUGGUUGGUUGAACUAAGCUUAUACAACUAAAACCUUGUAUAUAUGAAUAUAUAUGUAUAAGAAAAGAAGGUUUUAGAGAAGAAGUAUUUGUAGAGAUGAAAGAGGGGAUACUUCUAAAAUUCCCAGCAACUAAUUAGCUCUUUAGCUUGUGUAGAAAAUGAAUGGGGAUGGGGUGGUAUUUAUAGGGAAAAUUUGGGGUAAUAGGUAGUGGAAGGUAAUGUAAGGGAUGAUGUAAAUGGGUAGGUGAUGUAAGGGAUGACUACAUUGUUCUUGUCCACUAGCCUAGCAACUUGACAACCAAAAUGUGACACCUUUUCUCAGCACUUAUUGCUUGGAUGAGGCUAAGGCACACACCCCAAUGCAACCCAAUUAACUAUUAAUUAACGAUUAAGUAUCGUUAAUUAAAACUAGCUUAUUUCUAAACAUCUCCAAUAAAUCCAACAAAAAAUAUGAUAAUUUUCUAAAUAUUGGAAAAUGGAAAUCUGUGAAGUUUGGUAAUUUUUGGUCAAAGUCUCCUAGGUCAAACGCUCAGUCAAAGCUUCUCGGGUCAACCGUUCCGAAACACACCCCGACAAACAUUCUCCAAAAAUCAUGAAACUUUUACCUAACAUACAUCACAUCAUAAAAAUGACAUCCCCAAAGUUUCAAGUCAUUCUAGCAAGUGGAAGUAUUUUAUCCGGAAUUAAAACGAUAAAAACCGCUUUUCGGGUAUGAAUAAAAUACGUAAAUCCUUUUGACGAUUUGUAAAACGUUUUUGGCUAGAAUUUUGACUUGGAUAAAUACUACAAAUAUAUUUCCUUGAGAAUAAAAUAGUUUGGAGUUUAUGGAAAUAUUUUUGAGCAUUUAAAUUAAUUUCCUUCGAUAAAUAAGGAAAUAUACGAAAACCGAGAAAAUUAGUAUUUGGUCAAAACGAGUAGACCCUUGACUAAUUUUUGAUACCAAAAUACUUAGAAUAAUAGGAGUCAUGAUAAAUCAUGGUUUUGACAAUUUUAAAGUGUAUUCUAAGUAUUAAAAUAUUUUUCUCCGAAAAAUGAGUAAUUUGAGAGACCUUGGAGAAAAUAUUUAAUGAACCAAGAAAAAUGGAUAUUAAUAUUUGACCGUCCAAAUAUUAAUGUUUUGAUAGAGUAAAUCUUUCUUUUGGAUAGAAAACAAUAUUUGAAAUGAAAGAUUUAUUUUUGGAUAAUUAAAGAUAAUUUAUCCCGUAAAAUAGGAAUUUGUAAAUCAGGGAAUAAAUUACUUUAAUUAAGAGAUUUAAAAAAUAAUGUUACAUGAGGGUUCUAAAGAAUAUCAAAUCUUGAUAAUCCUUUUUCGAUCUUCAUGCGAGUUUAAUUUUGCAAUAUGAAGAUAGAGAAAUAUCGUAGAGUGGCGAUAUCCCUCAGCAUGAAUAUUGCGUGAAAAUAUAUUUCUUAAAAAUAGGUAUUUUGAUCCGAAGAAAUAUAAAAUGAUUUUUCAAAUAACUUGCUAGAAAUAACUUUUCCACUUAAGGAUAAUCAUGCAAAUUAAUGAUCCUAUUGGGAGGAUUACUAGGUGAUUUAAAUUUUACGUUUAUUUAUAAAUACCAAAAUAAAUUAAUAUUGAAGAUAUCCUUUCACAUUAUGACUCAUGUUAUGUAGUGUGCAAUAUAGCUUAGAAUCAAAAAAAUUAAAAAAAUAAACACCUACAAUUCAAUUUCCUUCUGAGUUAUCCAACUAACCAUGUCGUACCUCGGACUUGUUAUCAUUAUUAGUAACCUCCCGCUUGGACAACCGUUUCUUAAACAAAUUUAACAACUCCUAGUCUACACUCUUCAAUGUCUGUAAGUUUCUGUGUUUGUAUUUAAUGUCUCUGUAAUAGUUUAACAGAUUUGUUUAUAAUUUUUUCGAUUUAGUGUUACUGAAUAUUUGUAGUUGGAGUUAUUUAUUGACUCUGCUUUUAAUUCUGUGUGCUUUUAAUUACUGUCAAAUUGAUUUGCCUUUGGUUUUUUUUGUCCUCCACACUGUUAAUUUGUCUGCUUUUAUGUGUAUUUUAGUUAAUUAUGAUUUAUCGAUGAUGAAAAUACGACAGAACUCCCAUAAUAUGCCAACCUCUUCUGUUGGAGGUAAUAGUUUAGUUGUGGUCAAUUUUUUUGUUUUUGGACUCCAGUGUAGAGUGUAAAUUUAUUUUGUAAUGCCAUUUGAUUGUAUUUGUGAUACAGAGGGUGUACAACUUUCCAAUCAGGAUUCGGACACAAGUUUAGCUUCACCACCCCGAUGUCAUAAUAUUUGUGAGUGUUAAUGUAUGUUUGUAUUGCCUUAUUCAUGUUUGUAGCUUUUGUAAUUAAAUUUUAUGCCUUUUAGAUGAAGUACCAGACGUGCAUUUGAAGAAAAGGAAAGUUGUUGCCGAUCUUAUUUCUUCAAAAAACAAAACUCCUGUUUUGUUUGAUAUUUGUGAGUCGAUUUACUCUUUUCUCCGUCUUCUGCAUACACACUUGGGAUAAGUGCUGCUGUUGUUUUUUAUGACAUUUUUUGGGUUUGAUUGCGACAUUAAACAGUUAAUUACGGAACAUCGAUGAUGAAGCCUUAUGGAGGUUCCGAACUUGCACAUUGUCCUUCUGUCAGCUGCACGUGUAUGUAUAUUUGUUUCUUUUGCAAUCUUAUAUUGCAUUUAUAAUUUUUUUUGAACUUCAGUUUUUGACCUCUUUGUGUUUGUUAUGAAGCUGUUUUUUUGGAGAAAGAGAAUGUUAGUCCUCCUCAGCAACAAAUGAAGAGGUGUCUCAAAAGGAAGAUGUUUUUGAAGCGUCAUUUUCGAAAAGAAAACCUAAAGCUUCUCCUAAGCGUAAACCUUUUUCGGUUUUGAAUGGUAUUAUAAUACAUAGCUCUGUUUUAUUGUUUAUCUUAAAUAAAAUAGAAUAUAUUUAAACUUGACAAGCAUAACAUUUGUAACAGGUCAUCCAUUAAAUCCAUUAAAUGAUCCAUCAGAAAAAAAUAUUGGGAGGCAGCGACAAACUUUGUGUACUGCAAAUAAGGGUAAACCAGUUGAGAUGAAGGAGACAUAUCCUAGACCACAGUUGAAAGAAUCACGUAACUUGGAUGGUUGCAAGAGGAAGUUUAUCGCAUCUUCGGCGUCUAAUAAUACAGGUUCCGAUAAUUCCCAGCAUAUUAUAUCAUAUAAUGCAUGUGUCCCCGUAAAGUUUCCCUUACUUGCCGACAUGCUUAUCAUAACAGCUUUCAGGUGUUGGAAAUACUAGACUGAAGACCCUAAUUUCUGAAAGCUUUGCUGAGAAAACACCGAAAUCCACUUUGUCUGCUGUUUGUAAGUUAAUAUCUUCCCAAGUAUUUGUGUCCAUGAACAUAUUCAUUGAAUUCUGUAUGAUUAUGUAUUAUUUUCCCUUUUAAGUUUCUUCCCCUCCUGGAUCAUCAACCCAAGGAUUCUAUUAAGAAGAAGUGUUUUGAGAGCAUUCCUCAAGCUUUGAAUUUUGACAUGGGAAAGGAUACUACAGAUAAUGAUCAUUGUAUGGAGGAUGCUGGUAGGUACAUAGAAAAGAUUUAUAGGUUAUCCAUGGUAUGCUUUUUUUAUCAAAUAUUCAUUGUUCACAUUUACAGAGUUCUCGAGAGUGAAUGGCGACGUAGAUCAUUCUUCAAAUUUGUAUGAACAUGAUGGUCAGACCCCUUCUUACUUAACUAUGUGUGCAGAUAUCUUCCUUUUUUUUAAAAUUUUGAUGACAGAAGUAUCCAUAUGACAACAUGAAUGCAGAGUUUCUUGAUGAUGAAGACCCCUGGUGCAAAGAAAGAAUGGCAAAUAAAGCCAAAGGUGUGUAGCUGUCUUUAGGCAUAUUCUGCAUAAUUAUUUUUGUGUGCUAUAUUAAUUAUGUGUGUGUGCACGUAUGCAAUAUAAUUUUUGUAGUUCCAUCUGAUUAUGCAAGCCUGGGUCCUCCUAAUGUCCAGUGCACUAAAUGUCAUGCAAUAAUGUGGAAGGAAGAACGUACGAACAAAAAUGUGACAAAGGGAAUUCCACUAUUUUCAUUAUGUUGUGCUAAUGGUGAAAUACAGCUUCCAAAGGAAAAGCCUGCUCCUUCAUACCUGUGGCAGUUGUAUAAUGACAAGAAGAUGGGUCCAAAAUUUAAAGACGGUAUACGAAUAUAUAACGCAUUAUUCGCUUUCACUUCCACUGGUGGUAGGGUGGACCACUCAAUAAACUGUGGUGGAGCUCCUUACAUAUAUAGAUUGAAUGGUCAAAAUCAUCAUCUGUUUGGUUCCCUUAUUCCUAAUGAGGGUGGUGACCCCAAGUUUUGCCAAUUAUAUAUAUACGACACCAGCAAUGAAGUCUCCAAUAGAACGAAAUGGAUUAAUGUGAGGGAUGGUCGUGAAGUUGAUGCUGCCAUUGUUGAUGGUCUAAUGAAAAUGCUUGAUGAAACCAAUGAGUUGGUAAAGGAAUUCAGAUCGCAUCGUGAUAGAUUUGAGCAGGAUAAAGUUUCUGAUCUUGAAAUCAUGAUGAAAAUAUCUAGAACUGAAAGUGGGAGGGAAAACCAUGUAAUGCCUGCAGAUGAUGUUGCUGGAAUCAUGGCUGGGGACCAAGAUGCUAAUUCUCAGUAUCGGGAUAUUGUUAUUCAUUCCAAGAAAAAAGGUCUAAAAAGGAUAAGUGACAUUCAUCCCAAGAUUAUGGCGCUUUAAUAUCCGCUUUUAUUUCCCCACGGUGAUGAUGGUUUCCACAUACAUUUGACGUAUGGUAGUGGGGACAACAAGAAAAAAAAAAGGGUGCUAAUUACUCAAAAGGAGUACUAUGCAUACAAGCUUCAGGUGCGCAUGAACCAAGGUAUAUUACCCUUUCACAUCUUCAUUUUUCAAUUUAAGUUUUCAUUUUGCUAUUGUAUACAUUNGGGCUUUGUUUCCAGUCAUAUGUCCAGAACAUCCACUAUCUAAAACAAGAACAUUUUUCUUGUUUCCCUGCAGUCAGUUAAGAUAUGAUUUUAAUUAGAAAUUUUGAGAACCCGUACUUGUUGGGUUCUUUUAGAAAUCAUUUUCUUUUUCACAUAGGUAGAAAAAUUAGCAGCAUGCUUGAUAUCAAAAUAAUGUUCAAAUAAUGUUCUAGAGUUGUUCCUUCUUGAGGAACCCGUUUCUUUGNUUUUGUUACUUUGUGAACCUCCUCAGUUGUUGACUGUAACUUCCUGACAAAUUUCGUAGGUAUGACUCCGCGUUUAGGUGGCCGUUUAUUUCAGCAGUAUGUAGUGGAUGCCUUCUCCACAAUUGAACAGGCUCGACUAUGGUAUAUACGUACUCAUCAGACCAACCUGCGGUCUGAUCUUUAUUCACAGCUUUGUGAUUCUUUACAAGGUGACAAUACAGAUGCAUCGCGUGUUGGCAAGGGUAUAAUACUUCCAGCGGGUUUCGUUGGUUCCAGAAGGUAUAUGCAGCAGAAUUUUCAGGAUGCCCUUGCGGUUUGUCGCUACAUUGGACAUCCAGACAUUUUUUUGACAAUGACAACCAAUCCUCUUUGGGAUGAGAUAAAUGAGAUGAUGAAGUUACUGCCCCAUUGUCUUCCUCAGAAUUCACCCGAUAUUAUUGCUCGGGUUUUUAAAUUAAAACUUGACCAAUUAGUUGAUGGGAUAAAAAACAAAGAUUUCUUUGGCAAAUGUAUCGGAGGUAAUAUUCGUAUAAAGCAUAAGUGAGUAGUUGUUCUGUUAUGUACUGAUUUUUCCAAUGUCAUUGUUUUAAUUUUCUGGGAUUUUCUUUAAUUUCUGCAGUGAUGUACGUGGUAGAAUUUCAAAAACGAGGACUGCCUCAUGUCCAUAUGUUGAUAUGGUUAAGUUCUGAUUCAAAGAAAAACCUUCAGGCAAAUGUAGACAAGUAUGUAUCUGCAGAAGUUCCUGAUCCAGUUUUAGAUCCAGCCGGUUUUGCUGCUGUCCAGUCAUUCAUGAUCCAUGGCCCUGUGGAUCUGAAAAUCCAAAAUCACCAUGCAUGAAAGAUUACAAGUGUAUAAGACACUAUCCGAAAAAGUAAGCUUCCUGAAAUGUAGGAGUUUUAUAUUCUAAUGCAUUUCUUCUAUUCCACAAUUUAUUAAUGAUGUAUAUAUUUUGUUUAAAUAGAUAUGCCGCAACCACAACAUUUGAUGAAUCUGGAUUUCCAAUUUAUAGACGUUGGAAGAAAGAAUCUACCAAAUCUACAGGGGGAAAGAAUAGCAGUUGGACAAUAAGUGGGUUGUUCCGCAUAACCGCGACUUACUAGUGAAAUUUCAAUGUCAUAUAAAUGUUGAAAUUUGUUGUCAUGCACGUAUAAAAUAUAUUUUCAAGUAUUGUCUCAAAGGUCAUGAUCGAGUGACAGUUGAGAUAAAGAGCCGAAAAAAAGAUAGUGCCGAGUCCAGUAAAGAGUCUCCUGUAGAUGAGAUUAACCAAUAUUUUGAUGGGAGAUAUAUAUGUGCAUGUGAGGCAGCCUAUCGGAUAUUUGGUUUUAACAUACACUAUCGUACACACUCUGUCCAGCGUCUGUCAUUUCAUCUACCAGGACAAAGAAGUUGCACAUUCAAAGAAAGUGAACAAUUACCAAAGGUGAUUGCAAGGGAGAGAAAAAUAUGCAGUCAGUUGAAAGCUUUGUUUGCACUGAAUGCUACUGAUCCGGAAGCAUGGAAAUUCACAUAUGACGAGAUCCCUAGACACUAUGUGUGGAAUGACCUCGAUACAGUUUGGAAUGUAAGAAAGCGAGGUGUGCAAAUUGGGAGACUAUUCUACACUAAUCACAGUGCCGGUGAGUUGUGGUACUUGCGUUUGCUGUUGACUAAGGUCCGAGGGCCUACUUCUUUUGAAGCCCUUCGAACUGUGAAUGGUAAGCUUUGUCAAACAUUUCAGGAGGCCUGUAAAGAGAAUGGCCUCCUUGACGAUGAUAAUGAAUGGCACCAAGUCCUGCAGCAGUGUUCUACAUGUGGAUUAGCCCCCCAAAUCCGUCAACUUUUUGUGCACAUCAUGGUGAAUUGUCGUGUUACUGAUCUGAAGAAGUUAUGGAAAGACCAUUCUGUGCAUAUGACUGAUGAUAUAGUGUUAAUUAGAAGAAAAAUCAGUGGGAAUCCAAAUUUGGUGCUGAAUGAAAAGCAAAUAGAGUACUUUGCCCUUGCAGGUAAUAUUUUUAAUUCUCCAAUGCUGUUUACAUAUCUUUUCUUCAUAUAUUUUGUUGUUUGCAUAUCCUUUCUUGAAAUUUUUUUUUAAAAAUAGAACUGUAUGGAAUUAGUUAAGUAAUAUGACUCUGUGUUGUCUUCUCAGAAAUUCAUAAACUGCUGAAGUCUAUUGGGAAGUCAUUGAACGAUUUCAAUGACAUGCCUCAGCCGUCUAGAAAUUAUUUAGACUGUGGUCUGAAUAAUCGAAUCAUUGAGGAGACAUCUUACAACCUUGAUGAGAUGGCAAAGGAGCACAAGUCUCUGAUUUCUGACAUGAAUGAAGAAAAGUUGCAGGUGUACAAUGCAAUAAUGGAUUCACUACAGAAGACUGAUGGCGGGUUUUUUUUUUGUUUACGGAAGUGGAGGGUGUGGGAAGACUUAUUUAUGGAAGACCUUGAUAUCAAAGUUUCGCUCCAAGAGUUUGAUAGUUCUUACUGUUGCUUCGUCCGGUAUUGCUGCAACUCUCUUGCCAGGUGGCAGAACAGCACACUCAAGAUUUAAAAUUCCUAUUAUUUUAGAUGAUUGCCCUACAUGCAACAUAGCUCAGCAGUCAGAUAUUGCAGAGCUCCUGCACCGUACCAGCCUCAUCAUUUAGGAUGAAGCACCAAUGCAGCACUGAUUUGCGUUUGAGUGUCUUGAUCAUUCUCUGCGUGAUAUCAUGAAGUCUGUUGAGCCUAGGUGUUUUCACUUGCCUUUUGGUGGGAUUAACAUUGUCGUUGGUGGUGAUUUUCGACAAAUUCUACCGGUCAUACCUGGUUCGUCUCGCAGUGAAGUUGUUGCCGCCGGAAUUAGUAGAUCAAAACUCUGGGAUAAUGUUAGGCUCCAUACCUUGGUCAAAAACAUGCGUAUUAAUAGAGGAAGCAACGAAGCUGAUGUUGAGCGUAUGAAAAAGUUUGCACAGUGGGUUCUCGAUAUAGGAGACGAGAAGAUUGACAGAGCACCAAAUGGAGAGUUUGAUGAUGAUAUUGAAAUCCCAUCUGAAUUCUGCAAUAUAGGUAAUGAGAACUGUAUUGACGACAUGAUUGAUACCACCUUUCCUGAUUUUGCAGAGCAUUAUAAUGAUCCCAAGUACUUGAGUGAACGAGCAAUUUUAACUCCCACAAACAACACAGUGUUUCAUGUCAAUGCUUUAAUUGUCGAUAGAAUUCCUGGUGAAUCACAAUCAUAUUAUAGUGUGGACAAUGCGGAAGACUAUCCUGGUACAGAGUCUAAGCUCAAUAAUAGUUUUCCUCCAGAAUUUUUGAACUCCUUAAAUGUUCCCGGUUUGCCUAGCCAUGAACUAAAACUCAAAGUUGGUGUUGUCGUUAUGCUCAUGCGCAAUCUUAAUCAAACGCUUGGUUUAUGCAAUGGAACACGGAUGAUGGUCACGAAGUUACUUCCUCAAUGUGUCCAGUGUGAAGUGAUCUCCGGGAGUUUUGUUGGCACUAGACACUUUAUCCCUCGAAUGGAACUUUUUCCAACAAAUUCGAAGUUGCCAUACAAGCUGCUGAGGAAACAGAUGCCUUUGCAAAUCUGCUAUGCGAUGACAAUCAAUAAAUCAUAAGGGCAGUCCCUACAAAAAGUUGGAUUAUAUCUGCCUAAACCAGUCUUCAGCCAUGGACAAUUGUAUGUUGCUAUCAACCGCGUCACAUCGCCUGAAGGUCUUCGGAUUUUUGUUGAAUCUCAAAUGGGUCUGACUACUAAUAUAACUGCAAAUGUAGUCUGUAAAGAAAUAUUUUACAAUUUGCCGUGUCCUUAGGUUGUCUUGCAUUCAUCCUUUUGGUUUUUUGUAUGUUCCACAACCUCCCAGGACAUGGUACCCUUUUGUUACUUUGCAAGUGAAGUUUUUUGUGACUUGCAUUGUAUAUUUUUUGUGACUCUCUGUAUUGAAUUAUCCCACAUUUAUGUUGUGGAAAUUAAGUGAUGGACCUUAGAUGGAACUCAUGUUCUGUUAAACUACAAGAAAAAUGAUAUUUACUUACCAAUAAUAUACCUACUAAUUUAUAUUGGUAGCUAAAAUUAACUUUUACCUACUAAUAGUUAUUUGCAAAAUUAAUUAGUAAGCAAAAACUACAUUCCACGUAUGCAUUGAUAAUCAGGAAUAAAAAUUGGUAGAUAAAAAGAUUUAGCUACUUAUACAUCAUAAUAAUCUUUUUACUUUUCUUCACUUAGCUUUUUCACCCACAUAAUUUAAUAUCUUUCCUUCCCUCUUUUAAAUAGGUGCUGACGUGCAAAUAUGACAUGGCAUGUAUUCUUGUACCUUCAGUUUUUUUAAUAAUCUUAUAUCUUCAAUAUAUAUAAUUUUAUAUUAUCUAUGUUUUUAUUUUUUAUAAUUAUCUCAUCUGUAUCUUCUUAUAACAUCAUCCACUAUAAAUUAAUUAACUUUUUUACCCUAAUUUUUCCGAUUAGAGUAGAUGUCGGUGUAAGAGUGAGAUGGAGGCCCAUCCCAAUAUGUUCAUAUGAGAUUGAGAAUAGGGCUGAUCGAAGCUCAUUGACAGAGUAAUCUAUUUGUUCCUCCUUGAUCGGUACAGUAUUCUUUAGUUCCUCUGUUUCUAUGUGUAUAUACAUCCUGCUAAUGUAUAUGUAUACAUUUGAUUAGUGGUUGCUUAUAUGAGUUUAUUGUGUGUUUAUUCGUGUGUACGCCUGUAUCUUGAUGUAUUAUUCAUCGCUAAUUGCUUAUAUGGAUGUAAUGAUUUCUCAAUUUUAUUAAUUGUGACUAUCAAGGUUAUCGAAUUCUCUGGAUACUAUUUCUAGGGACAUUUCAAUCUAGUUAAUGGGAAAUUUCUGAUUCUAAUUUUAUAACCAUGAAUGCCAGGUUCUUGGAAAUUUUGUAAAAAAUUUAUUCAUAUAAAAGAUAUGCAUCUUUUAUGUUUCCUUCUAAUUAUAUAUAUAUUAAAGUUGAGUUUUGGGGUGAGCUACAGGUUUAAUUUGUUGAAACUAAAAUUCAUGUCCAUCUAAUUUUGUGUUCUUUUUUUUUUGGUGAUAUUUGUCCACUCUUUUUUUUUUCUUGUUAAAUGACCUGUGCCACUCUUUGUUCAUGACCAACUAAAAUUAGAAUAAAUUAAAAUGCUAGUUGCUAAUAUAUGGUUUGUGUGAGAGUCCAAGAAUAAAUUUUCUCAUUAGAAUUAAGAUAAAUGUGUUAAUGUUUUCUCAAAAAAUUAAAAUUACAAACUGUUAAAAUUAUUUGUGAAGACUGAAAAUUGCAAGAAUGUUAAAAUUAUGCUUCAUAAACUCAACUAGAGAAUACUUGUUUUGUUUUUAAUAAAUUUUACAAAUUGUUCUAAAUAUGCAAAAAAAAAAUAUGUAUCAUUAAGGCAUGUCCAUUAUAUUUUAAAAGUUGUUAUUUAUAGCUAUAGUAUUUUAUAAAUUCUGCAGCAGAACUAUUGCCACAGAAGACCUGAAGAUAAAUAGGCAUGUUUACCAGUUGCUAGAAUUAUCCAAACUAUUUUAUUUGUGUGCUAAGUGGACAAUUCUUUUAAUUAAGUGCUUAGUUUUUACGCAUCAAGGCAAGUGAAGAUCAUGUAGGAGACUCUAUAGUAAGAACUGAGGGGAGUGAUUAUCUUGUGUUUGUAAAUUCUGCCUCAGACAUAGGCUAUGUUUUGGGUGUUAUCAAAGUAUUAGAAAUUUUAACACAAAGAAGACAGAGGAAUAAUAAAUUAUAUGUCUAUUAUAAUUUGUGUGCAUAUGGACUAAUAGUUGCCUGAUUUAUUUCCAGUAGUCUUUUUAUAAUCUAAUCUUGUACAAAAACAUAACAUAAUUAUUUGAUUCAUAUUUGAAUGUCCAUGUUAUAAAUAUAAUAAGCAUAAUGCAUCUAACAUAACUAUUUUACAGGUUUUUGAACAAGUACUUUUUGGAAGGACAUGGAUCGUUCAUGGAUAAAUAUACCAAAUAAGUUGUCAGUAGAAUAUGCAAGUGGGAAUAUCUGGAUUUAUAAGUGUUGCAAAGCAGUUUGCCGACUCCAAAGGGAUGGUAUUAUGUCCAUGUAACAGAUGUGUGAAUAAGCAGUUACAGGACCUUAAUGUGAUUAAGCUACAUCUGCUUACUAAUGGCUUUUUAACGACAUACAAGAUAUGGUAUCAUCAUGGUGAAAAGAUUGAUGACACAAAAGAUGAAUUGAUUUUUAAUAAUCAGGAUGGGGAUCUAAGAGAUGAACAAGAUGACGAUUUGGUUGAAGGUCUUAAUGAUGCUAUUAAUGAUAAGUAUUUUGACAUUGGCCCAGCUAGUGAUUUUGUUAGUCAGUGACCACCAAAUGUGAGUGACAGGUAUGAUGCUCUCUUUCAAUCUAUACAUAAACCAUUUUACAACAAUUGUAAAAUUUAUGUCCUAAGUGCAGUGGUAAGGUUAAUGAAUGUAAAGGUACUUAAUAAAUUAACUGAUAAAGCAUUUGAAGAUAUACUUAAAUUUUUGAAAGAGAUCUUUCCUGAAGGUAAUUUUUGUCCAGAGAAUUAUUACCAGACAAGAAAGCUUCUUUGUGAAGUGGGUUUAGAUGAUGAGCAAAUUGAUGUGUGCCAAUAUGAUUGUGCUAUAUUUUACGGUGACAAUGCAAGUGCUGUGUCAUGUCUCGUAUGUCAUUCUAGUCGUUAUAUACGAAACAAGAUCCCACAUAAACGACUUAGAUGGUUCACACUAAAAGCUCGACUGAAACGAUUGUGAAAGGCAUAUGUUUAGCCUAUUUGUAAUUAAAGAGGUACCAACUCAACUCUGAUAAGAAAUCAAGGUAAAUAGCAAGUACUGUUGAAGGAAUCCGUACGAAGAACGUCAAGUGAUUUAUUGAAAUUAUAUGUCUGAAGAAUUUCAGGAUGCUGCUGCACACCACUGGAAGAAGUUCAUUAAUAUGUUCAAGCCUCAGUGUACAAAUAAUCUUUUGUAGCACGUCCAGAAGUCCAGAAGGUAUAAAGUUUUAAUACUUUAUUUAUUCAGAAGAUUCCAUACUAUUGUUACUUAUGAAGAAGAACUACGAAGACAUAGACUCGACGAACAAGCCUCGUUUCAAAUGUUUAUUUGAUAAAGAAUAUUUAAUUCAGCUAGAUACAGAUGAACCAGACAAUACAUUUGUGUGUCAGCUACUCAGAUUAAAUGUUCUGCAUCAACUACAAGUGGCCGUUCGAUCAAGACAGAGAUCUGCAACGUUCAACAAAGCUUGGAGUCCCUGCUGCUAAAUGAAUAUAAUUUUAUAAAUAUUUAUUUAAUUAUUUCACUUAUCAAAAUAAUUAAAUUGGUUGUAUAAUUUAUUUAUUAAAUUAAUUCACCUUCGAAUUAAUUUAAUUUAUGAAUUUAUAUAAUUAAGUGAGUAAUUAGUAAGUAUUUAUUCAAUUAAAACAAUUGAUUUAAUGCAUAUUUGGCUCGGUAUGACAUUCUCAGAGAAUGUCAUACCGUGUCAGUUGAGCAGACUUUCUCAGAAUAGGAAUAUGUCAUACUGAUGAGUAUUGCAUGGCUUAAUCAAUCGGUAUGACUUUCCAAAGGAAUGUCAUACCGUGUACUUGAUUCUGAUAUGCUUUGAUAUGACAUUAUAUAAUGUCAUAUCAAAGCAUAUCAGAAUCAAGUACACGGUAUGACAUUCACUGGUAUGACUUUAAAAAGUCAUACCGUGUCCUUAUAUUAGGCUUUGUCCUUGUGUGUGUAUGACUUGCUUGUUUAUGACUUAAAAAGUCAUACAAAGCUCAACCGAAUGACUUUCUUUGGUAAAGUCAUGCCAAAUGAAGAGUAGUGGCCAAGGAAUAAAGUCUUACCGCCCCUGGCAGUAUGACAUUCCAUUUAAAUGUCAUUCCUUCUUUGUUUUAUGGCAUGGCUUUGUGUAAUAAUGUCAUAUCUUCCAUUGUAAUGUCAUUCCUAAGCUAGAAAGUCAUUCCUUUCAAUGUCAUACCUAGAUCCAAGUGAUUUGCCUAUAAAUAUGGCUUCACUUCUUCAUUUGUAUGUUGUUCAUUGCAUUGUAAACUUUCAAGUUGUUUGUAACUUGCUAUUCGUUAUAUCCACAGUUUUCUGUGCUUUGAUCACUCGGUUGUUUUAAUCACUAAACUAGAAUACAUCCUGUCGAAUUUAUUCUACGAACUUUAGUGGACAUUAAAACGAACCAUAUUAAUUAUAUAACGACUUAAAACAUUGUUAUAUUAAUUAAUUAAAAUCUGAUUAACAAGUUUAAUUCAAAUCAGAUUAUUCCGCCGCGAUUUUUAGUGACGAUUGUAUUCAACCCCCCCUUCUACAAUCGUUUCAGGACCUAACAGAUUGUUUAGCUCUAAACAUACUGCAAAAGACAUGCGAUGGCAUCAAGAAGUCCGUAAAACUGAACCUGGUAUAUUAAGACAUCCAGCUGAUGGGAUGGCUUGGAAGCAUUUUGAUAGUACAUACCCUGAAUUUGCUGCAGAUUCCAGGAGUGUACGAAUGGGGUUAGCAUCAGAUGGGUUCAACCCUUUUUCUAACUUGACAUCAACCUAUACAGUGUGGCAUGUAAUAUUAAUUCCUUAUAACAUGCCACCAUGGGCCUCCCCAGAUUGUACAAAUUACCUUAUGUCAUUAUUAAUUCCAGGUCCCAAAUCUCCUGGAAAAGAUUAUGAUGUUUUUUUGCAGCCACUAAUUGAUGAACUUAAAGAGUUAUGGGACGGAAUUGAUGCAUAUGAUUCACAUAGUGGGUCUCUAUUUAAAUUUAGAGCAACGGUGUUAUGGACGAUUAGUACUUGCCUGGUUGGAGCACUGCUGGAAAAUUAGCUUGCCCUGUGUAAACUGGAAGAUACUAGAUCAAGAAGAAUAACAGACAAACAAUGUUUCACUGGACACCAUUGUUAUUUAAAUAUGAAUCAACCUUGGCGAAAGAGCAAAGAAUAUGAUGGAUAUACUGAGUUUCAUGGUCCUCCAAGAACUUUUACUGGUGACGACAUAUUAAAACAAUUAGAGGAAGUACCUAUACGUACAACUGGUAAAGCACCAAAUAAUUCUUCAAGGAAACGAAAGCGCGGAGCCAAUGAGUUAAAUUGGAGUAAAAGAAGUAUUCUAUUUGACUUGCCAUACUGGUCAAAGCUUCUACUACGCCAUAAUCUUGAUGUGAUGCAUAUUGAGAAGAAUGUUUGUGAUAACAUUAUUGGUACACUUCUAGAUAUUGAAGGUAAAUCCAAAGACAAUUUGAAAGCUCGUAAAGAUUUACAAGAUUUAAAUAUUCGUGAAGAUCUUUGGUUAAAAAAGAUGACUAAUAAUAAAUUUGAAAAACCCCAUGCUAGUUAUACUUUCACAAAGGAAGAGUGUAAGGGUUUUUGAAAAUUUAUUAAUAGUGUAAGAUUACCGGAUGGAUAUGCUUCCAAUAUAAGUCGAUGUGUUACAGAUAAUAACAAGCUUAAAGGGAUGAAAACUCAUGAUUGUCAUGUUCUGCUUCAUAAGAUAUUGCGGGUUGCAAUACAACCUUAUUUGACAAAGAAUAUCCGUGGCACAUUGAUUGAGCUAUGCCAAUUUUUUCAAAAAAUUUGUGCGAAAACUAUACGGGUUUCUGAUGUUGAUGAACUAAAGCAGGGAAUUAUAAUAAUUCUAUGUAAGUUGGAGAAGAUAUUCCCCCCGUCAUUUUUCACUAUAAUGGUUCAUCUUUGUGUACACUUGCCUGAUCAAGUGUUGCUAGGUGGUCUGGUUAAUGGUAGAUGGAUAUUUGGGUCAGAACAACACAUGGGUUUAUAUAAGAGCUAUGUUAGAAAUAUGGCUAGACCAGAUGGUUCAAUUGCAGAAGCUUUUGUCGUGGAUGAAGCUGUAAGUUUUUUAUCGAGAUAUGUUUAUGACAUAGAAACAAGAUUCACUAAACCUGAACGUAACUGGGAUACACCUAUUCCAGAUCAUCAAAUGGACAUUUUCAAGUCUUGUGUUCGUCCAUUAGGGGCUUCUUCUGUUCAGUUGUUGGGGCCUUGGAAAAAUACCACUCAGUGGUAUAUAUUAAACAAUUCUGUGGAUGAUAUUGAGGAAUAUCUCAAGUAAGGAAAUUUUUAUUGUUUGUUAAUGAAUUUUAUCCUAAUUUGUGCAUUUGCCAAGAUUUUUGGUAUAAUUUCUUACUGUAUUCUUAUUUAGUUUUUUUUUUCAUGUUAUAAGUUACUAAAAAAUCUUAUACCUGGUAUGAAGUGAUCAUAAGAAUACAUUGCAAGCAAAAGGACUUUCAGAAUCAGAAAUUUGCAGUAUGCAAAGUGAAGAAUUUCCAUCUUGGUUUAAAACAAAGGUGAGAUAUUUUAAUAAAUUAGUUGUUAUUUAGUUGUAUAGUCAGUGACUCAGUGAUAUACAUAUCCUUUUGCAGGAUAUGUAUAGUUAGUGAUUUUAAUAAAAUUAAAUAUCUCUAAAAUAAUAUCUCUGAUUACUAGAAAAAUUCAAAAAAAAAAAUUAUGAAUUGUUUUUAGAUAAACUUCUUUGAUUAAUUAACUUAUCAUUUCGAGUUUCUACGUACAUUCGACCUUUAUUUUAUUCAACUUACAAAAUAAAAAUCAAUCAAAUUUCUUCAAAUAUGUUAGUCCGAAUAAACUCACUAUAUAAGAUAAUAUAGUGAACACAAUCAAAAACAGAACACCAGUAUAAGAGAAUAAUUCAACUAAACUCUUAUUCACAAAUCACAGUAGCUUACAAAUAAUCUCUUAGUGAUUUAUAAUUUAUCACUAAGAGCUGCUAGGUUACACGAAUGAUAUUCAAUUGAUAACUCAUCUAGAGUAAACCCUAAGCUGUGUUUAUAUACACAGUUACAUGAUAUCUACUGAUUGAUUUACAUUUAUCUGCUUCCUAAAAUAAUCUAAUCAGUAGCUAUCUUUUCCAUGUUCUGAUUUGCAUAUCUUCCUUGAUAUUCUCUUUCCUUGCUUAUUCAGGUCUUCUCCUAGAAAUCAGCCGCCUGCAAACUCUGAUCAUACAAACUCUGAUCCAGCUGGCAGUCGUUAAACUCUGAUCCUAGAUUAAACUCUGAUCUUCAUUUCUGCACACUAAACAAGUUAAAUACCUGUGACAUCAUCAAAUAUGUAACAAUCUCCCCCAACUUGUACAUUAGACAGAAUGAACAAGUUCUAUAUAUAUAUACUGAUGAUGUCAAAAAUAAUCAAGGACAAAUGCAUGAAGUAACUAAUCUGCAAAAAUUAAUUAUUACUUUCAGAAUAAGUAGAACUAAUUACAACUUACAGAACUAGCAGAAGCUAACUAGCCAAUCAGUCUAUAUCCAUAGCUCUCCUUGACAAACAGAGUGAUCAAAUCUUCUUCAAUCUGUUUCAGAGUCUGUAUCAUCUGAGCUUUGACAGUCUUUAACUCUUCAUUGUCUUCUCCUGUCUGGUAUAUAGCUGAUCUCAAGGCUCUUGCCCUGCACCUUUUCAUAGCUUCUCCUAAUUGAAUGGCUCCUGGUCUGUCAGCUUCAUUAUUGUAACCCAAAAUUCUGGUUCCAGCUAUAGUCUCCAUAACAGAGCUAUUUUUGAUCAUAUCAAUCUCUGAACCAUCUUCUUGAGUUAUCUUAGGAACAUAUUCAGCAUCAGAACUUAUCCCAUAAAAUCUUCUCUUUUCUUGGAUAGUUCUCUUCAGCCUUUCAGACCAUCUCUUGGUUGCUUCAUUCUUUAUCUCAAGCAUAUAAUGAAUAUGCUCAAGUUCCCUUAGAGAUUUUAUUAAUAGAUCAGCUUCAGAAAUUCUGUAAACUCUGCCAGAUUCCAAAAAUAUAGCAAUUUUCUCUUUAUCUUCUGGUCCAUCAUGAGUAUCCAUCAGAAUUUGUACUGACUCUAUUUUGUCAAGAUCUUUCUGUGUAACAACUUCUCCAGCCUUCUCAGUAAGAGGAUAUGGAUUUCUGAAGACAGUUGCAUCACUGGUCUGGAUUUUCUCUUUCUUAUGACCUAGACCUGUUGUGUCCCUUGCUUCCUUUCCUCUUGUUCCUUUGUCUCUGAUUUGAGUGAACAAGGAGCUUUCCUUGUACUGUCCUGUACCAAGGCUUCCAAAUAAGCUCUUCUUCUUUGGUUCAACUGUAUCAACUUGAGCCUUGUCAGAGGUUGACUUUAUCCAAGAAGCUUUUACUUCAGCUGACUCCAGCUUAUCUUCCUUCAUAUUUUUAGCUUGAGCAGUGUCAGAGGCUAAAUUCUGAUCAAUGGACUCAGGAAUAGUUGCAAGAGUUUGUUUAACUUCUGAUUCAUCCUUCUUUUUAGAUGGAACACCAUCUAUGACAUUUUUCCCUUUUUCACUGGAAUCAGAGUCAGACUUCUUCUGAUAAACUCUGGGCCUAUUGAUAUCAGCAUAGUUGACUUCACUGAUCACUAUUCCUUUUCUUUUUAAAGAUGGUAAUUUCUUUGAGGAGGAAUCAGUGAUCUGUUUCUUUCCAUCAGACUUUGCUUUCUUUUCAUCAAUCUUUUCAUCAGACUUAGAUUUGCUGAUCUUCUUCUUCUCAGCAGCCAACCUUUCUUCUUCCCUUCUAAUAUCCUCAAUUGACACCCCUGGAUUUUCUUGUUCAAAUAUAUUCUUUGCAACUGCUUCAUCAAAAUCCAGUUGUGUAGGGGCUUUGUGUUAGGGUUAUACUGAAAUAUUCGUUUGAAGUAUAUAACAAUUAUUUGAGAAUCUUUAAUGCAUGUUUUCACAUUGUCUGUAUAUUAUAUAUUGUAGACAAUCUAGUAUCAAAUGGGAUAGCAGAAGAUUAGAUUGUCAGACUCCUUAUAUAAUAUAAUAAAGGUUCACAGUCGCAGUGGUGUUAGACAAACCACUGGAACGGCUGAAGUAUUAUUUGGAAAUAGUUUAUCUUGACUAUUGAAUAAUACUUAUAUACUUUGUGUAUAUUGAACGGGAUCAAAAUAGUAGAAUAAUUGUUUCUUUAAUUCUGACAAUAAAGAACUAAGAUUCUAUGAUGUUAUUAAUGCUUAAGUUCUUAAUCCGGAUAUAGUGAUUGACACUUGUAUUUAAUGCACAUGCCUUGACUCAUAAAUUAAGUAAUUUAUUUUAAAUUACGAAUUUAUGUAUUGGGCAAUGACAUUAUAUACAGAGUGGGAUAUUGACUAUAAAAGGAAACCGUGUCCGAAAAAUAUAUUCGGGUGAUGAUGUCCUCUUGAAAGCUCAUAAAGAUAAUUAUGCUUUAGUCCUGCAGGCAGAUUUGUUCUUGCAUAAUUAUAAGGUUGAGUGGAUGAUCAAGGAUAAAAGAUAUUAAUUAAAUUAAUUGUCAGAAAUUAAUUUAAUUAAUGGACAUGCGAUAUCUUAAACAUGGGGAAUUUAUAAGCAAUUAAUAUGGGAGCCGAAUUAAAUAAUUAAUUUACGGAAUUAGGAAAGGUAGUGCAAAUAUUAGUUCUUUAGUGGAUAGAAUUAAUAUUUAAUGACAUUGGGCCUGGCCCGGAAUGUCAUUGGAAGGCCUGACCUAAUGAUCCAUGAUCCCUGCUGUAGCCUAUAUAUAUUCUCGUUCUCCUAAAGCUGAAAGACACACCAAAACGAAUUAAUCCUAGAGUCAGAGAGAGGCAGACGUUUUUCUCAAGGAGACAGCUAGGGUUUUGGGUUUUCGGAGCUUUAAGGAGAGGCACACCUUGGGAGAUCGAAGGCCACACUUCGUCCAAGGAGAAUCAAGGAAUACAGUAGAAGACGUGGAUUUGAAUCGCUUGCGCCGUAGCGAUUAAGGUUAAUAUUCUGUUCGAACUUUUAAUUAGUAUCAUAAAACGCAGGACCAAGGUCCGAUUGUUCCUACAAUGGCAUCAGAGCCAGGUUGCGGUUCUGCGAUUUAUGAUAUGUAGUCCAUGUCAUGAUUAUAUAUGCAUGUAUAUAGUGAUUCUGUGAUGCAGGUCGUUGUCCACUAUUAUGGCCGUGUUUUAAUUAUUCUGUUAUGUUUGGAUUCCACGUGGUUUAUCGUGGCUGUUGUAAAUCACGAGGGUUGAUCGUGAUAGUUUAAUCUUGUAAUUCAAUUUGUAAUUGUUUUAGAUUAUGAUCUGAUGUAAUAGAAUAGGCUGGUUCGUCUGUACAAUUUGUAUGUAAUUGUUUGAUCAACGGGGCUGCAAGAAACAGAGAUCUUCCGCUGCUGCGAUCUGUUGCCGCUGCUAUUUAGGGUAACUUUUGCAUACGAUGUCCGAUUUGGGCGCAUAAUACCUUUUCGGGGACGGCAGAACUAGACGGACAGGCUCCAAAUUGACGUAGUCCAUUUGGUGCAGUUUUUCAGGGCGUUCUGAGGCUGUUUAGGCCUCCAAACGGGCUCUCGAAGAUUUUCGGAAUUUUUCGAAGGAUGAUUUCGAAGCUGUUUUUCCGGGGCCAUAAUAGUGGAUGUGUUUCAUUAUGUUUUACAUAAUUUCUGCCUUUUCUUGAUUAUUGCUACUAUGUGUUUCUUGUCUGUGUUGUUAUGCCAUGUGAUACUAACCCUUCGCAUGCUAGAAUGACAUGGACAUAGGGAUGUUUUUAAUUAAUGCUUUAAUCAUGCUAGUAUGCUGCCAUGUUAUGUGUUCUUUAUGUGUUCUUUAUGUUGCUAUAACCAUGAUAGUAUGCAUGUGGACUUCGAAGAAAUAACAUAGGGCGAUGCAUCUAGAUUAAAAUCCUCAAAGUAAAUUCUAAGUGGGAGAGGGAGUUAAUAUGGUAUUAAAUCCCAUGGUCUCCAUCAUUGUUUGUAUGUAAUUUAACAUAAAGGCGAAUAUAAAUUAUGUAUACGUCACCCAUCGUGGCAUGUAAUUUAUGGUGUCUAGAAUGUUAUAGAUAUUACUGGAACAAACUUCUUAAAUUAAUACGAAUAGAUACGGAUUUUCUUUAUCUCUGAUUUGGGGCGAUUUCUAAGGCUUAUGGGUAUUAAGUGAGACCGAUGUGACUCCUCCACUGCCUAGAAGUCAAACCAGACACGAAUAUUGAAUUGAAGUAUUCUAUUCGAGAAAUAUUGGAAGGUAUACAUGCCGCCCAUCGUGGCGUACCAAGUUCCAUAGGUUUCGGGUAAUUUAAGAUUUGAUGAUGGUAUACACUUAGCUAUGAAAAAUAAUAUAGACCACCCCAACGUGGCUUAUUGUUUAGUAAUAGGACCGAAGUAACGUUUAAACAAAUUUAGGUGGUAUACAUGUCACCCAUCGUGACGUACCAGAAACUUAUGGUGUUUAAACGUUAGUGCAUUUAAUUUUAAUAAUUGUUAGAGGAACCAAUAGGACUUAAUUUUUUAUGCACCCUUCUUUAUGUGUAAUGUGAUUUUUUCAUGCAUGAUUCUCAGGAUAUAAUGGGGUUUAAUCCACUGUUCACCAUACUUAAGGAUAACAAACUUACCGGACCUAACUAUAUUGAAUGGAAACGUAAUUUGGACAUUGUGUUGACUGCUGAGGAGUACAAGUUUUGCACUUAUGAACCCAAGCCUGAGCAGCCCGCUGCUGAUGCUCCUGAUGAGGAGAAAGAGUAUUAUAAGCGGUGGACAAAGGCUGAUGAGAUGUCGCGAUGUUACAUUCUGGCAGCAAUGUCGGGUGUUUUGCAGCAUCAGCAUCAGGCUAUGGCCACUGCUUCGGAUAUGCUCUUUAAUCUCAAGGAACUUUUUGGAGAUCAGAAUAGGGCUGCUAGGCAAGUAGCCAUGAAGGCUUUAAUGAACACUCAGAUGGCUGAAGGUACACCUGUAAGGGAUCAUGUUCUCAAGAUGAUGUCACAUCUGAAUGAGAUAGAGAUCCUUGGUGCAGAGCUUGACGGGGAAACCCAGAUUGACAUUAUCCUUAUGAGCUUGCCCAAGAGUUUUGAGCAGUUCCGCUUGAAUUACAACAUGAACAAGAGGCAGUAUAGUCUUGCGGAACUGCUGACAGAACUUCAGGCAGCUGAAGGAUUAUUUCGCCAGAGUGUUCAAGUGAAUGUGGCUGAGAAAGGUUCUUCCUCUAAGCCGAAAGGCAAUAAGAAGAAGAAAAAGGCUCAGACACAGAAAGCUGUGAAGGCAGUGGGAGUUCAAGGUGGUGUGAAAAAGCCUAAGGGGAAGUGCUACCGGUGCAAGCAGUCGGGUCACUGGAAAAAGGAUUGUCCUCUUCCUAAGAAGACAAACGAUACUGGUAUGUCUCUUUCUCUAGUUACAGAAACAUUUGUAGCGGCUAUAUCUACGAGCACUUGGUGUGUAGAUACUGGAGCCACUGAUCAUGUUUGUAACUCUAUGCAGGGGUUCCAGCAAUCCAGAAUGCUUAGAGAUGGUGAGAUAUACGUGUUCAUGGGAGAUGCUACGAAAGUAGCAGUAGUUGCAGUAGGAGUUAUUCAUUUAUCUUUUGGUUCUGAUAGGAUUUUGGUUUUGAACAAUUGUCUUUAUGUACCUUCUUUUAGAAGGAAUUUGAUUUCGGUUUCUAAACUUGCUAUGGAUGGUUAUAAUGUUUGUUUGGAUCGUAAUGUUUCUAUUAUGAUGAAUAAACGGAUUAUAUGUUCUGGUACAUUGCAAGACAAUUUGUAUAUAAUUAAUCCUAGUCAACCCGCACUGCAACUACAACAUAGGGUAUUGAAUAACACAUCUUCUACCUCUAAUAAAAGAAAGGAACCUUCUAGUAUGAACCAAACAUAUCUUUGGUGGACCGGGGACAAACCGAGUCUGAGACACAUUCGGAUAUGGGGUUGUCCAGCACAUGUGCUGAACAGGAACGCGACUAAACUAGAAUCUCGUACAGAAGUAAAGCUGUUUGUAGGCUACCCCAUGGGAACAAAAGGUUAUUUAUUUUAUAGUCCUAAGGAUCGGGAUGUCACUGUUAGCACCAAUGCAAGAUUCUUAGAGGAAGACUAUAUAAUGGUUAUGAGUAUUUCGUCACUUUUAUUGGCGAUUAUUCUAGAUAUGGAUACGUUUAUUUGUUGCACCGUAAGUCUGAGUGCUUUGAGAAAUUCAAAGAGUACAAAGCUAAAACGGAGAAGCGACAUAAUAAAAGUAUCAAGUCACUACGAUCUGAUCGUGGUGGCGAAUACUUGCUUGGGGAAUUCAGGGAAUAUUUAUCAGAGAAUGGGAUAGAAUCCCAGUUGACUGCACCAGGCACACCCCAGCAGAACGGUGUAGCAGAGAGAAGGAACCGGACUCUUUUAGAGAGUGUUAGAUCGAUGAUGAGUUAUUCGGAUUUACCCAAGUCCUUUUGGGGACAUGCCUUAGAGACAGCAGCUUAUCUUCUGAACUUAGUACCUUCUAAGUCGGUUCCUAAAACCCCUUUAGAAUUGUGGACCGGGGACAAACCGAGUCUGAGACACAUUCGGAUAUGGGGUUGUCCAGCACAUGUGCUGAACAAGAACGCGACUAAGCUAGAAUCUCGUACAGAAGUAAAGCUGUUUGUAGGCUACCCCAUGGGAACAAAAGGUUAUUUAUUUUAUAGUCCUAAGGAUCGGGAUGUCACUGUUAGCACCAAUGCAAGAUUCUUAGAGGAAGACUAUAUAAUGAAUCACAAACCCAUGAGUAGUAUCGUUUUAGAGGAACUAGUGGGAGGGACGAAUAAUGAACCUGUAGUACAAGUAGAACAACCACAGCAGACUGUGCAACCGGUCACUAAUACCGCACCAGUUCCUCGUCGUAGUGGGAGGGUUGUUCGACAGCCCGACAGAUUCAUGUUUUUGGGAAAGUCUUCGGACUUGGUCUCUGGUGAACAUGAUGAUGAUCCCCGGACAUACGAAGAGGCAAUACAGGACAAAGAUGCAAGUCUUUGGCAAAAGGCAAUGGAUUCUGAGAUGGAAUCAAUGUAUUCUAAUCAGGUCUGGGAGCUCGUGGAACCACCCAAAGGUGUAAAACCUAUUGGAUGUAAGUGGGUCUACAAGAAAAAGAGGGGAUCAGACAAAAGGUGAAAGCCUGGAAAGCAAGACUUGUUGCGAAAGGGUAUACUCAGAAAGUAGGUAUCGAUUAUGAGGAAACCUUUUCGCCAGUAGUCAUGCUUAAGUCAAUCCGUAUUCUUUUAUCUAUAGCAGCUCAUCUCGAUUAUGAGAUUUGGCAAAUGGAUGUCAAGACAGCUUUCCUUAAUGGAAAUCUUGAGGAAACCAUCUAUAUGCAGCUGUAGGAACAAUCGGACCUUGGUCCUGCGUUUUAUGAUACUAAUUAAAAGUUCGAACAGAAUAUUAACCUUAAUCGCUACGGCGCAAGCGAUUCAAAUCCACGUCUUCUACUGUAUUCCUUGAUUCUCCUUGGACGAAGUGUGGCCUUCGAUCUCCCAAGGUGUGCCUCUCCUUAAAGCUCCGAAAACCCAAAACCCUAGCUGUCUCCUUGAGAAAAACGUACUGCCUCUCUCUGACUCUAGGAUUAAUUCGUUUUUGUUGUGUCUUUCAGCUUUAGGUAGAACGGGAAUAUAUAUAGGCUACAGGAGGGAUCAUGGAUCAUUAGGUCAGGCCUUCCAAUGACAUUCCGGGCCAGGCCCAAUGUCAUUAAAUAUUAAUUCUAUCCACUAAAGAACUAAUAUUUGCACUACCUUUCCUAAUUCCGUAAAUUAAUUAUUUAAUUCGGCUCCCAUACAUGGAGUUACUCUAUCAAAGAGGCAAUGUCCUUCGACACCUAAGGAGAUAGAGAACAUGAAGGCAGUUCCUUAUGCUUCGGCAUGUGGGAGCCUAAUGUAUGCAAUGUUAUGUACGAGGCCUGAUAUCUGCUUUGCCGUGGGCAUGGUUAGCAGAUACCAGUCAAACCCAGGACAAGAACAUUGGAGUGCCGUAAAAGCAAUACUCAAGUACCUGCGAAGGACUAAGGAG